rnacentral:lncRNA from 1 species
UGCUCUUCAAUUUAGGAAAUCUGGUGCACUUAUUAUGGCUUUUUAUAGCGAGGCAAAAUGCUUACGCCUGUUGGAUUUACAUGGUUCCCAAAUAUCUAUGCUGCCAAGCUCAAUCGGUAAGUUGAAGCUCUUAAGAUACCUCAACCUUUCAUCGACAAAUAUACAAGAACUGCCUGAAUCAAUUACCAGCCUCUGCAACUUGCAAACCUUGAAUCUUUCAGGCUGCCACGAGAUCCGUACAUUACCCAAAUUUCUAGGAAGGCUUACGAAUUUGCGGAUUUUAGAUUUAGGAUAUUGCCAAUUUCAGACAAUACCAGACUCCAUUAGCAACCUUCAGAAUUUGUACGCACUAAAUUUGAGUUGGUGCUACAAGGUGAGAUUACUUGAACCUAUAUGUCACCUCAAAAACCUGCAUUACCUAGACCUAUCAAAUUUAAAAUCUUUGGUGGCAUUACCUGAAUCCAUUGGGAGCCUUCAAAACUUGUGUAUUCUAAAUCUUUCUGGGUGCAGUUCUCUAAUAUCAUUACCGUCAUCGUUAUAUGAUCUUCAGCAUUUAGAGGAACUAGACAUUAGUGGCUGUGGAGAAUUAUGUGAGCUGCCUAAAAUGAUCCAAAAGCUGACCAAACUAAAAGAAUUGUUAAACAACAAUUGCUCGGAAUUGAAGGGCAUGCCCCGAGGGAUCGGCAAGUUACUUAGCUUGCAGGAAUUGUCCGUUUUUGUCGUCGGCAAGCAAGACCGCGUUGAACAUUGUGCUAGCAUCUCUGAGCUAGAGCACCUUAAGCUUGUCGGCGAGCUGGAGAUCAAGGGUCUUGAAAAUGUAACGAGUCCGGUUGAUGCCAAGGCUGCAAAUUUGAUAGAGAAGAACCUGCGGUCUUUGAAGUUGGAAUGGAAUGUUUUAAGUGCGGAAGAAGGCAUGGAUACUGUACUACCGGCGGAAGAGAUAGAUACCGUGCUAGAAAAUCUUCAACCACAUCAAAAGCUAGAGAAUUUGGAAAUAGAAGGCUACGGAGGCAGGAAGUUUCCUAGCUGGAUGAUGAAUAGGAUUGGCUCGUACCUCCCAAAUCUCGUUAAAAUCAGACUUGAGAAUGUGCCCGGAUGCAGCUCACUCCCGCCGCUGGGGCAACUUCCUUUUGUUGAAGACCUAAUUAUACAAAAUAUGCCUGCAAUAACAAAUUUGGGUGUAGAUAAGUUCCCUGCGCUGACGAGACUUUUGUUGGGCUGCAUGCCUGGGCUGCGAGAAUGGGUGACGGUAUUGACGGUGGAUGACGAAGAAGGCAGGCGAGAGCGAGUUCCCAUUUUUUCGUGUCUCACUAACUUGUUGCUUAAAGAAUGUCCUCAAUUGAGACCGGAGCCUUGCCUCCCGCCAUCGGUUGAAUAUCUGACCAUUUCCCGAACAAGCAGCGAGAAUCUAUCUUUAAUUCUCGAACGUGCGACGCCACUUGAUGGCGGUGAUGCCGCUGUUUCACUCCAACCGCGACCAAAUAAGGGGCUGCAGAGUCUAGCAAUAGUAGGAUGUCAGCAGCUAACUUGUUUGCCCGAGAGCUUGCGAAGUCUCACGUCCCUCCACAUCCUGAGAAUACAGAAUUGCGAAGAUCUUGAGAGAAUUGAAGAUUGGCUUGGGGAGCUCUCCGACCUGCAGUCCUUGUUCAUCUAUUGGUGCAGCAGUCUCCGUUACUUGCCUGCCCACAAGAUGACCGCACUAAAGGAGUUAACUAUUUUUUGUUGCCCAUUAUUGUUCAAUGCAGCCGGACAAUUUGUCGACACCACUGUCGAUCACAUCAAAUAUGUCUCUGUUAAUGGAAGGUAAUUAAUUUAGAAAUCUGACUACUCUUUAAUUAAUUAGCUGGCUAGCACCUUAAUAUUCUAUUGUAGCUAGCAUAUAAACCUCUUUCUUUAAAUUUUUUUUUUUUUUUUUAAUCCAGAUGGAAAAACUUCCAUUAGCCCCGCCCCAUGUGGUUCAUUUGCUAUAAAAUAUUUCACUUUGCUAUUUUAUUGUUGUCUUUAUUUUGCCCAACUACUACCAAAGAAUAUUGAAGUGCUUAAAUUUAUGAAUUAUAGGAUACUAAAGUAGUAUAUUUUAUAAAUUUUAGCACUUUAGUACUUCACUUGAUGGCAAGUUCUUACAAUGAUACGAAGAAAAGAAAUAAUCACAAAAUUUUAAAGUAAAACUUACUAUUUAAAGUACAGGACGGUAAAGUAAAAACGCAUUGAAUUAUAGAGGGUCCAAAUUGAAGUUUUUCCUCACCGUAUAAACCUCUGGUAACAUACUUAUAGAUACACAUACUGCAACAUGAGUUACAAACCAUUUGCUAUUCACAAUCUCCAAUCCCCACCUUCUCGAGCAAUUGACCCACCAAUUUAUAUAUCUGUGCGAUUUUAUUUAAUUUAUAUUCUGAGUGAUUAUAAAUUUUAGAUUAGUUUUAUCCUACUCUUAGAUAAGUUUUAUCCUGUUCUUAUUUCUUCCUGUUUAGAUAUGCUAAAUUGCUAUUCAACAAAAUAUUUUGCUUGUACAAGUAGUUCAUAGAUUACAAGAGGCAAUUAUUUUUCCACAAAUUUUGCAGCAAUUGCAACUUUACUAAUUUGCACAAUUGAAACUAUAGCAGCUUGCCGUUGCACAAUUUAAAAGCCACAUUUCAAAAUCAACUACGUAAAAGUGCAGCUAAGAUAUUCUAAAACAUGGUUUGUUGCCAACAAAAAUUUACAAGCGCUCUUGCACGUAUAUAGACUAAUUAAUGAAAUUUUAACCUUCUCUUAAUUUGUAGCGAUUUGAGAUGCCGAAAAGUUUCUACUUGAAAGAUAUAUAGAAUUUACGAAGUAAUUAUUUUUGGUCAUAUUGCUGAUAUAUUAUUCGAGUCCUGGGAUAUUUUCUUUACAAAUUGAAAUAAGGUAUCUUAUAUAUAUCAUGCGUUAUUAGAAAGUCUAACCAUAGAUAGCAUCUCCAACCUGUGUAUAUAGAGGACCACUAGCUAGUUGGUUUUGAGAUUGUAUGAUGUACAUUAGGACUGGCGGGGUCAGGGUCUUUACUCAUAUAUAUUUAUUGUGAAAUGUAUGGUUGUAUAUUUGUAUGGAUAGUGGUCGUUGUUUAGUUUAGUUUUACAUAAAUAGCUCUGAUACUUUGUGUUUAGUUGUGAACUCUAGAAUCAUUAAUGUUGACUCUUUGAUUCCUUUAUUACUGCUUCUGUCUCGUUGGUCGCUUCGUGCGUAUAGGAGAAACUCUAUCGGUUGGGUGGGUCUGUUGACGUCCCCCUAGGCUUCUGCUAUGAAACUGGAGCGUGACAGAUUAAUGUGCUAAAAAAAGUUACCAUUUUGUGUUGUUAUGGUGCAGGAACUACCCAUAUGAGGAAGAAGGGAGCAGCUCGCCAGAGGAGGAGGAGAAGAAGAGUUGGACGAGUUGUUGGAGCAGAUCGAAUUGGCUAGCGAGGAGAGCAUAAGUAUAUGUACUUAUUAUUUGGAGGUAAAAAGAGAUUAUAUAUUAUCUAAACUAUCCCGUGCUUUUAAAGCGGGCAACUGGGCUUUAGGAAUUUCGAUUUUAAUUUGUAAACCUUAUAUAUGCUCAUUUUGAUAAAAGCAAUUUUCUUUGAAAGAUUUGUUAGAUUCUUUUAGAAUUUAGUCUCUUCCGUCAAAAACAAAGUGCAGAAUGUAUCAAAAAAUAAAAGAUAUUUUUUAAUCAAAUUUUAAAAUGUUUUAUUAAAAAACGUUAAGUAUCCUUUCGAAUUCUAUAAGGAACAUAAUAAACACGGCGGAAAGUUAGAGAGUAGAAUUAAAUUUUUUAAAGUUCAGUUAUUUAUCUCAAAGCGUAGUAUAGCUCAUGUAAGAAUCAUUCUCUUUUAGCUUAUUUGGUGAUCACUAUUCCCCUUUGAGAAGAGUUUUUUUUUUUUCCCUUUGUUUUGCCAAAAAUAAACAGAUUUUAUAUAUCUACAUGCAAUGGUGAGAGUUUUUAUUCAUGGACCUGUGGUCUUCUCUUUCAGGUUGGUGCUAUUUAGCGUGCCGGACAAGAAUCGUAGUGUGCUGUUGUCGGUUAUAUAAUAUAUAUUUGUGUUUUCGUGAUAUAAAUUUAGUUUCUGAAUGUACUAUUUUAUAAUUUGGAUUGAUUGUUUGUAAUUUUAACAUGUUAUGGGCUUGAAAAAGAUUGUUUGGUUUGAAUAAACAAAAUGUUGCUACUUUUUUCAUACGGAUAUUAGAGGGUACAGUAAUUUUUAAGUAAAUCUCAUGUAGAGUUUAUUACUAGUAUAUAUGUUUACUUUAAUUAGAACUUGUUUAAAAUCAGAUGAUGUUUUUUUGCAUGCAAGUUGGACCUAGUAUGUAUGUACCGCAGUUGAGAGGGUUAAUUUCCAUAUAUGUUUACUUUAAUUUAUCUUUUCUUUUAUUUGAUUAGAUCCGAAGCCGAUAAAUUUUAAAGUAUUAAAAGUUUUAUUAUUUCGCUUUCUGCAAGAUUUUUAGUUUUUAAAUUCCGCAAAUCUGAAUCGAUUUAUUAAUAAAAUCAAACUGAAUCAAUAGAAGUGGGUUGCUUUUCCAGUUUGGUUUUUACCAAACAUGUGGUUUAAAUGAAAAUAUAGAUAUAUAUUGCUGCAUUAUUUAAUUUGUUUGAGUUAAGUGAUCUCACUGCUCGUGCAAUAUCAAAUUUAGAUUAAUUAUUUAUUUUAAUAAAUUUAUAGCUUCAUAAAUUUAUAAAAUAUAGUAAUUAAACAUGUAAAGAUAAAUAAUACAUUUAAAAUUUAAAGCUAAAGAGAUAUUUGACUCGAAUCAAAUAAAUUAAAGAAUUGUAUAGCAAAAUUAAAACUCUUAAAGAUUAGAUAGUAAAAUUAAAAUAAGUGAUAGUUGUGGUAAGUUAUAUAAAUUUCUUAUUUUUUUAUUCAAGUAAUCGAGAAAAUUAAAGAGGUAGUUAAAUAUGAUUCGAACAAGUUAAAUAUGGAUAAAAAUUUGAAUGCAAUUUAGUAUAUGCAUGUUGCUACCACUUUCGCGGAUCGAAGUUUACGAACAAACCCUCAACCCUAAACCCAGGUGGUAUCUCCUAAUGCUAUUGAAAUUGUUUAGGUGACAAAUGUAAUAAAAAAAGGAGAUUGAUGGAUCAUUCUUGUACAAAUGAAAAGUGAUUAUGAGAUUUAGCUUUUAUUCUUCUUAUAUAUAUAUAUAUUUUGAGAGUAAGGUAGCAUACUAUCCGCUUCAUUCAUUGGAUCUUCUUAUAUAUUAUACUCAUUUAAAAGUAGUGUAAAUUUUAUACUCACAUAUUCAAAGAUUUAUAAAGUACUUUUAAAUUUUUAAUAUUAACAAAAAAAAUGAUAAAAUUAGUGCGAAAAUACUAGCCUUUGGAUGGAGUAGUGCUAUAAAAUAGGAUACAAUAAACUUUUAAUUAGCCCCCUAUAAAUUAGCAUAUUUUCACUUUUUUAAUAUGUGGUUGAAAAAACUUUUGCUUUGCCAUAUGGCCUUUGUUUUUUUUUUUUUUUUUUUUUUUUUUUUUUUUUUUUUUUUAUCACUAAACGGGCCUUCUGUUGAAGUGGUUGAUAAAAUAGUGCAACUUAUAAACCUAAAAUAUUAUAAUUUACAAACCAUAUGAUAUUAUAAUUUACAAUAAUAUUACUUUAUUAAGCUCUUUAAUGGUAAAUUAUUUUUUUGAGAAAAAGAUAGCAUGCUACCCGCUUCAUUCAUUAGGAAUAUGAACUAGGCUACAGGAAUGAGACAGCUACGGUCUCUGGGAGGCGGGAAAAAAAAAAAUCCACAGAUAGGACAAAAAUAAAACUAUGAGAUAGCAAAAUAAAACUUCUAAAUCACAGAAUUGCUAAAAAAAAAAAAAAAAGAUGCAGUAAAUCAUAGGAGGGGUUCAUUAAAGUUCAUACAAAAUAGAAACUCUAGCUUCGUGCAAUAAUUUCAUACUGUGAGGAGUAUACUCAAACUUCUAGAAUGGAUAAAAAUAUUUAGCCUAGAAAUCAUUUUUUUCCACGGAAAGAUAAAUUAUCUCACAAUAAAAUUUAUUAUUCAGCAAAAUAAUGAACAACAAUACCUUCUAAAGCUGAGAGAAAAAGGGGAAAAAAAAGAAAUUCAUGUUAAUGUCCAAACGGGAUAGAGACACCAAAGUACAAAUAGGUCAAAACCAGAGGACCAAAUUGAAGUUUUCACUCUGCUAUAAAAACCCAGCCCGUUUGAAACCCCCCACCCUGCAGCACCUUCUUCUUGUAUUCCCUCCAAAACUUCUCCCUCCCAGAUUCCCUGCUCCAGCGUCCAACCCCCAAAAUCAAUCAAGAAAUCGAAGAUGAGCGAAUCCUCGGCCUCCGCCGGUGAUGGCGACAGCGGAAAUGAGCUGUGGGCGCCGCCUUUUCCCGGGGAUAUCUUGCCCCGCAUCGUCGCGAGGCUGACCUGCGCCGAUCACGCCGCUCUCCGUGCCACCUGCAAAUCAUGGCGCACCAUCUUCUCCGCCAUCCCCCCCUCCCCCCAUCCCGGCCUGCUCCCCUUCCUCCUCCUCCCCCCACAUUUCGCCCUCCCUGAUCCUCUCUGCCUCAGCCAUCGUACCCCGCCCUAUACCCCGCCCCUUCCCGACUACCCUCUCGGCCCCAUCGUCCCCUUCCCCCGCCUCGGCCACAGCCAUUCCGAUUCCCCCUUCUUCCCCCUCGGCAGCCUCCGCAAUCCCACAUUCCGCCCGCUCCCCUCCCUCUCCGACACCACCCGCCACGUCUGCGUCGGCUGCUCCCACGGCUGGCUCAUCCUCCUCGGCCCCACCUCCCACAUCUCCCUCCUCAACCCCCUCACCGCCGCCACCAUCCCCCUCCCUCCCCCGCUCUCCUCCGUCCCCCUAUCCUUUCCCCUCUACGAUGAGAGGACCGUCGACCGCUACCUUCUCUUUCGGGGCGAUCCACCUCGCAGGCUCCGCCACCUCGCCGCCCUCGUCCGCCUCGCCGUCCUCUCUGCCGACCCCACCGACGACCCCUCCUCUUUCAUCCUCGUCCUCGUCCUCGGAAACACCAUCUCAGCCCGCGUCAUCACCUGCGGCCCGAGCGACGGCUACGCUGCGUGGAGGCACCAUACCUACAGGGGGUUCCCCGCCUACGGCGUGACCGACCUCAUCUUCCAUCACGGCCUCUGCUUCGCCGCCGUCAUGUGGCGCACCAUUGGCGACGUGGUGCUCGGCCCNNNNNNNNNNNNNNNNNNNNNNNNNNNNNNNNNNNNNNNNNNNNNNNNNNNNNNNNNNNNNNNNNNNNNNNNNNNNNNNNNNNNNNNNNNNNNNNNNNNNNNNNNNNNNNNNNNNNNNNNNNNNNNNNNNNNNNNNNNNNNNNNNNNNNNNNNNNNNNNNNNNNNNNNNNNNNNNNNNNNNNNNNNNNNNNNNNNNNNNNNNNNNNNNNNNNNNNNNNNNNNNNNNNNNNNNNNNNNNNNNNNNNNNNNNNNNNNNNNNNNNNNNNNNNNNNNNNNNNNNNNNNNNNNNNNNNNNNNNNNNNNNNNNNNNNNNNNNNNNNNNNNNNNNNNNNNNNNNNNNNNNNNNNNNNNNNNNNNNNNNNNNNNNNNNNNNNNNNNNNNNNNNNNNNNNNNNNNNNNNNNNNNNNNNNNNNNNNNNNNNNNNNNNNNNNNNNNNNNNNNNNNNNNNNNNNNNNNNNNNNNNNNNNNNNNNNNNNNNNNNNNNNNNNNNNNNNNNNNNNNNNNNNNNNNNNNNNNNNNNNNNNNNNNNNNNNNNNNNNNNNNNNNNNNNNNNNNNNNNNNNNNNNNNNNNNNNNNNNNNNNNNNNNNNNNNNNNNNNNNNNNNNNNNNNNNNNNNNNNNNNNNNNNNNNNNNNNNNNNNNNNNNNNNNNNNNNNNNNNNNNNNNNNNNNNNNNNNNNNNNNNNNNNNNNNNNNNNNNNNNNNNNNNNNNNNNNNNNNNNNNNNNNNNNNNNNNNNNNNNNNNNNNNNNNNNNNNNNNNNNNNNNNNNNNNNNNNNNNNNNNNNNNNNNNNNNNNNNNNNNNNNNNNNNNNNNNNNNNNNNNNNNNNNNNNNNNNNNNNNNNNNNNNNNNNNNNNNNNNNNNNNNNNNNNNNNNNNNNNNNNNNNNNNNNNNNNNNNNNNNNNNNNNNNNNNNNNNNNNNNNNNNNNNNNNNNNNNNNNNNNNNNNNNNNNNNNNNNNNNNNNNNNNNNNNNNNNNNNNNNNNNNNNNNNNNNNNNNNNNNNNNNNNNNNNNNNNNNNNNNNNNNNNNNNNNNNNNNNNNNNNNNNNNNNNNNNNNNNNNNNNNNNNNNNNNNNNNNNNNNNNNNNNNNNNNNNNNNNNNNNNNNNNNNNNNNNNNNNNNNNNNNNNNNNNNNNNNNNNNNNNNNNNNNNNNNNNNNNNNNNNNNNNNNNNNNNNNNNNNNNNNNNNNNNNNNNNNNNNNNNNNNNNNNNNNNNNNNNNNNNNNNNNNNNNNNNNNNNNNNNNNNNNNNNNNNNNNNNNNNNNNNNNNNNNNNNNNNNNNNNNNNNUUUCCGGUUAAUCCCGCACGAAGGACGGAAAUACGCCUUAGGACAGUGCCUCGCACGCUUCCAGAUCAAAUUAAUUUGAUAUUCUUCUUCCAUAAUUUUUUUUGGAAUUUAGCGAUUGUCGGUAAGUAGGUUUUAUUUAUUUAAUCACAAAAUUAGUUAGAUUUAGUCACAAUCGAAGUUCGUUGCGGUUUGUUCCCCAACAAUCUAAGGCGUACUUCCGAUUUGAUUGUGAUUUAAAUCUAACGAGUGCUAAUCCAAAGAAAAUAAAAUUGUGCAUGUUGUAUAUAAUUUGUUUGAUAACUUGCUUGUAUGAUUGACAUACAAAGUUAAUUUAAGUUGAUAUUAAAAAAAAAAUAAAUAAAAAAAAUAAUAAAAAAUCUUUCUACGGUAAAUUCCAGUGUGCGGUUUCAACUUGCUACAGUAAAAAAUUUUUUAAAAAGGAAGAACUUUGCUACAGUAUUUUAUUUUGCACUGUACGGCCCUUUUAUGCUUUCUGUACGGAUUGUUAAAAAAAAGCUUGCUACAGUAAAUUUUUUAGCUUUCCUGUGUGCGGUUUCAACUUGCUACAGUAAAAUUUUUUAAAAGGAAGAACUUUGCUACAGUAUUUUAUUUUGCACUGUACGGCCUUAUUAAUUAAAAAAAAAAAAAAAAAAAAAAAAAAAAANNNNNNNNNNNNNNNNNNNNNNNNNNNNNNNNNNNNNNNNNNNNNNNNNNNNNNNNNNNNNNNNNNNNNNNNNNNNNNNNNNNNNNNNNNNNNNNNNNNNNNNNNNNNNNNNNNNNNNNNNNNNNNNNNNNNNNNNNNNNNNNNNNNNNNNNNNNNNNNNNNNNNNNNNNNNNNNNNNNNNNNNNNNNNNNNNNNNNNNNNNNNNNNNNNNNNNNNNNNNNNNNNNNNNNNNNNNNNNNNNNNNNNNNNNNNNNNNNNNNNNNNNNNNNNNNNNNNNNNNNNNNNNNNNNNNNNNNNNNNNNNNNNNNNNNNNNNNNNNNNNNNNNNNNNNNNNNNNAAAAAAAAAAAAAAAAAAACAAUUGAGUUACUAUACUUAUGUUUCUUACUCUCCAAUUUGAUUCUGUAAUGAAGGCAUAGUGACUUUUGUGACCAGGAUUGAGGAAAGGGUUUAUUAUAAUGAUCCCUAGUUGAAUCCAAUUUCUAUGGCUAUACUCCUUUAUUAAGGACCUAUUAGGCCCCGCUAGGUAGGAGGAAUUCUACACUAUCAUACUUGCACCACGUCAUUAAUAAUAAGCCAAUUAUAUUCAUUUUUUUCAAACAAAAGUAUAAUAAAAAUAUUUUUUUACAAUCAUAAUGGGACAUAUACUCUUAAAAGGAGACAUUUGAUUGAUUUGUUACGCCAAGUCACUAAUACAUCUGUUACCUUCUAGAAUUUUUUGCUAGGUGGAUGGUGGAGUUUACUGUUUGAUGCUAAUAAUAGUUUAUUGCGGCAACACUAGUGCCCGUCCAAAUUCAAAAAUCCUUAACCCGAAGAUAGAAAUUUCCCCAACAAAGUAAGACCAAAGAAGGAGUAUUAUAUCGGUAAAUAAACCGCAUAAGUUGAUCAAAAUAUGUUAAACACUGCAUUUAACUUCGUUCCCUUAAUCUCCAAAAUUAGAUAUCAGCAUCUAAUUGCGCAUAGAUCUACUUCCGCAGGAACUACAUAACCAGAUGAUCGCAAUUAAAAAGAAACACGCUCGAAUCGAGUAAUCGAACCAAUCACCUGCACGAACAGCUCGAUCCCCCCUCGCCGCCCCCGGCAUCGUCUUCCUCCCGGCGACGGCGGGCGCGGCGGGGUAGCGGGGCAUGAGGAGAAGGACGACGGCGACGAGGAGGAGAGGGACGGAUCUGAAGCUAAUAUAUUUUGAAGUACUAAAAAUUUCAUUAGUUUGCUUUUCGCAAGAUUUUUAGUUUUUAAUUCCCCAAAUCCGAAAUCAAUUUAUUUACUAAAAUCAAACUGAAUCAGUCCAAGUGAGUUGCUUUUCCAGCUUAGUUUUUAUGAAACAUAUGGUUUUACCAUAAAUGGAAAUAUAGAUUUAUCUUGCCGCACAAUUUUGAUUUAAAUAAUUUGAUUAUUUUUUCAAUAUAAAAUUUAGAAUAAUUAUUUACUUAAUAAAUUUAUAUCUGUGUAAUUAAAAAUACAUUUAAAUUUUUAAAGCUAAAGAGUUAUUAGUUUAUUCAAAUCAAAUAAAUUAAAAAAUUAUGUAGCAAAAUUAAAAUUUUUAAAGAUUAGAUAAUCAGAUUAAAAUAAGUGACAGUUGAGGUCAGUUGUAUAAAUUUUUACUUUUUUAUUCGGGAAAUCUGAAAAAUUAGAAGAGGUAUUUAUUUCAAAAUAUGUUAAAUUUUUUGAUUUAUUGUCUAUUCUUUCUGAUUUGAGUUUCAUGAAAUUUUUGCUAACUAUAUACCCAGUGCUAUGUGCAGUAUGCCUUUUUCUCUUUUCUUUUUUUUUUUUUCAUUCUCCUUCAUUUGCAUUGUGACUGUAGAGUAUCCUACAUUGUAAAUUGAAAAUGAUUCCGGUUACUAAAGAGAAUAAAUAAUAUAAUUAUCUUAUACCAGAACAAACUCUUUACAAAAAAAUUUCACUUUGGCCCCUAAAAUUUAUAAUAUUUUAAUUUUUAAUGUAUCAUAGUUAGAAACUUUUGUGUAAUUUUCAAAAACUUGAGGGCGCCCAUGACCAUUGUUGGCCUCUCAAUAACUCUCCCCCGAUUCAGGACUAAGCAAAGCAUCCUAAAAGGACUUUGAUACAAGUAUGCUAGAUUGUUAAACAUAAAAAUAUAAAAAAAUCAUUCCGGCUUAAGUUUUUGAAAAAAAUAAUUAUUUUAUAUUAUUUAACAUUAUAUUAAAUCAAAAGAUUAUGAGUUCGAGUCACACCACGCUCCUAACCUAAUUGAUUUUUCUCUCAAUUAAUUUAAGUCCGCAUCAAACUCAGACAUAAAGAAGAGUAUUCAAUAUAAAAANAAAAUUUGAAAUUUCAAAGUUAAAAAUUUUAAAUUUAAAAAUAUAUAUUUAAAAUUUUAAAAAUUUAAAUUCAAAUAUAGUAAAAGAAUAAUAUGAUUAUUUUUUAUUUAUAAAACACACUAUCUUUCUUAUUCCAUCUUACCUAACCAAACGUUAUUUUUUUUAUUCCCAGGAAUAACCCAAUUUUCAUCCAAACACAAAAUUGAUUUAAUCCCCACUUAUACCUCAAUUUAUACCUAUCCCUGGAAUAGCCACUUUUUUCUUAUCCUCGAACCAAACGAUACCUUAAAAUAUUUUGCACAUCUACUGUUAGAUGGUAAUUUAUUGCUUAAACCUAAUAUACAUGUACUACAUAUUUGUAUACUUAUUUAUUGACUCUGUACUGUCAUGUUAUUUCUACAUUGCCGCUUGUAGAUUUACAAUCGUUUUUUUUUUUUUUUUUUAGAAAUUAGAGUGUUGAAUUGAAAGUAUGAGAUGAAAGAUGGGUUGAUGAAUUUGUGGUGCACAAACAUACCUGUAACAUUUUCCAAGGUAUUGCUUUAGAAGGUAUUACUGUUCAUUAUUUUGAGGAAUAAUGUAUUUUAUUAUGAGAUAAUUUGUCUUUCCAUGAAAAAAUUGAUUUUCUAGGCUAGAAGUUUGCUNUUCGAGUCACACCACGCUCCUAACCUAAUUGAUUUUUCUCUCAAUUAAUUUAAGUCCGCAUCAAACUCAGACAUAAAGAAGAGUAUUCAAUAUAAAAACAUAAAACAUUAUUAUCUAUCAGCUUAAAUAUUUAGAGAAAACAGUUAUUUCGCGUUGUUUAAUAUAGAUUGAAGCUAAAUGCACAGCUAAACAAGUAGGGUGGGCAAGUCCAUUAAAAAUCUCUAAAUGCUGCAUGUAAGUCCUCUAAAACUUGCAAUUUACCAGUAACAAAAAGAGAUGUACCACGUGCAGGAGUAUGUAACACUAGGGCGUUUGGAUUGAUGAAUUUGUAGAUUCAACGUAAGUCAAGUGUAAUGGUGUUUGAGUUUCCCUGAAGUGUGAUUAUUUUUCUGUUGUUUGUUUUGACGUAACUCGUACCACUGAAAGUUAAAUUCAAUCACUUCUNAAGGUAUUACUGUUCAUUAUUUUGAGGAAUAAUGUAUUUUAUUAUGAGAUAAUUUGUCUUUCCAUGAAAAAAUUGAUUUUCUAGGCUAGAAGUUUGCUUAUACUCCUCACAGUACGAAAUAAUUGCACAAAGCUAGAGUUUUUAUUUUGCACAAACUUCAAUUAACCCCUCCUAUGAUUUACUAUAUUUUUUUAAUUUUGCAAUCGUGCGACUUACAAGUUUUAUUUUGCUAUCCCAUAGUUUUAUCUUUGUUCUACCAUAACAAUUUGCCAUUAAAUAGAACAGUAAUGUAAGAUUAUUGUAAAUUAUAAUAAUAAUAUGGUUUAUAAAUUAUAAUAAUUUAGUUACAUGUGGUUUAUAAGUUACACUAUUUUAGCAAUCACUUCAACAGAAGGCCCUUAUAGUGAUAAAAAAAAAUAAAAAUUUAAAAACAAGGGCAAUAUGUCAAAGACAAAGUUUUUUUAACCACAUAUUAGAAAAGUGAAAAUAUGCUAAUUUAUAGGGGGCUAAUUAGAAGUUUAUUAUAUCCUAUUUUAUAGCGCUAUUCCAUCCAAAGGCCUACAUUUUAAAUAUGUGAGUAUAAGAUUUAUACUGUACUUUUAAGUGGGCAUAAUAUAUAUAAAGAAUAAAAGCUAAAUCUCAGAAUCUAUUCGCUGACUUAUCAUUCACAAUAUCAGUCAAAAUCACUUUUCAUUUGUGUAAGGGUGAUUCUUCAAUCUCUUUUUUUAUUACAUUUGUCAUCUAAACAAUGUCAAUAGUAUUAGAAGAUACCACCUGAGUUUAGGGUUGAGGGUUUGUUCGUAAACUUCGAUUGGCUAAAGUGGUAGCAACAUGCAUAUACUAAAUUGCGUUCAAAUUUUAUCCAUAUUUACCUUGUUCGAAUCNACAACAACAACAACACGCACACAAAAUAAAAACCCAUAUUUUUAUAUAUAUUAAUUAGACUUGAAACUAAUAAACUUUAAUUAAUAGAUUAUAAAUUUUAAAAUUUAAUUAAACUGAUGGAUAAGAAAUGGCGAAAUACUAAAACAGAAUGCUUUUUAGUGACGGAUGUGUACCACGUAGGUUUGUCCACACGUGAUCCCAAAAUAAGUAGGAAUUAUAGGAAAAAGUAAAAUAAGGUAGGUAAAUUAAGCAUACAUGUUUUUGGGUCGGGCAAACUUCGGACGUCGUGGACGAAGAGUGAGAGGUUUACGCUACUUGUCGUACUAAGUAGAGUUUCAUAAGAGGAUAGGCUUCUUCGCUGAUGUUACGAGAAUAGACUUUGAGAAAACCGGAAGAAUUUACAUACUCCAGUUAAAGAGCGUCGAGUUCGUAAAGUCUAGUAAAAACGUUGAAGGUGAUUUACGUUUCACUCCUCCUAGAGUAGAACACUUAAUCUAGAUCGUAGUUCCUAACUCAAGGGCAUGAAACAGAAAGCGAGGUUUACGCGUUUAAAAAAUUACAGUUGAAAAUGACAUCAUGCUUCACAAACAAUUAAACGAUCAAUUUAUACUAAGCUUGUUCCAUUUAUACCUAUUUUAAACUUGCGUUAAAUCAUAUACGUACAACGAUGGUGAAAUCGGUUAGCUUCAAAUGCUUGUUUGGGAGUUGGGAUUUGAGUCCACCAUAGAAGAUUAUGAUAACUGUAACAAAUCUACUGUUUACAUUAUUUUUUUCUCUAACUUCUUAGUGGGAACAACAACAACAACAACAUCAUGAUCUCUGCAGAGAGGGGUCUUUCUUUCUCAUGAAGAACAGGGCAUCUUCCGCACCAAGAUCCGAAUUUGGUUGAUUAAGAGAGGAAAUUUUGGGUCUCAAUAGAUAAAACAAAAACUUACUGCAUACAAUUGUGGAGCAAAGGAUUUUUUAAAAUAAAAAAAAAGGAGACAAAGCCUUAAUUAGCAAGAGAUGUUUAUGUAUGAAUUAACGAGUGCAUUUACGUAUGGUAACUUGGUAACUGUUAUACUUUCCUACCUGUAUUGUUUGGAUUCAUUAGUGAUAUUUGCAAUUUGUUAUGGAUUGAUGCAUUUAGCAGUGCAAUGUGUAUAUAUGCUUCAAAAGCGAGGUGUUUCAUCAAAAAAUUAAUCGAAUGGUUUAAGCUAUAGGUUUUAUGCCAAAAUAUUCAAAUAAAUGGUUCAAGUUAGGGGUUUUUUAAAAAAAAACAUUUGAAGUAUUGGAUGGAUCCUUACUUCAAUCUGAGCAGUUUUGGAGUUAACAGCUUGUUUUGGAUACUCUCUAAUACUGCUUUUCGAAAUAGAGUUGUUAUAGGUGCUACUGGUGUCGACCGAUAGUAGCUAGGUUAAAAAUUGAAACUGUUUCAAUCUUAAAACUUGUAAAUAAUAGUGUUUAAGAUUGUUUUUGGUUUCAUGUCAGCAUCUAUUUUGACAAAGCUGACUCUGUUUCCGGCUGAAUUUGUUUUGAAAUUGCUUCAGUUCGCCAUUUCAAUAUAAGCAACUGCUAAACUUGCAAAGACUCGUAAAGAUGGUAACAACAGCUGAAGUUAUUCUGAAUAAUCGCAUUUUUACAGAAGCUGUAUUUAUUUCAAGCAAAACAGUUUUGACAGAGCUAAAUUGGUCUCAAGCAAUCCGUAUCUACAAAUGCGGAAUUAGAAUUGCAGCAAAACCAAAAUGAUAAAUAUUUUUGCUUUUUGACGUAGAAUCAUUGGGCAUACAUUUCACAGUUGGAGAAAAAUUGCAUAAUAGUAAAGUCGCAAAAUCGUAAUGAGAAUUGGUUCACAAAUAAAAGAUAAUUUUAAUUUCUAAAAUUUCUCCUUCAUAAAGUUUUGAGUCAUCAUCCUACUCGCUUUCUUCAUUAAUUACCAUCGCUGCCAUCAUCAACAUGCAUCUUUGAUGCAUCAGGAUUUACCUGAAGUGAGUGAGCAAAAAAAGUCCUCCUUUAAUUAAGGGACCUUGCAAAAAAAAAGAAGAAAAAAACAAGAGGUCACCCUCCUCCUCAAACACCUUCAUCUUCAUUGCGUUUUUAUUCUUUUCCUCCUUUCCAGGCACGAGAGAGGAAAAAAAAAAAAAAAAAAAAAAACAACAACAACAAAGGGAGCAUGCUUUUCUGCCUCUUCAUCUGAAAAUGGACACCGAAAUAAAAAGAUCCAAAUAUUUUUAUAAAUUGUACAAUUAGGUAAAGAUUGAUCAUUGACCCAUGGGGUGUAUUUCACUGGUUAGGUUGAUGUGAUUAGUAAAAUACACUUUAUUUUUAUAAAUUGUACAAUUAGGUAAAGAUUGAUCAUUGACCCAUGGGGUGUAUUUCACCAGUUACAUUGAUGUUAUUAGUAAAAUACACUUUAUUUUUAAAUAGAUGGGGUGUAUAUUCUAUACCCAAUGAAUGUAUAAGUAAGAGUUUUCAAAAAAGAAAAAAAAGAAAAAAAAAAGGCAUUGGCGCGUGCGUUCUCUCGAAGCUCCUCUGGAACCAUCAGCNAAUAAAAAUUAAUAUAUUUUUCACCAAUGGGAGUCUAACGUAAAAAAAAAAAAGAAAAAGAAAAAGAAAAUGAUAGUAUAAAGAGGUGUAAAUUAAGAAAAUAAUUUUUUUAUGGCUAUUAAGAAAAUCAGUGCUAAUUAAAAAAGACAAUUUCGAAUUGUGGUGCAUUGCUGAAGGGGUCUCCAUACUUUUUUUUUUCCUUUUUUUUGGGGCAAUCAAAAUUUAUACAUAUCAAUUGCUCAAAUAUAAUAGUAUCUAAGAAUAAUAUCGUGGGGUGAAAAUCGUUUUGAUAUUACUCAAUCUAAUUGGACUCUGAAGCCAAAGAUUAUCGGAUUUGGAUUGAAAUUUUACUAUCCAUUACGGACUCAAAUUUAGAUUUAGAUCCGAAAUUUGAAAUUCUUUUGGGUUCAAAUUAAGAUUCACUAUUCCUUUUCCAAUUCGGAUUCAAAAUUAUUCGAAACAAAAACUGAUUUUGACUGCUUUUUUAAUUUCUUAAGUAAUGCCAUUUAAGCAUCUUUCAGAAAUCUCAAACAUCUUCAUUGCAUUUUCUUCACUUGGAAGAGAAAAUAAUAAUAAUAAUAAUAAUAAUAAUAAUAAUAAUAGUAAUAAUAAUAAUAAGUCCCUCCUUUUCCACCUUUUCAUUUGAAAAUGGACACUGAAACAACAAGAAAAAAUUUCUUCAAUACCCUUCCAAGUAGUUCUAAUUUUAUGAAUACCCUUCAAAAUUUUAAAAUUUUCAUACUUGCCCUCCAAAAGUAUGGAAAAGUUUCAAAAAUACUCUCACUGUCACUGUCAGUAAUCUGUUAUAUUAACUUCAAAAUACCAAUUUUACCCCCUAUUUUAAUUUAAUCACCACUCUCACAAUUUUUUUUUUGAAUAUAUGGAGACCCCUCAAUUACAACCCAUUAUGAAAUACCCUCCUAAAUUUAACUUUUUAAUUAAAGUCUUCUUAAAUUUUAUUUUCUUAAAUUGAAUGAUUUUUUUAUUAUUAAAUUAGAGAUUUUAUCUAAUCUAUUAAUGAUUCAAACAAAUUUAAUAAUUUUAAUAACUUCGUAGUAUAUAAAAUUAAAUAAGUUUCUGUUCAAAAAAGAAAAUUAAUAAAAACUUCAAAGAUUUACUUAAAUGACCUAUAGUUGAUAGUUUUAGUAUAAAUAUCAAAAAAUAAGUGAAAGAAGUUUGAUUUUUAAACAAAAGGGAAAACUUCAAAAAACCCCUCUGUGGUUUCGUAGUUUCUCACUUUGCUCCCCUGUAGUUUAAAAUGUAUCAAAUUGCCCCCAUAUGAUUUCGUUUUUAUCUUUUUGGUAGCUUUUUCGUUAAUAUUUCAUUAAAUUAUAUACAAAAAAAACUUCAGAUACCCAUCUAGAUUUAUCAAAUAUUCACUUUAGUACUCUUUAAAUUAACUUUAUCACUGAUUUAAGAAAAAAUAAUAAUAAAAUUGAUAAAAAAAAGAGAAAAAAGAAAUCACGGGGGGCAAAUUGAUACAUUUUAAACCACAGGGGGGCAAAGUGAGAAACUACGUAAAUACAGGGGGGUUUUUGAAGUUUUCUCUAAACAAAAAGUGAACAAAUUAAGGGCAAAAUGGUAAUUUCAUAUUUUGAAAUAAAAUAAAAAAAUGCUAUGUUGACGGAAGUUAGCAAAAAAUAACGGUGAGGCUAUUUAUGAAAGCAAUAUUAUAUUUAGAGGGGCAUUUGUGACAUUUUAAAAAUUCAAUGGGUGUUUAUGAUAUUUCAUAACUUUGUGAGGGUACAAAUGAAAUUAACCCAAACAACAAGAUCCAAAGAGCAAAUUUGAAACUGAUAAUAUUUUUAUAAUCUGUACAAUUGGAUAAAGAUUGAUCAUUGACCCAUGGGGUGUAUUUCACUAGUUACAUUGAUGUGAUUAAUUAGUAAAAUACACUUUAUUUAUUUUUAAAUAGGUGGGGUGUGUAUUCGAUACCCAAUGAAUGUAUGAGUAAGAGUUUUCUAAAAAAAAAAAAAAGAGGAGGAACAAAAAAAGCAUUGACGCGUGCGUUCCGGCCCCCACCAUAAUGAUUGGAGACACAGCACAAUAAUUGGAGCAAACAUCUUCCACUGGCGGAGAGCAUCCCCUUAUUAUCCUCUGCUUCUCUGUAGGAGGACGUUCGUAUUGAGAAGGAUUAGGCAGCAGCACGCGCGAUGGCGGAGGGGAUCGCAUUCGACUUGGUCAAAGGAGUGCUGGGCAAGCUGGGCUCCGCUCUCUGGGACGAAAUCGGGCUGCUGCGGAGCUUCAAGGACGACGCGGACGACCUCAGAAGCAACUUCUCGGCGAUACAGGCGGUGCUUCUCGACGCCGAGGAGCGAAGCAGCGCUGGGAAGGAGACCCACGCGCUGCGCGACUGGCUGCGCAAACUGAAGGACGCCGCCUACGACCUGCUGGACGAGAUCCGGACGCAACAGCAGUAUCCCGAGGUGCAGAAUCAUCAACACCAGCCAGCUGGAAAGGUACGUGGAUUUCUGUCCCGCGCUAAUCCGAUGCAUCUGAAGUUUAAGGUCAAGAUGGCGCACAGGAUGAAAGCGCUCCGAGAAAAGAUCGGUAAGAUCGCGAAACAGAGGCAUGAUUUCGGUCUUGCCGAAGCUGGCCCUGGUCGGCAGGCUGAGUUCAAACGCCCUGACACAUAUUCAGUCGUCGACGAAAAGACAAUAGUUGGGAGAGAUGGUGAUAAAGAGGAAAUUGUGAAGCUCCUGUUAGAGACGGGCGGCGAUCACGACGUGUCGGUCAUUCCGAUAGUGGGAUUGGGAGGAUUGGGGAAGACGACGCUCGCUCAGAUGGCCUUCAACGACGGGCGGGUUACGGAUCAGCAGUGCUUUGAUCUAUGGGUGUGGGUCUGCGUGUCUACUGAUUUCGACAUGAAGACGAUUGCAAAGCCGGUGAUAUCUGCAGCCGGAGAGAAUUGUGCUCUUGAUAACUCGGAUGCCGUCGCCAGUUGUCUUGUUAGGAUCUUUAGCCAGAAGAGAUUUUUGCUGGUGCUGGACGAUGUAUGGAACGAAGAUCAGGAAAAGUGGGAGAAUUUGAAGGUCUUAUUUAAGGACAGCAAGAAGGGAAGUAAAAUUUUAGUCACCACGCGGAGCAAGAAGGUUGCCACGAUAAUGAAAACAGUCGAACCACACCAUGUGAAAGUCUUAUCAGAUGAUGAUUGUUGGACAUUGUUCAAAAGACGGGCAUUCGAGAAAGGGGAAGAGAACGACUAUCCGAGUUUGGUGGAAAUUGGAAAGCAGAUAGUAGAGAAGUGUGGUGGCUUGCCUUUAGCAGCAAAUGCCUUAGGAAGUAUGAUGCGCUUUAAGAGGACAGAGAAUGAAUGGUCCGCUACUAGAGAUAGCGAAAUAUGGAGGUUGGAAGAAGGAACUAUUUUACCAUCAUUAAAAUUGAGCUACAUUCAGAUGCCGUCGGCUUUGAAGCAGUGCUUUGCUUACUGCUCCAUUUUCCCCAAAGACUAUGAGAUUGACAAGGAUGACUUGAUCCGGCAGUGGAUUGCUUUAGGCUUCAUUUCAUCGCAUGAAACAUGGACUUCGAUGGAAGAUAUCGGGAAUGAGUACUUUAACGAUCUAUUAUGGAUGUCUUUCCUUCAGGACGUGGAGGAGAAUUAUAGAGGGGUCACCUGCUGCCGGAUGCAUGAUUUAGUGCACGACCUCGCACAAUCUGUGGCAAAAGAAGAAGUUGCUGUUAUAAGUGCAGAAGAGUCAGCAAGGAUCCCAGAAGGUUGCCGCUAUGCAUCAAUACACAGUCGUUUCACGCCACAGGUUUCAAUUACCGUAAUGCAAAGGUUGCGAGCUCUUCAAUUUAGGGAAUCUGGUUCACCUAUUAUGACUCUUUAUAGCGAGGCAAAAUGGUUACGCCUGUUGGAUUUACAUGAUUCCAAAAUUUCUAUGUUGNAAAGCAUUGGCGCGUGCGUUCCGGCCCCCACCAUAAUUAUUGGAGACACAGCACAAUAAUUGGAGCAAUCAUCUUCCACUGGUGGAGGAGCAUCCCCUUAUCAUCCUCUGCUUCUCUGUAGUAGGACGUUCGUAUUGAGAAGGAUUAGGCAGCAGCACGCGCGCGCGAUGGCGGAGGGGAUCGCAUUCGAAUUGGUGACGGGAGUGCUGGGCAAGCUGGGCUCCGCUCUCGGGGACGAAAUCGGGCUGCUGCGGAGCUUCAAGGACGACGCGGACGACCUCCGAAGCAACUUCUCUGCGAUCCAGGCGGUGCUUCUCGACGCCGAGGAGCGAAGCAGCGCUGGGAAGGAGAGCCACGCUCUGCGCGACUGGCUGCGCAAACUGAAGGACGCCGCCUACGACGCCGACGACCUGCUGGACGAGAUCCGGACGCAACAGCAGUACCCCGAGGUGCAGAAUCAUCAACACCAGCCAGCUGGAAAGGUACGUGGAUUUCUGUCCCGCGCUAAUCCGAUGCAUCUGAAGUUUAAGGUCAAGAUGGCGCACAGGAUGAAAGCGCUCAGAGAAAAGAUCGGUAAGAUCGCGAAACAGAGGCAUGAUUUCGGUCUUGCCGAAGCUGGCCCUCUUGGACAGGCUGAGUUCAAGCGCCCUGAGACAUUCUCGGUCGUCGACGAAAAGACAAUAGUGGGGAGAGAUGGUGAUAAAGAGGAAAUUGUGAACCUUCUCCUAGAGACUAACAGCGAUCACGACGUGUCGGUCAUUCCGAUCGUGGGAUUGGGGGGAUUGGGGAAGACGACGCUUGCUCAGCUGGCCUACAACGACGAGCGGGUUACGGACGAGCUGGUUACGGGCCAGAAGCGCUUUGAUCUACGGGUGUGGGUCUGCGUGUCUACCGAUUUCCACAUGAAGACGAUUGCAAAGCCGGUGAUAUCUGCAGCUGGAGAAAAUUGUGCUCUUGAUAACUCGGAUGCCGUUGCCACUUGCCUUGUCAGGAUCUUUAGCCAGAAGAGAUUUUUGCUGGUGCUGGAUGAUGUAUGGAACGAAGAUCAGAAUAAGUGGAAGGAAUUGAAUGUUGUAUUUAAGAACAGCAAGAAGGGAAGUAAAGUCUUAGUGACCACGCGGAGCGAAAAGGUUGCCGAGAUAAUGAAAACAGUCAAACCGCACCGUGUGAAAGGCUUAUCAGAUGAUGAUUGUUGGACAUUGUUCAAAAGACGGGUAUUCGAUGAUGGGGAAGAGAACUACUAUCCGAGUUUGGUCGCAAUCGGAAAGCAGAUAGUUAAGAAGUGCGGCGGUGUGCCGUUAGCAGCAAAUGCUUUAGGAAGUAUGAUGCGCUUUAAGAGCAGGACAGAGGAUGCAUGGUCCGCUAUUAGAGAUAGCGAAAUUUGGAGUCUGAAAGAAGAGAAAACUAUUUUACCAUCGUUAAAGUUGAGCUACAUUCAGAUGCCGUCGGCUUUGAAGCAGUGCUUUUGUGACGCCCCAACUUCCCAGGAGGUCACCCAUCCUAGGACUACUCCCGUCCUAGCACGCUUAACUCUCUUAACCUCUUAGGCCUUGCUACCACCCAAAAUGCUUAAGCUGGGUUAAGAGUUUAGCCCUAUUAUAUCUUGUAUAUAGGACUACCCGGGGUCUCACAGCUUUGCUUACUGCUCCAUAUUCCCCAAAGACUAUGAGAUUGACAAGGAUGACUUGAUCCGGCAAUGGAUUGCUUUAGGCUUCAUUUCAUCGCAUGAAACAUGGACUUCGACGGAAGAUAUUGGGAAUGAGUACUUUAACAAUCUAUUAUGGAUGUCUUUCCUUCAAGACGUGAAGGAAAAUUAUAGAAAGGUUACCACCUGUCGGAUGCAUGAUUUAGUGCACGACCUCGCACAAUCUGUAGCAAGAGAAGAAGUUGCUGCUAUAGUUGGAAAAGAGUCAACAGGGUUCCCGGAAGGUUGUCGCUAUGCAUCAAUACACAGUAGUUUCAUGCCACAGAUUCCAACCACAGUAGUGCGGAGGUUGCGAGCUCUUCAAUUUAGGAAAUCUGGUUCACUUAUUAUGGAUUUUUAUAGCGAUGCAAAAUGCUUAUGCCUGUUGGAUUUACAUGGUUCCAAAAUUUCUAUGCUGCCAAGCUCAAUCGGUAAGUUGAAGCUCAUANUAAGAUACCUCAACCUUUCGAAGAACAGUAUACAAGAAUUGCCUGAAUCAACUACCAGCCUCUGCAACUUGCAAACCUUGAAUCUUUCACGCUGCCGCGAGAUCCGUACAUUACCCAAAUUUCUAGGAAGGCUUACGAAUUUGCGGAUUUUAGAUUUAGGAGGUUGCCUAUCUCUGACAAUACUGGACUCCAUUAGCAACCUUCAGAAUUUGUACACACUAGAUUUGAGUUGGUGCCAAAAGGUGAUAUCACUUGAACCUAUAUGUCACCUCAAAAACCUGCAUGACUUAAACCUAUCAUGUCUAAAAUCUUUGGUGGCAUUACCUGAAUCCAUUGGGAGCCUUCAAAACUUGCGUAUUCUGAACCUUUCUUGGUGCUAUUCCCUACUAUCAUUACCCUCAUCGUUAUGUCACCUCAAAAACCUGCAUAGGUGCUCUUCUCUAGAAUCGUUACCCUCAUCGUUAUGUCACCUCAAAAACCUGCAUCACUUAAACCUAUCGUGUCUAAAUUCUUUGGUGGCAUUACCUGAAUCCAUUGGGAGCCUUCAAAACUUGCAUAUUCUGAACGUUUCUGAAUGCUCGUCUCUAGAAUCAUUACCCUCAUCGUCAAGUGAUCUUCAGCAUUUAGAGAAACUCGACAUCCGUGAUUGUGGAAAAUUAUGUGAGCUGCCUAAAAUGAUCCAAAAGCUGACCAAACUUAGAGUCUUGUUAAACAACAAUUGCUCGGAAUUGAAGGGCAUGCCCCGAGGGAUCGGCAAGUUAGUUAGCUUGCAGGAAUUGUCCGUUUUUGUCGUCGGCAAGCAAGACCGCGUCGAACAUUGUGCCAGCAUCUCUGAGCUAGAGCACUUGAAGCUUGUCGGCCAGCUGCGGAUCAAGGGUCUCGAGAAUGUGACGAGUCCGGUUGAUGCCAAGGCUGCAAAUUUGAUAGAGAAGAACCUGCGGUCUUUGAAGUUGGAAUGGAACGUUUUAAGCGCAGAAGAAGCCGUGUUAGAAAAUCUUCAACCACAUCAAAAGCUAGAGAAUUUGGAAAUAGGAGGCUAUGGAGGCGGGAAGUUUCCUAGCUGGAUGAUGAACAGGAUUGGCUCGUGCCUCCCAAAUCUCGUUAAAAUCAAACUAGCGAAUAUGCCCGGAUGCAGCUCACUUCCGCAGCUGGGGCAACUUCCUUUUCUUGAAGAACUGACUAUACGAAACAUGCCCGCGGUAACAAAUUUGGGCGUAGAUAAGUUCCCUGCGCUGACGACACUUGAGUUGUCCUCCAUGCCGGAGCUGCGAGAAUGGGUGACUGUGUUGACGGUGGAUGACGAAGAAGGCAGGCGAGAGCGAGUUCCCAUUUUUCCGCGUCUCACUCAAUUGUGGCUUAAAGGAUGUCCUCAAUUGAGGCCGGAGCCUUGCGUCCCGCCAUCGGUUAAGUAUCUGACCAUUUCUAGAGCAAGCAAGGAGAAUCUAUCGUUGAUACUCGAACGCGCGAUGCCAUUUGGAGGCGGUGAUGCCGCCGUUUCACCCCAACCGCCACCAGAUAAGGGGCUGCGGGAUCUAGUAAUAAACGAAUGUCAGCAGCUUACCUGUUUGCCCGAGAGCUUGCGGGGUCUCACGUCCCUCCAGCGGCUGAGAAUAUCUGAUUGUGAAGAUCUUGAGAGAAUUGAAGAUUGGCUCGGGGAGCUCUCCGACCUGCAGUCCUUGGAGAUCUGGGAGUGCAGCAGUCUCCGUUACUUGCCUGCGCACAAGAUGACCACACUUCAGGAGUUAGAUAUUAACAAGUGCCCCCUGUUGUUCGAUGCGGACGGACGAUUUGUCGACACCAGUGUCGAUCACAUCAAAAAUGUCGAAGUUGAUGGGAGGUAAUUAAUUUGGAACUCUGACUACUCUUUAAUUAAUGAGCUAGCACCUUAAUAUUCUAUUGUAGCUAGCAUGAACAUCUCGGUUUUUUUUUUNCUCUGCAACUUGCAAGCCUUGAAUCUUUCAGGCUGCCGUGAGAUCCGUACAUUACCCAAAUUUCUAGGAAGGCUUACGAAUUUGCGGAUUUUAGAUUUAAGGGAUUGCCCAUCUCUGACAAUACCUGACUCCAUUAGCAACCUGCAGAAUUUGUAUGCACUAAAUUUGAGUUUGUGCAAAAACGUGAUAUCACUUGAACCUAUAUGUCACCUCAAAAACCUGCAUUACCUAGACCUAUCAUAUCUAGAUUCUUUGGUGGCAUUACCUGAAUCCAUUGGAAGCCUUCAAAAUUUGCGUGGUCUCAACCUUUCUAGCUGCUCUUCUCUAGAAUGGUUACCCUCAUCAUUAUGUCACCUCAAAAACCUGCAUCUCUUAAACCUAUCAAAUCUAGAAUCUUUGGUGGCAUUACCUGAAUGCAUUGGGAGCCUUCAAAACUUGCGUAUUUUGAGCCUUUUUGGCUGCUCUUCUCUAAAAUCAUUACCCUCAUCAUUAUGUGAUCUCAAAAACCUGCAUGACUUAAACCUAUCACGUCUAAAAUCUUUGGUGGCAUUACCUGAAUCCAUUGGGAGCCUUCAAAACUUGCGUAUUCUGAAUGUUUCUAAAUGCUAUUCUCUACUAUCGUUACCCUCAUCGUCAAGUGAUCUUCAGCAUUUAGAGAAACUCGACAUCAGUGGUUGUAAAAAAUUAUGUGAGCUGCCUAAAAUGAUCCGAAAGCUGACCAAACUUAGGGUCUUGUUAAACAACAAGUGCUCAGAAUUGAAGGGCAUGCCCCGAGGGAUCAGCAAGUUAGUUAGCUUGCAGGAAUUGUCCGUUUUUGUCGUCGGCAAGCAAGACCGCGUGGAACAUUGUGCCAGCAUCUCUGAGCUCGAGCACCUUAAGCUUGUCGGCGAGCUGGAGAUCAAGGGUCUUGAAAAUGUGACGAGUCCGGUUCAUGCCAAGGCUGCAAAUUUGAUAGAGAAGAACCUGCGGAAUUUGAAGUUGGAAUGGAAAGUUUUAAGUGCGGAAGAAGGCACGGAUAGUACUGUACUACCGGUGGAAGAGAUCGAAACCGUGCUUGAAAAUCUUCAACCACAUCAAAAGCUAGAGAAUUUGAAAAUAGAAGGCUAUGGAGGCGGGAAGUUUCCUAGCUGGAUGAUGAAUAGGAUUGGCUCGUGCCUCCCUAAUCUACUUCAAAUCGAACUAGCGGAUAUGCCCGGAUGCAGCUCACUUCCGCAGCUGGGGCAACUUCCUUUUCUUAAAGAACUAACUAUACGAAAUAUGCCCGCAGUAACAAAUUUGGGGGUAGAUAAGUUCCCUGCGCUGACGAGACUUGACUUGUCCUCCAUGCCGGUGCUGCGAGAAUGGGUGACUGUGUUGACGGUGGACGACGAAGAAGGCAGGCGAGAGCGAGUUCCCAUUUUUCCGCGUCUCACUGGAUUGUGGCUUAAAGAAUGUCCUCAGUUGAGGCCGGAGCCUUGCCUGCCGCCAUCGGUUUUGAUUAUGAUCAUUUCUAGAACAAGCAGCGAGAAUCUAUCGUUAAUUCUCGAACGCGCGACGCCAUUUGGUGAUGGUAAUGCCGCCGUUUCACACCAACCGCCACCAGAUAAGGGGCUGCAGGAUCUAGUAAUAAACGAAUGUCAGCAGCUAACUUGUUUGCCCGAGAGCUUGCGGGGUCUCACGUCCCUCCAGCGCCUGGACAUAUGGGGUUGCCAUGAUCUUGGGAGAAUUGAAGAUUGGCUCGGGGAGCUCUCCGACCUGCAGUCCUUGACCAUCUCGAAGUGCCGCAGUCUCCGUUACUUGCCUGCCCGCAAGAUGGCCGCACUUCAGAUGUUAUCUAUCGGGAAUUGCCCGCUGUUGUUCGAUGCAGACGGACAAUUUGUCGACACCAGUGUCGAUCACAUCAAAGAAGUCUAUGUUAAUGGAAGGUAAUUAAUUUGGAACUCUGACUACUCUUUAAUUAAUUAGCUGGCUAGCACCUAAAUAUUAAUUCUAUCGUAGCUAGCAUAAACAUCUCUUUUUCUUUUUCUUUUUUUUUUCUAAAUAUUCGGAUGGAAAACUUUCAAUUAGCCCCACCGCACCUGAUUCAGAGCAUUUUCGUUUGCUAUGAAAUAUUUCAUUUUGCUAUUUUAUAGUUUUGUUUUUAUUUUCUUGCAAAAAUCUUCUACAAGAAAGAAAAAAGAAACAAAUUAAAGUGCUAAAAUGUAUGAAUUAUAAGGCUGUCAAUUAAUUUAUUUUACAAACCACAUAGGGACUGUGUGAAAUAUAUAUAUAUAAUCAUUUUAGUAUUUUAUGGUUUAUAAAUUUAUCACUUUAAUACUCCACUUUAAUUACUUGAGAUUGGAUAUAAUCAUAGGAUUUUCAAGUAAAACUAUUUAAAACGUAGUGUGGCAAAAAGAAAACACAUUAAACUACAUUUCAAUAUCAAAAGUGCAAUUAAGAUAUUCGAAAACAUGGUUGGUUUUCUGGAAAAAUUUUCAAGUGGUCUCUUGCAUGUGCAUAGACUAAUUAAUGAAAUUUUAAUCUUUUCUUAAUUUGUAGCGAUUUGAGAUGCCAGAAAAUUUCUACUUGAACGAUAUAUAGUAUUUACAAAGUAAUUAUUUUCAGUGAUAUUGUUGAUAUACUAUUUGAGUCCUUGGAUAUUUUUUUUUACAAAUUGAAAUUAGGUAUCUUAUAUAUCAUACAUUAUUAAAAUGUCUAAGCAAAAUGUCCAGCACAUGUUGCACGAGCGUCGGAUAAAAAAUAACCAUUUUGUGUUGUUGUGUUGUAGUUCUUACCGGUACAAGAAACAAGCGAGCAGCUCACCACAGGAGGAAGAGAGCUCAGCGAAGGAGGAGAAGAAGAUUGGUUAGCGAGNGAAAAAUUUCUACUUGAACGAUAUAUAGUAUUUACAAAGUAACUAUUUUUGGUCAUAUUGUUGAUAUAUUAUUCAAGUCCUGGAAUAUUUUUCUUUAUAAAUUGAAAUCAGGUAUGUUAUAUAUCAUACGUUAUUAGAAAGUCUAAGCAAAAUGUGCAGCACAUAUAUACUGCACGAGCGUCGAAUAAAAAAGUAACUAUUUUGUGUUGUUGUGGUGUAGAAAAUACCCGUACAAGGAACAAGCGAGCAGCUCGCCACAUGUGGAAGAGAGCUCACCGAAGGAGGAGGAGGAGAAGAAGAUUGGUUAGCGAGGAGAGCAUAAGUAUAUGUACCUAUUAUUUGGAGGUAAAAAGAUAUUAGAUAUUAUCUAAACUAUACUGCACUUUGAAAGCGGCCAAUUGGGCUUUACGAAAUUCGAUUUUAAUUCGAUUUUGACAUAAGAAAUUUUCUUUGAAAGAUUUGUUAGAUCCUUUUAGAAUUUAGUCUCUUCCGUUAAACAAAGUGCAGAAUGUUUCAUAAAAUAACAAAAUAUUUUUUUUAUCAAAUUUUAAAAUAUUUUAUCAAAAAAUGUUAAGUAACCUUUCAAAUUCUCUAUGGAACAUAAUAAACACGGCGGAAAGUUAGAGAGUAGAAUUAAAUUUUUUAAAGUUCNAUAUAUAUAUAUAUAUAUAUAUAUAUAUAUAAUUGAGCCAGAAUACUGUUAAAAGAACCAACCCCUUGGUACUUUUGAGUUUCUAGCCCUUGGAUCUACUCCUUGAUUAUUAAUAAUCUUUGAAUCAAACACUAUUCCACCUACCACCACUUACCACCAUCAUCUCAACCCUACAUCUUUCCAUUCAAUAGCUAAAAACUCAAAAGCACCAAUCCCUUGGUGCUUUUGAGAGUAUUCUAGUUCAACUCUUCCUCUCUCUCUCUCUCUCUCUCUCUCUAUAUAUAUAUAUAUAUUAGUAUUUUAUGGUUUAUAAAUUUUAGCACUUUAGUACUCUACUCUACUUUAGAUAGGUUCUUAUGAUCGUAUAUAAUUAAAAAAAAAAUCCAUAGGAUUUUCAAGUAAAACUAUUUAAAACGUAUGGCGGCAAAAUGAAAACGGGUUAAACCACAUUUCAAUAUCAAAAGUGCAGUUAAGAUAUUCGAAAACAUGGUUGGUUUUCUGGAAAAAAAUUCAAGUGGUCUCUUGCAUGUACAUAGAGUAAUUAAUGAAAUUUUAACCUUUUCUUAAUUUGUAGCGAUUUGAGAUGCUGGAAAAUUUCUACUUGAACGAUAUAUAGUAUUUACAAAGUAAUUAUUUUCGGUCAUAUUGUUAAUACACUAUUCAAGUUCUGGGAUAUUUUUCUUUACAAAUUGAAAUCAGCUAUGUUAUAUAUCAUACGUUAUUAGAAAGUCUAACCAAAAUGUACAAUACAUAUAUGCUGCACGAGCGUCGGAUAAAAAAGUAAUCAUUUUGUGUUGUUGUGCUGUAGAAAAUACCCGUACAAGGAACAAGCGAGCAGCUCACCACAUGUGGAAAAGAGCUCACCGAAGGAGGAGAAGGAGAAGAAGAUUGGUUAGCGAGGAGAGCAUAAGUAUAUAUACCUAUUAUUUGGAGGUAAAAGGAUAUUAGAUAUUAUAUCUAUACUAUACUGCACUUUGAAAGUGGCCAAUUGGGCUUUAUGAAUUUUGAUAUUAAUUCGAUUUUAAUUCAAUUUUGAUAUAAGAAAUUUUCUUUGAAAGAUUUGUUAGAUCUUUUUAGAAUUUAGUCUCUUCCGUUAAACAAAGUGCAGAAUGUUUCAUAAAAUAAAAAAUAAUUUUUUAAUCAAAUUUUAAAAUAUUUUAUCAAAAAAUGUUAAGUAUCUCAAAGGACCAUAAUAAGCACUGCGGAAAGUUAGAGAGUAGAAUUAAAUUUUUUAAAGUUCAGUUAUUUAUCUCAAAGCGUAGUAUAGCUCACGUAAGAAUCAUUCUCUUUUAGCUUAUUUGGUGAUCACUAUUCCCCUUUGAGAAGAGUUUUCUUUUUCCCUUUGUUUUGCCAAAAAUAAACAAAUUUUAUAUAUCUACAUGCAAUGGUGACAGUUUUUAUUCAUAAACUUGUGGCCUUCUCUUUCAAGUUGGUGCUAUUUAGCUUUCCGGACAAGAAUUGUAGUGUGCUGUUGUCGGGUUAAUAUAUAUUUGUGUUUUCGUGAUAUAAAUUUAGUUUCGGAAUGUACUAUUUUAUAAUUUGGUUUGAUUGUUGGUAAUUUUAUGGUGUUCUCUAUAUAUGUUAUGGGCUUGAAAAAGAUUGUUUGGUUUGAAUAAACAAAAUGUUGCUACUUUUUUAAUACGGAUAUUAGAGGGUACAUUAAUUUUUAAGUAAAUCUCACGUAGAGUUUAUUACUAGCUAGUAUAUAUGCAUUGUGUUACGAACUUGUUUAAAAUCAGAUGCUGUUUUUGGCAUGCAAGUUGAAGCUAGUAUAUAUGUAUGUACCGCAGUUGAGAGGGUUAAUUUCCAUCUAUGUUUACUUUAAUUUAUCUUUUCUUUUAUUUGAUUAGAUCCGAAUUAAGCCGAUAAAUUUUAAAGUAUUAAAAGUUUUAUUAUUUUGCUUUCUGCAAGAUUUUUAGUUUUUAAAUUCNUGAAGUACUAAAAUUUUAUUAAUUUUCUUUUCGCAAGAUUUUUAGUUUUUAAUUCCCCAAAUUCGAAAUCAAUUUAUUACUAAAAUCAAACUUGAGGUGCUUUUCCCAUUUGGUUUUCACGAAACGUGUGGUUUAAAUGGGAAUAUAGAUUUAUGUUGCCGCACAAUUUAAUUUAUUUGAUUUAAGCGAUUUGAUUACUUUUUUAAUAUAAAAUUUAGAAUAAUUAUUUAUUUCAAUAAAUUUAUAUUUGCAUAAUUAAAAAUAUAUUUAAAAUUUUAAAGUCAAAGAGUCAUUAGUUGAUUUAAAUCAAAUAAAUUAAAAGAUUAUAUAGCAAAAUUAAAAUUUUUAAAGAUUAGAUAAUCAGAUUAAAAGAACUGACAGUCGGGGCGAGUUAUAUAAAUUUUUGACUUUUUUAUCCAAGAAAUCUGGAAAAUUAAAAGAGGUAUUUACUUCAAAAUAUGUUAAACUAUUAUUAUUAUUAUUAUUAUUAUUAUUUUACCAUAAAGCAUUUUCGAGAACCUAACAUUUGGGACCAACCGUAAAAAUAAUAAGAAAAAUUGUGCGAAAUUAACUGAAAAUUUAUUUUAUUGAAAAUCUCACCGUGAAUUUUUUUUUUUAUUGUCUAUUCUUUCUGAUUUGAGUUUGCUUUUCUUCUUCUUUUUUUUUGGGAAAAUGCAGUAUGCAUAAUUGAUCCUUGAUUUAUACUAUAGUUUCAGCUUAACAACUGGAAAAAAAAAUGCUAUAAAAAUUAAAUAUGUGGAUAAAAUAUUAAGGUAUCGCAUAAAUAUAACCGCAUAGUUCUUCAAUAACAAUUAAGCACAAUUUUAUAGCUUCGGACGAGAAAAGAUUAGAAGCAGUUUUAAAAUUUUUGGACCUUUCAAAAUAUGAAAAUGUUGCUUCUUACCACUACGUUCCUAAAGAAAGUUGGGUUAGUUGCAAUUUUUUAUACUUACGAAUUAAAUGAAUGAAAUACAAUAAAAAGAAAAUAUUAAGGAUGAAUAAAACCUUGGUGCAUCACCUGUUUGGAUGCACCAGGUGUAGGCAGUGAUUUUUCAUAAAACGAAAUCGUAAAGCGUUAAAGAAUAGGUAGUCAAAUUAAUUUAAAUUUUUAAAUAUUAGAUAAUUAAUUUCAAAUUAUAAAAGUUCAGAUUAAUUAAGUACAUUUUUAUACCCAAAAAUUAAACACAGCAACAACAACAACAACAUGACCACUGCAAAGAGGGGUCUUUCUUUCUCAUAAAGAACAGGGCAUCCCGUGCACCAAGAUACGAAUUUGGUUGAUCAAGAGAGAAAAUUUUGGCUCUCCAAUAGAUAGAACAAAAACUUGCUGCAUACAAUUGUGGAGCAAAGCCUUUUUUAAAAUAAAAAAGGUGAUAAAACCUUAAUUAGCAAGAGAUGUUUUAUGUACGAAAUUAUUUUUAUUUUUAUUUUUUAAGAGAUAGGUAGCACGCCACCUACUUCGUUUAUUUCAUUUAGAAAUAAACUUAGCUGAAAAUAUGAAUCAACUAGGAUUCGAACUUGGGUCUCGGGUACUAACCACUAAGCCCUUUGCCACUUGCUUUAGGAACGGUCGGUUAUGUACGAUAAAUUAACAAGUGCAUUUAUGUAUGGUAACUUGGUAACGGUUAUACCUUCCUACUUGUACUGUUUGGAUUCAUUAGUGAUAUUUGCAGUUUGUUAUGAAUGCAUUAAGCAGUGCAAUGUGUACGUAUGCUUCAAAAGCUAGGUGUUUCGCCAAAUAAUUAAUCGAAUGGUUUAAGCUAGGUGUGUUGCCCAAAGAUUCAAAUAAAUGGUUCAAGUUAGGGGUUUUUUAAAAAAAUUCUUGUUAAGUAUUGGAUGGAUCUUUGCUUCAAUCUGAGCAGUUUUGGAGUUAACAGCUUGUUUUGGAUACUCUCUAAUACUAUUUUUUGAAAUAGAGUUGUUACUGUUAAGUGUUAAAUAUAAAAAUGUUUAAAUACCGUUUUCUAACAAUUUAAGCUUUUAGAGUACAACGGUUAUUUCACAUGGUAUCAGAGCAGGAGGUUCUAAGUUCGAGUCACGCUAGGCUCCUAGCAUAUUAAUUUUCUUCCAUUUAAUUCAAGCCCACGUCAUGGGCCGAUUAAAAAGUUUUGAGCCCAGACGUGAGGGGGAGUGUUAAGUGUUAAAUAUAAAAAUGUUUAAACACCGUUCUCUAAGUACAACGGUUGUUUCACAGUUACUACAGUUACUCCUCUUGUUGAUGUACUGCAGUACUGGGUGAUGCUACUGGUGUCUUUGAAUGAUGAGUUUAGACCAAUAGCAGCUAAGUUAAAAAUUGAAACAGUUUCAAUCUUAAAACUUCUAAAUAAUAAUAGUAUUUAAGAUUGCUUUUAGUUUUAGCUCAGCAUCUAAAUUGUUCUCCAGCAAUCCAUACAUAUUUGCCUUUUGAUGUAGAAUCAUUGGGCAUACACUUCACAGUUUAAGAAAAGCUGCAUAAUAGAAAAGCUGCAAAAUCAUAAAUAGAAUGAGUGCAUAAAUAGAAGAGAAUUAAUUAAUAACAUUGAUGUCUAAAACAAAUUUCUCCUUCAUGAAGUUUUGAGUCAUCAUCCUACUUGCUUCAUUUCUCUCGCUGCCAUCAACAUGCAUCUUGGAUGCAUUAGGAUUUACUUAAAGUGACAACAAAAGUGAACAAAAACCAAAGCAAAAUAAAAAAGCAAAAUAAAGGAGUAGCAACAAAUAAAAACAAUAAACUCUGAAAGGCAUUAACAUAGAUUGAAGCCAAAUGCACAGCUAAACAAGUAGCGUGGGUCAGUCCAUAAAAAUCUCUAGAUGCUGCAUGUAGUCCUCUAAAUCUUGCAAUUUAUCUGAAAUAAAAAGAGAUGCAUCAUGUGCAGAAGUAUGUAACACUAAGGAUUGCAGAUGUAGGCGAUCUGAUCAUGAGCAACUACAAACUAUGGCUGGCACACAUUUAUUUAAUUAUAUUUUACUUGUUCACUAAGCGGAGAGCCAGCUCAGCCACCAUGAUCAUUGCUCUCUUUUACGAAGUGGGGCGUGUGAAAUUGCCCCACUCUACUUUUAUUUUUUUCACUUAUAUUUAUUUGUCUCAAUUAGAUCUCUAUAUUAAUAACAAUGUUAUUUUCUUUUUUGUUUUAAACCUAUGUUAAGACCAUCAAGAGUUGAGUAGCAGUUGAGAUCUAUGGCAAUGGUGACAACAAUGAAAAACAAAUGAGCUGUUGUCUCUAAUAAUAUAAUGAGAAUGCCAAUUUAAUUUUAAUUUGAAUCCGUAAAUUUAAAUUUUAAUUUGAAUCCAUAAAUUUAAUUUAAGUUUGAAAUAAAAUUUCAAUAAAAUNCAGUAAGUCUAUUGAUCUGUCGUAGAGAAAGAGUUGUUAUUUAAUUUAUGAAGAAAUAUAACUUCAAAAUAAGAAAUACGACUGGUGCAUUCAAAAGUAGAGUGUAAAUCUAAGAUUUAUCCUCAAUAUGAAAUUUGUUUAAAAUCUCAUCUUAGCAUCCUUUCAGUGUAAGGACUAGUUUACUGGAAUAGGCUUUGGCAUCCUACCUAAUUCCAUAUAACGUUUUGAUUCUGGUGGUCGCAGUAGGGUAAAUUUGAAUUUAUCAAAUCAACUUAUCAUGACACAUAACUUCUCUUUGCUUUUCCUUUUUUGUUUUUCCUUUUCUUUUUGGAUAAAAGCCUUCCCAUGCUUGUAUGCAAGAGAUUAUAACGGGAUUGCUUAUGAAUAUAAGAGAAGAUUGAUGUUUAUUUUUUGAAAUUUGUUGUUUGUCUGACGAUCCUGAUUAAAUAAUAUGAAGUACAUAUCUCUGUUUCUUACAUUUAUUUGAUCUUUAUAUACGUUUCAUUUUGGUCCUCAAACUUUCAAGUUCCGAGACUAUGAACUCUUAAAAUAUUUUGCACAUCUACCGUUAGAUGGUAAUUUAUUGCCUAAACCUAAUAUACGUGUACUACAUAUUUGUAUACUUAUUUAUCGACUCUGUACUGUUAUGUUAUUUCUACAUUGCCGCUUGUAGAUUUACAAUUUUUUUUUUUUAAUUUAGAAAUUAGAGUAUUGAAUUGAAAGUAUGAGAUGAGAGAUGGGUUGAUGAAUUUGUGGUGCACAAACAUGCCGGUAACAUUUUCCAAGGUAUCGCUGUUCAUUAUUUUGAGGAAUAAUAUAUUUUAUUAUGAGAUAAUUUAUCUUUCCGUGAAAAAAUUGAAUUUUAGGCUAAAUAUUUUAUCCAUUCUAGGAGUUUUCUUAUACUCCUCACAGUAUGAAAUAAUUGCACAAAGCUAGAGUUUCUAUUUUGCACAAACUUAAAUUAACCCCUCCUAUGAUUUACUGUAUUUUUUUAAUUCUGCAAUCGUGCGACUUAGAAGUUUUAUUUUGCUAUCCCAUAGUUUUGUCUUUGUUCUACCGUAACAAUUUGUCAUUAAAUAGAAUAGUAAUGUAAGAUUAUUGUAAAUUAUAAUAAUAAUAUGGUUUGUAAAUUAUAAUAAUUUAGUUACAUGUGGUUUAUAAGUUACACUAUUUUCGCAACUAAUUCAACUGAAGGGCCUUAUAGUGAUAAAAAAAAAAUUAAAAAUUUAAAAACAAGGGCAAUAUGUCAAAGCCAAAGUUUUUUUAACCACAUAUUGAAAAAGUGAAAAUAUGCUAAUUUAUAGGGGGCUAAUUAGAAGUUUAUUACAUCCUCUUUUAUAGCGCUAUUCCAUCCAAAGGCCUACAUUUUCACACUAAUUUUAUCAAUUUUUUCUUUGUUCAUAUUAAAAACUUAAAAGUAUUGUGUAAUUUUUUAAAUAUGUGAGUAUAAGAUUUACACUGCACUUUUGAGUGGGUAUAAUAUAUAAAAAGAAUAAAAGCUAAAUCUUAAAAUUCAUCCGUUGACUUAUCAUCCACAUUAUCAGUCAAAAUUUUUAUUUGGACAAGAGUGAUUUUUCAAUCUCUUUUUUUAUUACAUUUGUCACCUAAACAAUUUCAAUAGCAUUUGGAGGUACCAUCUGGAUUUAGGGUUGAGGGUUUGUUCGUAAACUUCGAUUGGCGAAAGUGGUAGCAACGUGCAUGUACUAAAUUGCAUAAGAGUAAAGUCGCAAAAACGUAAAGAGAAUCGGUUCACAAAUAGAAGACGAUUUUAAUUAAUAGCAUUGAUGUCUAAAAAAAAAUUUCUCCUUCAUAAAGUUUUGAGUCAUCAUCCUACUCGCUUUCUUCAUUAAUUACCAUCGCCGCCAUCAACAUGCAUCUUUGAUGCAUCAGGAUUUACCUGAAGUGAAAAGUCCUCCUUUAAGGGACCUUGCAAAAAAAAAAAAAAAAAAAAAAGAAGGUCCCCCUCCUCCUUAAACAUCUUCGUUGCGGUUUUAUUCGUUUCCUCCUUUCCAAGCACGAGAGAGGGGGAAAAAAAAAACCAACAAAGGGAGCUUGCUUCUCUGCCUCUUUAUCCGAAAAUAUUUUUAUAAAUUGUACAAUUGGGUAAAGAUUGAUCAUUGACCCAUGGGGUGUAUUUCACUAGUUACAUUGAUGUUAUUAGUAAAAUACACUUUAUUUUUAAAUAGAUGGGGUGUAUAUUCUAUACCCAAUGAAUGUAUAAGUAAGAGUUUUAAAAAAAAAACAAAAAAAAAGAGUAAAAAAAAAAAAGCAUUGGCGCGUGCGUUCCGGCCCCCACCAUAAUUAUUGGAGACACAGCACAAUAAUUGGAGCAAUCAUCUUCCACUGGUGGAGGAGCAUCCCCUUAUCAUCCUCUGCUUCUCUGUAGUAGGACGUUCGUAUUGAGAAGGAUUAGGCAGCAGCACGCGCGCGCGAUGGNAAAGCAUUGGCGCGUGCGUUCCGGCCCCCACCAUAAUUAUUGGAGACACAGCACAAUAAUUGGAGCAAUCAUCUUCCACUGGUGGAGGAGCAUCCCCUUAUCAUCCUCUGCUUCUCUGUAGUAGGACGUUCGUAUUGAGAAGGAUUAGGCAGCAGCACGCGCGAGCGAUGGCGGAGGGGAUCGCAUUCGACUUGGUCGAAGGAGUGCUGGGCAAGCUGGGCUCCGCUCUCUGGGACGAAAUCGGGCUGCUGCGGAGCUUCAAGGACGACGCGGACGACCUCAGAAGCAACUUCUCGGCGAUCCAGGCGGUGCUUCUCGACGCCGAGGAGCGAAGCAGCCCUGGGAAGGAGACCCACGCUCUGCGCGACUGGCUGCGCAAACUGAAGGACGCCGCCUACGACGCCGACGGCCUGCUGGACGAGAUCCGGACGCAAGCGGCCCUCCGGCAACAACAGCAUCCGGAGGUGCAGAAUCAAAACCAGCCAGCUGAAAAGGUACGUGAAUUCCUGUCCCACGCUAAUCCGAUGCGUCUGAAGUUUAAGGUCAAGAUGGCACACAGGAUGAAAGAGCUCAGAGAGAAGAUCGGUAAGAUCGCGAAACAGAGGCAUGAUUUCGGUCUUGCCGAAGCUGACCCUCUUCGACAGGCUGAGUUCAAGCGCCCUGAGACAUUCUCGGUUGUCGACGAAAAGACAAUAGUCGGGAGAGAUGGUGAUAAAGAGGAAAUUGUGAAGCUUCUCCUAGAGACUAACAGCGAUCACGACGUGUCGGUCAUUCCGAUCGUGGGAUUGGGGGGUUUGGGGAAGACGACGCUUGCUCAGCUGGCCUACAACGACGAGCGGGUUACGGACGAGUUGGUUAUGGGCCAGCAGCGAUUUGAUCUACGGGUGUGGGUCUGCGUGUCUACCGAUUUCCACAUGAAGAAGAUUGCAAAGCCGGUGAUAUCUGCAGCUGGAGAAAAUUGUGCUCUUGAUAACUCGGAUGCCGUCGCCAGUUGCCUUGUCAGGAUCUUUAGCCAGAAGAGAUUCUUGCUGGUGUUGGAUGAUGUGUGGAACGAAGAUAAAGGGAAGUGGAAGGAAUUGAAGGUUGUAUUUAAGGACGGCAGGCAGGGAAGUAAAAUCUUAGUAACCACACGAAGCGAAAAGGUCGCCGCGAUAAUGAAAACAGUCGAACCACACCGUGUGAAAGGCUUAUCAGAUGAUGAUUGUUGGACAUUGUUCAAAAGGCUGGCAUUCGAUGAGGGGGAAGAGAACGACUAUCCGAGUUUGGUCGCAAUCGGAAAGCAGAUAGUAAAGAAGUGCGGCGGCGUGCCUUUAGCAGCGAAUGCUUUAGGAAGUAUGAUGUAUUCAAAGAACAGGACAGAGGAUGCAUGGUCCGCUACUAGGGAUAACGAAAUUUGGAGUCUGCAAGAAGAGAAAACUAUUUUACCAUCAUUAAAGUUGAGCUACAUUCAGAUGCCGUCGGCUUUGAAGCAGUGCUUUGCUUACUGCUCCAUAUUCCCAAAAGACUACGAGAUUGACAAGGAUGACUUGAUCCGGCAAUGGAUUGCUUUAGGCUUCAUUUCAUCGCAUGAAACAUGGACUUCGAUGGAAGAUAUUGGGAAUGAGUACUUUAACAAUCUAUUAUGGAUGUCUUUCCUUCAGGACAAAGAAUAUAGAAAGGUUACCACCUGCCGGAUGCAUGAUUUAGUGCACGACCUCGCACAAUCUGUAGCAAGAGAAGAAGUUGCUGUUAUAGUUGGAGAAGAGUCAACAAGGAUCCCGGAAAGUUGCCGCUAUGUCUUGAUAUACAGUCGUUUCACGCCACAGGUUUCAAUUACCAUAAUGCGGAGGUUGCGAGCUCUUCAAUUUAGGGAAUCUGGCUCACUUAUUAUGGCUUUUUAUAGCGAGGCAAAAUGCUUACGCCUGUUGGAUUUACAUGGUUCCGAAAUUUCUAUGCUGCCAAGCUCAAUCGGUAAGUUGAAGCUCUUAAGAUACCUCAACCUUUCGUCAACCAAUGUACAAGAACUGCCUGAAUCAAUUACCAGCCUCUGCAACUUGCAAUCCUUGAAUCUUUCAGGCUGCCGUNAUUUACAUGGUUCCGAAAUUUCUAUGCUGCCAAGCUCAAUCGGUAAGUUGAAGCUCUUAAGAUACCUCAACCUUUCGUCAACCAAUGUACAAGAACUGCCUGAAUCAAUUACCAGCCUCUGCAACUUGCAAUCCUUGAAUCUUUCAGGCUGCCGUGAGAUCCGUACAUUACCCAAAUUUCUAGGAAGGCUUACGAAUUUGCGGAUUUUAGAUUUAAGCGAGUGCAGUUCUCUGACAAUACUUGACUCCAUUAGCAACCUUCAGAAUUUGUACACACUAGAUUUGAGUUGGUGCCAAAAGGUGAUAUCACUUGAACCUAUAUGUCACCUCAAAAACCUGCAUUACCUAGACCUAUCAAAUCUAGAAUCUUUGGUGGCAUUACCUGAAUCCAUUGGGAGCCUUCAAAAUUUGCGUAGUCUCAACCUUUCUAGCUGCUCUUCUCUAGAAUGGUUACCCUCAUCGUCAAGUGAUCUUCAGCAUUUAGAGAAACUCGACAUUAGUGGUUGUGGAAAAUUAUGUGAGCUGCCUAAAAUGAUCCAAAAGCUGACCAAACUUAGAGUCUUGUUAAACAACAAUUGCUCGGAAUUGAAGGGCAUGCCCCGAGGGAUCGGCAAGUUAGUUAGCUUGCAGGAAUUGUCCGUUUUUGUCGUCGGCAAGCAAGACCGCGUCGAACAUUGUGCCAGUAUCUGUGAGCUCGAGCACCUUAAGCUUGUUGGCGAGCUGGAGAUCAAGGGUCUUGAAAAUGUGACGAGUCCGGUUGAUGCCAAGGCUGCAAAUUUGAUAGAGAAGAAGCUGCGGUCUUUGAAGUUGGAAUGGAACGUUUUAAGUGCGGAAGAAGGCAUUGAUAGUACUGUACUACCGGCGGAAGAGAUCGAAACCGUGCUAGAAAAUCUUCAACCACAUCAAAAGCUAGAGAAUUUGGAAAUAGGAGGCUAUGGAGGCGGGAAGUUUUCUAGCUGGAUGAUGAACAGGAUUGGCUCGUGCCUGCCAAAUCUCGUUGGAAUCGAACUAGCGGAUAUGCCCGGAUGCAGCUCACUCCCGCAGCUGGGGCAACUUCCUUUUCUUGAACAACUGACUAUACAAAACAUGCCCGCGGUAACAAAUUUCAGCGUACAUAAGUUCCCUGCGCUGAAGACACUUGAGUUGUCCUCCAUGCCGGUGCUGCGAGAAUGGGUGACUGUGUUGACGAUGGAUGAUGAAGAAGGCAGGCGAGAGCGAGUUCCCAUUUUUCCGUGUCUCACUUAUUUGGGUCUAUAUGAAUGUCCUCAGUUGAGGCCGGAGCCUUGCCUCCCGCCAUCGGUUGAGCAUAUGGGCAUCUACAGAACAAGCAAGGAGAAUCUAUCGUUGAUACUCGAACGCGCGAUGCCAUUUGGAGGUGGUGAUGCCGCCGUUUCACCCCAACCGCCACCAGAUAAGGGGCUGCCGGGUCUAGGAAUAGUAGGAUGUCGGCAGCUAACUUGUUUGCCCGAGAGCUUGCGAAGUCUCACGUCUCUCCAGUCGCUGGGAAUAUAUGAUUGUGAAGAUCUCGAGAGAAUUGAAGAUUGGCUCGGGGAGCUCACCGAGCUGCGGUCCUUGUACAUCGAUGGGUGCAGCAGUCUCCAUUACUUGCCUGCGCACAAGAUGACCGCACUUCAGGAGUUAUGUAUUGGGAUUUGCCCGCUGUUGUUCGAUGCGGACGGACGAUUUGUCGACACUAGUGUCGAUCACAUAAAAAAUGUCGAAGUUGAUGGGAGGUAAUUACUUUGGAACUCUAACUACUCUUUAAUUAAUGAGCUAGCACCUUAAUAUUCUAUUGUAGCUAGCAUAAACAUCUGUUUUUUUUUUUUUUNAGCAGUUGAGAUCUAUGGCAAUGGUGACAACAAUGAAAAACAAAUGAGCUGUUGUCUCUAAUAAUAUAAUGAGAAUGCCAAUUUAAUUUUAAUUUAAAAUUAUAUAUUUAAUUUUUAAAUUUUAACUUAUAUUUUAAUUAAAAAAAGUUGAAAAAAUAAAUUUAAUCCGAAUAAAUAUAAUUCCGUACGGAUUCAACUUUUAAUCCGGCCUACUAGGCCGGAUUGAAAAAAGAGGUGAUUGGAGGAUUCUCAUUCCACUCGGGAAUCGGAAUCGGAAUGGGACUCCCACGUACCAAACACUCACAAACGGAUUUACUUAUUCCGAUUCCGAUUUCAAGGUAAAAAAGAAGCAAACCAAACACGCCCAAUAUAUUUAUCUUAUAUCAGCACAAACUUUUUACAAAAAAAUUUCAUUUGGUCGCUAAAAUUUAUAAUAUUUUAAUUUUUACUGUGUCAUAGUUAGAAACUUUUGUGUAAUUUUCAAAAAGUUGAGAGGGUCCAUGACCAUUGUCGGCCUCUCAAUAGCUCUUCCCCUGUUCUGGAUUCAGCAAAGCAUCCUGAGAGGGGAUUGAUACGAGUUUGCUAGAUUGUUAAAUAUAAAUAUAUAAAAAUAUCAUUCUUUACGAGAUUAAUUACUUUUUGAAAAAAAAAAUGAUUAUUUCGUAUUAUUUAACAUCGUAUCAAAGUAGAAAAUUCUGAGUUCGAGUCACGUCAGACUUCUAGCCUAAUUGAUUUUUUCUCUCAGUUAAUUUAAGUCCACAUCGAGCUCAAACGUGAGAAAAAAUAUUAAAUAUAAAAAUAUUAUUAUCUAUCACUUUAAAUUUUUUGAGAAAACGAUUGUUUCGUAUUGUUUAACAUAGAUUGGAGCCAAAUAUAUAGCUAAACAAGUGGCGUGGGUCAAUCCAUAAAAAUCUCUAUAGAUGAUGCUGUAGGUAAGUUCUCUAAAACUUGCAAUUUAUCUGAAACAAAAAGAGAUGAUGUAUCACGUUCAGAAGUAUGUAACAGUGAGGAUUGCAGCAGGCUGUAGGCGAUUUGGUUAUGAGCAACUACAAUUAAACUAUGGCUGGCAUACAUUUAUUUAAUUACAUUUUACAUGUGCACUUAUAGAUAGCAUGCUGUUGUAACUUCCACAUAUUUAUCUUUUUCCUGGAGUGUAGAAUUAUGCUGAGACUUGUGAUCUUUGCACUAUUUUAUAAAGUGCAGGUUUACGUCUGUUUCCAUUUCAAAAAAAUUAUAUAUUUCUUUUUGGUUAAAUUACAUAAAGUGACCUGCACUAUACUGGCGUAUGAAAUUACCCCCCUCCACCCAUCCCUCUGUCAACUUUUAUUUUCUCAUUUAUAUUUAUUUGUCUUAUUUAGACGGUAGACCCCUGUAUAUGUUAAUAACAAGGUUAUUUUACUGAUCGUUUCUAACGCAAGUAGCAAAAAAUUUAGUGGUUGAUAAUCAAGAUUCUAAAUUUGAAUCCUAGUUGAUUCAUAUCUCUAGCUAAGUUUAUUUCUAAAUGAAAUAAACGAAACAGUAGAAUAGCAGUUGAGAUCUAUGGCAAUGGUGACAGCGACGAAAAACAAAUAAGCUCUUGUCUCUAAUAAUAUAAUGAGAAUGUCAACAGAUACAAAAGAAAUCUAAGUUUUUUUAUUCUAGUUUAUGACCGAUUUUGAAAAAAGAUUCCAAUGGCAUCUCUAGUUUAUAAUUUUAUAUACAUUUGAGGUAAUUAGGUGUACUAAAAAUUUCUAUAUUUUUGGCUGACGGGAUCUAAUUUUUUUUAAAAAAUGAUAGUAUAAAGAGGUGUAAAUUAACUAAGAAAAUAAUUUUUUAUGGCAAUUAAGAAAAUCAAUGCUAAUUAGAAAAAGGCGGUUUUGAACUGUGGUGCAGUGCUGCAUAGAGAUGUCAACGGGUCGGAUUCGAGGCGGAUUUUUAAAAACCCGAACCUGAACCCGACUCCAAAUCCGAGACCCGAAUCCGAACCCGAAUCCAACGGAUUUUAAAAAUUCAUAUCCAAACCUGAACCCGACCAAAAAUCCGAAACCCGAACCCGAAUCCGAACCCGAACCCGAAAAUUUGAACCCAAAAUAAUAAAUUUUUUUUUCAAUAUUUCAAAAUAUAUUAUAUUAAAUCUAAAUUUUUAAAAUACAAAUUCAAAUAUAACAUCAAAUUUAUAUAUAUAUAUUAUAUAUAAUACAAAAUAAAUUCGGGUUCGGGUCGGAUUUGGGUUCGGAUUCGGGUUAGGUACAAUCAAAAUCCAUAUCCGAAUCCAUAUCCGUCGGAUUUCUAUUUUUUAUAUCCAUAUCCAUCGGAUAUAUCCGUUUCAUUCGGAUUCGGAUUCGGAUAAAAUUUCGGAUAUUCAUACCCAUUGACAUCCCUAGUGCUGCAGUGGUCCAACUCUCCAUACUUUUUUUUUUCUCUUUUUUGGGCAAUCAAAAUUUAUACAUAUCAAUUCUUCACAUAUAAUAGUAUCUUAGAAUAUUAUCGUGGGGUGAAAAUCAUUUUACUCAAUCUGAUCCCACUCUGAAGCCGAAGAUUGUCGGAUUUGGAGUGAAAUUUUACUAUCCAUUACGGAUUCAGAUUCAAAUCUGAAAUUUGAAUUUUUUUUUUGAGUUCAAAUUAAAGAUUCACUAUUUCUUUUUAAAUUCGAAUUCUAAAUUAUUGGAAACCAAAACUGAUUUUGACCGCUUUUUUAAUUUCUGAAGUAAUACCAUUUAAGCAUCUUUCAGAAAUCUCAAGCAUUCAUUGCGUUUUCUUCAGUUGGAUGAGAAAAUAAUAAUAAUAAUAAUAAUAAUAAUAAUAAGGGCGGCUCUCCUUUUCUGCCGCUUCAUUUUUUAAAAAUGGACACAGAAACGACAAGAUCCAAAGAGCAAAUUUGAAACUGAUAAUAUUUUUUAUAUUCUGCACAAUAGGAUAAGGACGAUUGAGGGACUAGCAUAUGCAAAAGAUCAAAGAUUCCCGGCGUAAUUAUCGAAGCAACAGCACAAUAAUUAAUUGGAGCGAUCACCUACUACCACUGCAGAGCAUCCCCCCUUAUUCUCUGCCUCCCUGCAGUAGGACGGUUGUAUUGAGAAGAAGCACAUAGCUGCUGUCGUAGGUAGCAGCACGCGCGAUGGCGGAGGGGAUUGCAUUCGAUCUGGUCAAAGGAGUGCUCGGCAAACUGGGCUCAACUCUCUGGGACGAAAUCGGACUGCUGCGGAGCUUCAAGAACGACGCGGACGAUCUCAGAAGCAACUUCUCGGCGAUCCAGGCGGUGCUUCUCGACGCCGAGGAGCGGAGCAGCGCUGGGAAGGAGAGCCACGCUCUGCGCGACUGGCUGCGCAAACUGAAGGACGCCGCCUACGACGCCGACGACCUGCUGGACGAGAUCCGGACGCAAGCGGCCCUCCGGCAACAGCAGUAUCCCGAGGUGCUGAAUCAACACCAGCCAGCUGGAAAGGUACGUGAAUUUCUGUCCCGGGCUAAUCCGAUGCAUCUGAAGUUUAAGCGCAAGAUGGCACACAGGAUGAAAGAGCUCAGAGAAAAGAUCGGUAAGAUCGCGAAACAGAGGCAUGAUUUUGGUCUUGCCGAAGCUGGCCCUCUUCGACAGGCUGAAUUCAAGCGCCCUGAGACAUUCUCGAUCGUCGACGAAAAGACAAUAGUCGGGAGAGAUGAUGAUAAAGAGAAAAUUGUGAAGCUUCUCCUUGAGACCAGCAGCGAUCACGACGUGUCGAUCAUUCCGAUCGUGGGAUUGGGGGGUUUGGGGAAGACGACACUCGCUCAGCUGGCCUUCAACGACGGGCAGGUUACAGGCCAGCAGCGCUUCGAUUUACGGGCGUGGGUCUGCGUGUCUACCGAUUUCGACAUGAAGAUGAUUGCAAAGCCGGUGAUAUCUGCAGCUGGAGAGAAUUGUGCUCUUGAUAACUCGGAUGCCGUCGCCAGUUGCCUUGUCAGUAUCUUCAGCCAGAAGAGAUUUUUGCUGGUGCUGGAUGAUGUAUGGAAUGAAGAUCAGGAAAGGUGGGAGAAAUUGAAGGUUUUAUUUAAGGACGGUAAGCAAGGAAGUAAAAUCUUAGUGACCACACGGAGCGAAAAGGUUGCCGAGAUAAUGAAAACAGUCGAGCCGCACCGUGUGAAAGGCUUAUCAGAUGAUGAUUGUUGGACAUUGUUCAAAAGGCGGGCAUUCAAGGAAGGGGAAGAGAAUGACUAUCCGAGCUUGGUCGAAAUCGGAAAGCAGAUAGUAAAGAAGUGUGGUGGCUUGCCUUUAGCAGCAAAUGCUUUAGGAAGUAUGAUGCGCUUUAAGAGCAGAACGGAGGAUGCAUGGUCCGCUAUUAGAGAUAGCGAAAUAUGGAGAUUGGAAAAAGAGGAAACUAUUUUACCAUCAUUGAAAUUGAGCUACAUUCAGAUGCCGUCGGCUUUGAAGCAGUGCUUCGCUUACUGCUCCAUAUUCCCCAAAGACUAUGAGAUUGACAAGGAUGACUUGAUCCGGCAAUGGAUUGCUUUAGGCUUCAUUUCAUCGCAUGAAACAUGGACUUCGAUGGAAGAUAUUGGGAAUGAGUACCUUAACGAUCUAUUAUGGAUGUCUUUUCUUCAAGAUGUGUGGGAAUAUUAUAGAAAGGGUACCACCUGCCGUAUGCAUGAUUUAGUGCACGACCUCGCACAAUCUGUAGCAAGAGAAGAAGUUGCUGUUAUAGGUGCAGAAGAGUCAACGAGGAUCCCGGAAAGUUGCCGCUAUGUCUCGAUAUACAGUCGUUUCACGCCACAGCUGGUUUCAAGUACCGUAAUGCAGAGGUUGCGAGCUCUUCAAUUUAGGGAAUCUGGUUCACCUACUAUGAAUUUUUAUAGCGAGGCAAAAUGGUUACGCCUGUUGGAUUUACAUGAUUCCAAAAUUUCUAUGUUGCCAAGCUCAAUCAGUAAGUUGAAGCUCCUAAGAUACCUCAACCUUUCGGAGAACAGUAUACAAGAAUUGCCUGAAUCAAUUACCAGCCUCUGCAACUUGCAAACCUUGAAUCUUUCAGGCUGCCAAAAGAUCCGUACAUUACCCAAAUUUCUAGGAAGGCUUACGAAUUUGCGGAAUUUAGAUUUAAGCGACUGCAGUUCUCUGACAAUACCUGACUCCAUUAGCAACCUUCAGAAUUUGUACGCACUAAAUUUGAGUUCGUGCGAAAAUGUGAUAUCACUUGAACCUAUAUGUCACCUCAAAAACCUUCAUUACCUAAACCUAUCAGAUCUAAUGUUUAUGGAGACUUUACCAAAAUCCAUUGAGAGCCUUCAAAACUUGCGUACUCUGAAUCUUUCUAACUGCAUUUCUCUGCUAUCAUUACCCUCAUCAUUAUGUGAUCUCAAAAACCUGCAUGACUUAAACCUAUCACGUCUAAAAUCUUUGGUGACAUUACCUGAAUCCAUUGGAAGCCUUCAAAACUUGCGUAUUCUGAACGUUUCUGAAUGCUCUUCUCUAGAAUCAUUACCCUUAUCGUCAAGUGAUCUUCAGCAUUUAGAGAAACUCGACAUCAGGGGUUGUAAAAAAUUAUGUGAGCUGCCCAAAAUGAUCCAAAAGCUGACCAAACUUAGGGUCUUGUUAAACAACGAGUGCUCAGAAUUGAAGGGCAUGCCCCGAGGGAUCAGCAAGUUAGUUAGCUUGCAGGAAUUGUCUGUUUUUGUGGUCGGCAAGCAAGACCGCGUCGAACAUUGUGCCAGCAUCUCUGAGCUCGAGCACCUUAAGCUUGUCGGCGAGCUGGAGAUCAAGGGUCUUGAAAAUGUGACGAGUCCGGUUGACGCCAAGGCUGCAAAUUUGAUAGAGAAGAACCUGCGGUCUUUGAAGUUGAAAUGGAACGUUUUAAGUGCGGAAGAAGGCAUGGACAGUACUGUACUACCGGCGGAAGAGAUCGAAACCGUGCUAGAAAAUCUUCAACCACAUCAGAAGCUAGAGGAAUUGGAAAUAGAAGGCUACGGAGGCGGGAAGUUUCCUAGCUGGAUGAUGAAUAGGAUUGGCUCGUGCCUCCCAAAUCUCGUUAAAAUCAAACUUGAGAAUAUGCCCGGGUGCAGCUCACUCCCGCCGCUGGGGCAACUCCCUUUUCUUAAAGCACUAACUAUACGAAAUAUGCCCGCGGUAACAAAUUUGGGCGUAGAUAAGUUCCCUGCGCUGAUGAGACUUAACUUGUCCUCCAUGCCGGUGCUGCGAGAAUGGGUGACUGUGUUGACGGUGGAUGACGAAGAAGGCAGGCGAGAGCGAGUUCCCAUUUUUCCGUGUCUCACUCAAUUGUACCUUAAAGAAUGCCCUAAAUUGAGGCCGGAGCCUUGCCUCCCGCCAUCGGUUUUGCAUAUGGGCAUCUCUAGAACAAGCAGCGAGAACCUAUCGUUGAUUUUCGAACGCGCGAUGCCACUUGGUGAUGGUGAUGGUGAUGGUGAUGGUGAUGGUGAUGCCGCCGUUUCACCCCAACCGCCACCGAAUAAGGGGCUGCGGAGUCUACAAAUAGGAGGAUGUCAGCAGCUAACUUGUUUGCCCGAGAGCUUGCGGAGUCUCACGUCUCUCCAGCGGCUGAUAAUAUCUGAUUGUGAAGAUCUUGAGAGAAUUGAAGAUUGGUUUGGGGAGCUCUCCGACCUGCGGUCCUUGAUCAUCCAGGGGUGCAGCAGUCUCCGUUACUUGCCUGCCCACAAGAUGACCGCACUUAAGAGGUUACAUAUUGAUGGUUACCCGCUGUUGUUCGAUGCAGAUGGAAGGUAAUUAAUUUGCAACUCUGGCUACUCUUUAUUUAGCUGGCUAGCACCUUAAUAUUCUAUCGUCGCUAGCAUAUAAACCUCUCUUCUUCUUCUUCCUUUUUUUUUUUUCUAAAUAUUCGGAUGGAAAACUUUCAAUUAGCCCCACCGCACGUGAUUCGGAGCAUUUUCAUUUGCUAUGAAAUAUUUCAUUUUGCUAUUUUAAUUUAUAGUUGUGUUUUUAUUUUCUUGCAAAAAUCUUCUACAAAAAAGAAAAAAAAAAAUUAAAGUGCUAAAAUAUAUGAAUUAUAAGACAGUCAAGUAAUUUAUUUUACAAACCACAUAGGGACUAUGUGAAAUAAAUAAAUAAAUAAAUAAAUAAAUAAAUAAAUAUAUAUAUAUUAUAGUAUUUUAUGAUUUAUAAAUUUUAGCACUUUAAAUAGUUUUACUUUAAAAUCUUGUGGUUAUUCCUUUUCUUUGUAUCAUCGUAAGAAUUUGCCGUCAAGUAAAUGUAUUAAAGUGCUAAAAUUUAUAAAUCAUGGGAUAGUAAAGUGAUACAUUUUAUGAAACAAAAGGUAGCCGCCUGUAUCUAUAUAUAUUUUUUCACAUAGCACUCUAUGGUUUAUAAACUAUAUUCCUUUACUACUCUAUAAUUCAAAAUUUCUAGCACUUCAAUAUUCUUUGGUAGUAGGUCCUUACGGUAAAAUAAAGACGCAAUAAUAAAGUAGCAANGGUUUUCUGGAAAAAAUUUCAAGUGGUCUCUUGCAUGUACAUAGACUAAUUAAUGAAAUUUUAACCUUUUCUUAAUUUGUAGCGAUUUGAGAUGCUAAAAAAUUUCUACUUGAACGAUAUAUAGUAUUUACAAAGUAACUAUUUUCGGUCAUAUUGUUGAUAUACUAUUCGAGUCCUAGGAUAUUUUUUUUUACAAAUUGAAAUCAGGUAUGUUAUAUAUCAUACGUUAUUAGAAAGUCUAAGCAAAAUAUACAACACAUAUAUACUGCACGAGUGUCGAAUAAAAAAGUAACCUUUUUGUGUUGUUGUGGUGUAGAAAAUACCCGUACAAGGAACAAGCGAGCAGCUCGUCACAUGUGGAAGAGAGCUCACCGAAGGAGGAGGAGGAGAAGAAGAUUGGUUAGCGAGGAGAGCAUAAGUAUAUGUAUCUCUUAUUUGGAGUUAAAAGAUAUUAGAUAUUAGAUAAAUUAUACUGCACUUUGAAAGCGGCCAAUUGGGCUUUACGAAUUUCGAUUUUAAUUUGAUUUUGAUAUAAGAAAUUUUCUUUGAAAGAUUUGUUAGAUCCUUUUAGAAUUUAGUCUCUUCCGUUAAACAAAGUACAGAAUGUUUCAUAAAAUAAAAAAAAAUUUUAUCAAAUUUUAAAAUAUUUUAUCAAAAAACAUUAAGUAUCCUUUCGAAUUCUCUAAGGAACAUAAUAAACACUGCGGAAAGUUAGAGAGUAGAAUUAAAUUUUUAAAGUUCAGUUAUUUAUCUCAAAGCGUAGUGUAGCUCACGUAAGAAUCAUUAUCUUUUAGCUUAUUUGGUGAUCAGUAUUCCCCUUUGAGAAGAGUUUUUUUUUCCCCUUUGUUUUGCCAAAAAUAAACAAAUUUUAUAUAUCUACAUGCAAUGGUGAGAGUUUUUAUUCAUGGACUUGGGGCCUUCUCUUUCAGGUUUGUGCUAUUUAGCUUUCCGGACAAGAAUUGUAGUGUGCUGUUGUCGGAUUAAUAUAUAUUUGUCUUUUCGUGAUAUAAAUUGAGUUUCUGAAUGUACUAUUUUAUAAUUUGGUUUGAUUGUUGGUAAUUUUAUGGUGUUCUAUGUAUAUGUUAUGGGCUUGAAAAAGGUUGUUUGGUUUGAAUAAACAAAAUGUUGCUACUUUUUUUAAUACGGAUAUUAGAGGGUACAUUAAUUUUUAAGUAAAUCUGACGUAGAGUUUAUUACUAGCUAGUAUAUAUGCAUUGUGUUACGGAAUUGUUUAAAAUCAUCAGAUGCUGUUUUUGGCAUGCAAGUUGGACCUACUAUAUAUGUAUGUACCGCAGUUGAGAGGGUUAAUUUCCAUAUAUGUUUACUUUAAUUUAUCUUUUCUUUUAUUUGAUUAGAUCCGAAUUAAGCCAAUAAAUUUUAAAGUAUUAAAAGUUUUAUUAUUUUGCUUUCUGCAAGAUUUUUAGUUUUUAAAUUCCACAAAUCUGAAUCGAUUUAUUAAUAAAAUCAAACUGAAUCAAUAGAAGUGAGUUGCUUUUUCAGUUUGGUUUUUACCAAACAUGUGGUUUAAAUGAAAAUACAGAUAUGUAUUGCUGCAUUAUUUAAUUUGUUUGAGUUAAGUGAUCUCACUGCUCGUGCAAUAUCAAAUUUAGAUUAAUUAUUUAUUUUAAUAAAUUUAUAGCUUCAUAAAUUUAUAAAAUAUAGUAAUUAAUUAAACAUGUAAAGAUAAACAAUACAUUUAAAUUUUAAAGCUAAAGAGAUAUUUGACUCAAAUCAAAUAAAUUAUAAAUUAUAUAGCAACAUUAAAACUCUUUUAAAGAUUAGAUAGUAAAAUUAAAAUAAGUGAUAGUUGUGGUAAGUUAUAUAAAGUUCUUAUUUUUUUAUUCAAGUAAUCCAGAAAAUUAAAAGAGGUAUUUACUUCGAAAUAAGUUAAAUUAUUUUUUAUGGACAAGUAUUUUUCGAGACCUUAACAUCUGGGACCAACCGUAAAAAUAAGGAAAAUUGCAUGAAAUUAAUUAACCAAAAUUUUAUUUUAUAGGAAAAAAAGGAUAAAAUUUUUAAAAUAUUUUGAUGUUAUUGUUUAUUCUUUCUGAUUUGAGUUUCAUGAAAUUAAAAUUAUUGCCAAUACCUAGUGCAUGGGCACUAUGCCCUUUUUUCUUUUUUUCUUUUUUUUUAUGAAAAUGUAGUAUGCAUAAUUGAUCCUUGAUGUAUACUAUAUUUUUAAUUUAACAACGGAAAAAAUAUGCUGUGAAAAUUAAACUAGUGGACGAGAUAGAGUAAGGAUAUAUGAAUGCAUCAGGUGCAUCCAAUCGUUUUAUAAGGCUAUUAAAUUAUUUAAAUUAAAUAAAAAUUUUAAAUAUAAUAAAUAUAAAUUUUUUUGAAAAAAAUAAAUAGCUAGGUUACAAAUUAUCCAAAAUUUAAUUAUCUUUGUAUAUUCAAAAUUCAAAAUCAUCAUAAGAAACUGCAUCUAACUUGCGAUGGCCAGUUCCUUAAAAUUAAAAUCCAAAACAAAAGGUACGAUCUACAGUAUCUAAAUGGAUUAUGUAUAAAAACACAAGGUUAAAAAAAAAAAAAAAAAAAAAAAAAAAAAANAAAAUUGAAUGAAAUUAAUUAACCAAAAUUUUAUUUUAUUGGAAAAAUAACCAUAAAAUUUUUAAAAUUUUCUGAUUUUAUUGUUUAUUCUUUCUGAUUUGAGUUUCAUGAAAUUAUUGCCCAUACCCAGUGCAUGGGCACUAUGCCCCUUUUUUUUCUUUUUUUCUUUUUUUUUUUUGAGGAAAUGUAGUAUGCAUAAUUGAUCCUUGAUGUAUACUAUAUUUUUAAUUUAACAACGGAAAAAAUAUAUGUGAAAAUUAAACUAGUGGACGAGAUAGAGUAAGGAUAUAUGAAUGCAUCAGGUGCAUCCAAUGUUUUAUAAAGCUAUUAAAUUAUUUAAUUUAAAUAAAAUUUUUAAAUAUAAUAAAUUUAUUUUUUUUUGAAAAAAAUAAAUAGCUAGGUUUCAAAUUAUCUAAAAUUUAAUUAUCUUUGUAUAUUCAAAAUUCAAAAUCAUCAUAAGAAAUUGCAUCUGAUUUGUGAUGGCCAGUUCCUUAAAAUUAAAAUCCAAAACAAAAAGUACGAUCUACAAUAUCUAAAUGGAUUAUGAUGAUUUUGAAUUUUGAAUAUACAAAAAAAAAAAAAAACUGUUACUAAGUCAUCUGAAGUCUAUUCGUCUGUCGUAGAGAAAGAGUAAUUAUUUGAUUUAUGAAGAAAUAUGUCUUCAAAAUAAGAAAUACUACUGAUGCAUUCAAAAGUGUGGUGUAAAUCUAAGAUUUAUUCUCAAUAUGAAUUUUGUUUUAAAUCUCAUCUUAGCAUCCGUUCAUUGUAUGGACUAGUUUACUGGAAUAAACUCUGGCAUCCUACCUAGUUCCAUAUAACGUUUUGGUUCCGGUGGUCGUAGCAGGGUAAAUUUGUAUUUAUCAGAUCAACUUAUCAUGACACAUAACUUCUCUUUGCUUUUUCUUUUCUUUUUUUUUUUUUUGGAUAAAAGCCUUCCCAUGCUGGUAUGCAAGAGAUUAUAACUGGAUUGCUUAUGAAUAUGAGAGAAGACUAGUGCUUAUUGUUUUGGAAUUUGUUGCUUGUCUGAUGAUCCUGUCUGUUUCUUACAUUUAUUUGAUUUUUUAUAUAACAGGAACGACGAAUGAGAGGUCAAGCAUUUGUGACUUUUCCAACUGUCGAUCUUGCUCAGCAUGCAUUGGUUUGUCUAUCUUUUGAGGCUAAAAACUAUUUUUUUAAAAAAAAUUUUAAGGGCCGCUGAAAAUUUAGUUAAAAACUAAAAUUAAGUUCAUGUAUGAUGUUGCUUGUUUUUUAAUACCUGGGCGAAUUUUGAGAAUAUGUAGCCCAAAGAAAGCACCUGCUUUGAUGCUUUGGAGGGCCCACAAAUUUCAAAAGCUGCCCAAAAAAGACAUCUUUUAUGCUUUGGAGUGCUCCCUUCAAAUGUUUUUAAAUGAUGAUAGGAACUGUCACUGGAGAAGCAUCAUGCCGCAGAGGCAUUCUUCUCGAUCUGUUAUAGUGCUUGAGAGCUUUGAUAGGAGCUCUCAAGCACUUUCGGAAAUUCUUUUGGGGCCAUCGAACGCAUAAAAGCUGGUGUGUUCGAAAAUAGGCCUCAGUCUGCGAAGCAGCUCUAUUUCUAUCAUGAACUGUUUCACCUGAAGUUAUUUUCGGAAAAAAGAAAAAAAAAAAAGUGAAAAAGAUAGGCUCGAAAGUGGGGAGCAGAGAAUCUGCAAUUUUUACUCUGCAAUACUUUAGUUAUGAUAAUUAUGUUCUUCAAUUUUAAUCUUCUAUUCUAGAGUAACGAGCAUUGUUCAUAAUAAUACAUAUCCAUUGUUCAUAAUAAUGGAUAUGUAUUCAAAGGCAAGGCGAUGAUCAUCCAGUUUGGUUGCAAUCCUGUUGCUGGCAAAGCUACCUAAUUAAAUGGGGAUUUUGAUGUAGACCAUGGGUGCAUGCCUUGGGAUGGAAAUUUUGAUCAAUCCAAAAAUUGUCACAGCUCUUCAACGUCCAAUAAAAGAUGGGUAUGGUUUUUUCAUUUUUAAAAAAAUAAUGAUGUGUAUCGUGUGCGUUCAUGAGGUUUCAUUUAUUUUAUCAGAAAUGAUUCAGUACUUUAUUAUUAAAAAAAUAAAAUAGAUCCUAACCGUUGAUUAAUAGAGGGUAAAGAUGUAAUUUAAUAUUUAGCAGGUAAAUGGGUUGCAUCAUUCGAAGUUAUUUCGAUAAUUAAACUAUACAGCAUUUAAAAAAACUUUUAAUUGAUAUUCUAAAUUUAUGCAUUAAUUUGCACUAAUUUAGGAAAUUGAUUGAUUACCCUAAUUUAGGCAUUAAUUAGGCAUUAAUUUACGCAUUUAGUUUAGAAAUUUUAGUGUUUCUAAAAUUUAGGCAUUAAUUUAAAUUAUAGGAAUUUUAGAAAUAGUUCUAUUUCUAAAUACAUUGAAUUUAAAUAUUAAAUAUUAAAUAUUUAAAAUUAAAAAAUUAAAAUUUAAAUUAGAGGAAUUUUGUAUUACUAUUUAAAAAAUUUGUAAUGUUGAUAAAUAUUUUAAUUCAACAUACUUAAUAUGUUUAAGAAAAUUUUUAAAUUCCUAAAGUUUAGACAACAAUUUUGUAUCACUUAUUUUAAAAAAAAUUAAAUGUUGGUAAAAAAAUUAUAAAUUAAAUGUAUUUAAUAUGUUAAAAAAAUUAGAAUUGUUCUACUUUAGACGUUAAUUAUUUAUCAUUAUUCAAAAAAAUUUGUAAUGUUGGUAAAUAUUUAAAUUUAACAUAUUUUAUAUGCUUAACAAACUUAUGAAUUCAUCUUAGACAUUAAUUUUGUAUUACUAACUUUAAAAAUUGAGUGUGGACAACAUAUUUAAAUUCAACAUAUUUAAUAUGUUUAAAAAUAUUUAAGAAUUUUUCUAAUUUAGAUAUUAAUUCUUUAUCACUAUUUAAAAAUUUUAAUGUGAAUAAUUGAUUAGAAAUAUAGGGUAUAAUUCAAAUUUAUUCUUAGAAUAGAAUUGUAUGGACAAAAUUAAUUCAAAUUUUAAUAGAAAAAAUUUAUCUUUUAAAAUAAUAAGAUAAUGUAUUGUAAUUUAAAAUAUAAUUUUUUUAUAUGAAAUGCCAAAUAUGAGAGGAAAAAAGAUAGAGAGAGAAAAAAAAUAAAGAGAGAAUAAAAAUUUUGAUAAUAUAAUAGAGAUAAAAUGACUAAAUUGCUCAUGUAUUAAAAGAUAAAAAUAUUUUUUUUUGAGGUAUCUGAUGAUCGGUACCUCUCCUAAAGUGACUUGCUAUUAUAGGUCACAAUUUUAAAAAAAUUAAAUCUGGACCGUUGAAUGGGAGUGAAUGAACGGUAAGAAAAAAAAAAAAAAGUAUAGAAGCAUUACUCUUAUUUUAUGGCCACUUCUGAUGAAACACCUAUAUAAUAGGGCUACACAUGUCGACCUCAUGCAAUAAUGCAUGCGUAGUGGCCACAAGGUGCUUCAUCUAGGUUCCUAUGAGCAGCGCUAGAACUUUAGUAACCAGAUUUUUGCAUCAAAUUAGUUCAUUAAAGUUUGAACUGAGUAGUUAAGCCAGCAAUUGCCCUUCUUCAGGAUUUUGUAUCCUCCGAAUGGAAUAUGCAUGAACUAUUGUUGCUGCUUUUCUGAGGAAGGUUUUAACCAUCUAUUAAAAGCUCAUUUCGAAGUGCAAAUUAUCAUUAGUUACUUUCUAAUAUUGCUGAAUUGAUCAGUCAGUUUUGUUCAAUUUGGCCUUUGGUUUUUGUGGUGAUUUUUGACAUAUUUUUCUGCUUUUGUGUUGAUAAGCUACGAGGACUGGUUCGCCAUAUUUUAAAGUUCAGCAACUACAAUCCAUGCCGUGGAGCUCUACUGCCGCAAUGAGAUGGUUACUUGUGUGCGCCUCCUAGUUUUGUUUUAUCCAGGAACAUGACAAACUCAGUUGGAAUUGAGAUGGUGAUGAAAGGUAACACACACUUUGUAGAUUGUAAAAUUCUCUCCAUGGUGAACUACCCCACCAGUCUAUCAACUCUUAACCAAGUUCCAUUUUGAUCCUCGAGCUUUUAGGGAUUGUUUGCGACUUUGAACUCUUAAAUGUUUCGCACAUCUAAUUCUAUUAGAUGGCAAAUUAUUGGUUACACCCAAUAUAUGUGUACAUGUUUGUAUACUUAUCUAUUGAUUGUUGCUUGUGAAUUUACAAUCGUUUUUUUUUAUUUAAAAAUUAGAGUAUUGAAUUGAAAGUAUGUGAUGGAAAAAAGGGCUAAUGAACUUAUGUGCGCAAACAUACUCGUACCGUUACUUCCAAAGUGUAAUAGAGCACGUGAACAAUGGGAAAGCGAAUAUAGUAGCACUUAAGCACCUAGUACAAUUUAUGAGCUGUACCCCUACAUAAUUAUAGUAGUGGUGGGUCCAUGCUUUGAUUAUUGGGCAUCUGAUCUAAUAGUGACUUUUAAAGACUCGGUACAUAAGAGAUGCUUAGGAAACAUUGUGGAUCACAUGAAAGGUAUAACCCUGUAAAGUUAUUUGUGAGCUGGUAAAUUUAUUUAAUGCUCUUGAUGCACUGAUGUGAUAUGUAAAAUUAUCAAAAUCUCUUGUAUUGGAAUUGCCACCAUAAGGAAAAUAUAUAAAACAAUAAUUUUGAAAAAUUUGUAGCAGUACUUGUGCAAGUGGGGAGGUAAUAAUUUUUUUCUUCCCUUAAGUGGGUUGAUAUAGGAGAAAUUAUCGAAUUAUCUGAUUGAUCAAGUUCAAUGUGUACCCAUUUUUUUUAAACUUGAUCUCAUAUAUUAGGAUUUUGAAUUUAAAUUUUUAUUUUAAAAUAUAAAAGUUUGGUAGGGUGGGUGCACCGAUGAUGUGGCGCAUGAGGUGCAAGCGAUAUUUCCCACGACAAAAGAAUUAAAGUAAAAGCAAAAUAAGAACAAAGCUAAAAGCACUUGCCCGCUUUAUUCCUGUCCUCACGCAGUGGAGGAAAAAAGAAAUUUGUUAAUCUAUAUGUAUGUUUUAAGUCUCACAUUUCAAGAUAAUUUGGUAAACUUGGUAAAUUUUUUUUCCUUCAAUUAUUAAUAAGUCCAAAGUUUUUCUUAGAUCUAUCUAUUAACUAAAAAAAAAUCAAAAGUUAAGUGCAAACUAUUUUCAUGAAUAAGGGAAAUUAAGAAGAAAAUGAUAAAAAAAAACAGCUAAACAUUUUAAUGAACAAGAAAGAGAGAGUAAAGAAUAACAAAGCUGAUUGUUUUCAUGAACAAGGGAAAGAAGAAAAGAACAAAACAAAGCAGGGAAAAGAAGAAAAUAAUAAACAUAAACUAAGCACGCGGCGUGCAUAUAUGCUAAUUAAUAUUCAGUAUACUCUUCUUUGUUGUAGGAGUUUUUUUUUUUUUUUUUGAGAAAAAAAUAGCGAGUUAUUUGUUUCAUUUAUUAGGUAAAAUAAACUAGACAUAUAUAAUAGAAACAGCCGAGGCUUCUGAGAAAAAAAUUAAAAAAGCAAACCAAAAGGAAAUUUGAACUCUGGUAGUGUGGUGUAGUGUUGCAGUGGUCUCCAUACUUUGUUUCCUUUUUUUCUCUUUUUUUUGGGCAAUCAAAAUUUAUUCAUAUCAAUUCUUCAAGUAUAAUAGCAUCUUAGAAAAAUACCUUGGGGUGAUAGCCGUUAUGAAAUUAUUCAAUCUGAUCGGACUCUGAAGCAAAAAAUUGUCAAAUUUGGAUUGAAAUUUUACAUUGAAAUUUUACUGUCCAUUACGGAUUCAGAUUCAGAUCUGAAAUUUGAAAUUUUUUUGAGUUCAAAUUAAGAUUUACUAUUCCUUUUUAAAUUCGAAUUCAAAUUAUUGAAAACCAAAACUGAUUUUUGACUGCUUUUUUAAUUUCUCAAGUAAUGCCAUUUGAAAAUGGACACGGAAACAACAAGACCCAAAGAGCAAAUUCGAAUCUGAUAAUAUUUUUUAUAAUCUGUACAACAGGAUAAAGACGAUUGAGGGACCAGCGUGCAAAUCGUCAAAGAUUCCCAGCGUAAUUAUCGGAGCGGCAGCACAAGAAUUGGAGCAGUCACCUACACCUACUGCCAACUUUUCCUCAAUUUCCAAGCACGAGAGAGAGAGAGAAAAAAAAAAAAAAAAAACAACAACUGGAGCAUGCUUUUCUGCCUCUUCAUCUGAAAAUGGACACGACAAUACGAAGAUUCAAAUAUUUUUAUAAUUUGUACAAUUGGAUAAAGAUUGAUCAUUGAUCAUGGGGUGUAUUUCACUAGUUGGAUUUUUUUUUUUUUUUUUGAGAGAGAAAAAUAGUAUAGUACCAGUUUCGUAUAUUUCAUUCAAAAAUAAACUUAGCUAGAACUAUAAAUUAAUUAAAAUUCAAAUUUAAUUCUCGAAUAUCAAUCACCAAACUUUUUUUGCCACUUGCGCUAGAAACCGUCGGUGCGGGAUGCAUCUUCUAUGCCCAAUGAAAUGAAUGUAUAAGUAAGAGUUUUCGAAAAAAAAGAAAAAAACGAAAAAAAAAAAAAGCAUUGGCGCGUGCGUUCUCUCGAAGCUCCUCCGGCGGCCCCACCAUAGUUAUAUGAGACGCAGCACAAUAAAUGGAGCAACCAUCUUCCAGCGGUGGAGAGCAUCCCCUUAAUUAUCCUCUGCUUCUCUGUAGUAGGAUGUUCGUAUUGAGAAGAAUUAGGCAGCAGCACGCGCGAUGGCGGAGGGGAUCGCAUUCGGUUUGGUGAAGGGAGUGCUCGGCAAUCUGGGCUCCGCUCUCUGGAACGAAAUCGGGCUGCUGCGGAGCUUCAAGAACGAAAUUGUGCUUAAUUAUUAUUAUUAUUAUUAUUUAUUACUAUAUAUAUAAAAGUAGAACCCUUAAUGAACCCUAUGUGAGAAGCUGACACGUAGCUUUCUAUAUACUUGUCACGUGUCAAACUCAAGUAUGGAUAUUUGGUUACGAAUUAUUUAAAAUUAUUGGUUUAAUUAAUUAUUUAAAAUUAUUGGUUGCGAAAUACGCAAUAAUCUGUUGCGAAUUAUUUUUUCGCGAUGGAAAUAAUCUGUUACAAAUUCAAAUUUCGUAUUAGCAGAUAAUUAAGAAAAAAAAUUCAAAACUCACGUUUUUAUAAAAAAAUAAUAUCUUUUAUUAUAUUAUUAAAAAUCACAUAUAAUGAAUAAAAUUUUAUUUCAAAGUCACCUAUAAUUAUGUUGAGAUAUUUGAAAAAUCUAUGGAUAUUAUGUUACGAAAGAAUUGGCGGUGCGGAUAUUACGCGUGAGAAGAAAAAUAUUUAUCUUUAUUUGGAAAUAAAUUAUUACUUAGUUAAUUAUUUAAAAUGAUUGGUUGAAAUUUCUGGACAUAAAAAUAUUAGUAAAAAAGUAUAGGCAUUUUUGGAAAGAGGAAAAAAUUUAAAACUCACCUCACUCCUGUAAUUUUCUUCGCUCUUAAAUAUUGAUGCUUUAAAAUAGAACAUGCUAUUUCCCUACUGUCACUUCUGUAAUUUUCAUUUCGUAAUUUUUUUCCUUUAUGUCACUCAUGUAACUUUUCAUCUUCAUGCAAUAAAAUUUUUUUUUCUUUAUUUUUUAUUGAAAACCAACAUCUAUAUAUUUUUGAAUCUUAAAAGCGACAGUAGGAACAUAAUAUAUGUGUGCUUACUCUAAUUUGUGUCAAAUAUGAAAGUUUAGUUGAUCUCAUUAUAUGCUUAAAUAUUAAUGUCAUUUGUAAUUUUUCAUAUCAAUUUUAGUUAUCAUUUUAUUUCGCACAUCAAUAUGUAAAUGUAAAUUGUUUUACAUACCAAUUCAUAGAUAAUAGAGCAGGAUUGAAUUUUGCAUUUUCGUUGAAUAUUUACUUUGGUCCAAUUUUUUUUUUUCUCUAGCUUGUGUACUUUAAUAUGUACUAUAAUUAAGAUUGAUAGUAUAUUUUUUUAUUUGUUAAAAAAUAUAAAAUUAAUUAAAAAAUUUUUUUAUUAUCAUCACAUAAUAAUUUUUAUUAUUCUAUAUUAUUAUAUUAGCCGUGCAUCGCACGGGUGAAAAUCUAGUUAUUAUUAUUAUUACUACGAUAAAGCAUUUUUGAGUACCUAACGUUUGGGACCAACCGUACAAAAAGGAAAAUUGUACGAAAUUAACUUAAAUUUUAUUUUAUUGGAAAUAUAGCCGUAAAUUUUUUUAAAAAUGUUUUGAUUUAUUGUCUAUUCUUUCUAAUUUGAGUUUCAUGAAAUUAUUGCCAAUUAUUUACGCAGCUAAUAUGCACUAUGCCUUUUUUUCUUUUCUUUUUUUUUACACUUUAGAAAAUACAGUAUGCCGUAACUGAUCUUUGGUGUAAACUAUAUUUUCAAUUUAGCAAUCGGAAAAAAAAAUAUUUUUUGAAAAUUAAACAUGUGGAUGAAAUAUUAAGGUAUCGCACAAAUAUAACUGCAUAGUUCUUCAGUAAUAAUUAAGCAUAAUUUUAUAGUUUUGGAGGAGUAUAGAUUAAAACCGGAUUAAAGCUAAGCUUUUGGACCAUUCAAAAUAUAGAAAUAUUGCUUCUAACCACCCGGUGCCCAAACAAAGUCAGCUCAGUUGUAAUUUUUAUACUUACAAAUUAAAAUGGCUGGAAUAAAAUAAGAAAAAUAUUAAGGAUGAAUAAAACCCUGGUUCACACCUGUUUGGAUGCACCAGGUGUGGGUAGUGAUUUUUCAUGAACCAAAAUCAUAUAGUGUUAAAGAAUAGCGAGAAAAAUUAAAUUAAAAUUUUUAAAUAUUAGGUAAUUAAUUUCAAAUGAUAAAAAAUUCAGAUUAAUUACACAUAUUUUUAUCUCCCAAAAAUAAAACACACAACAACAACAAUAACAUGACCUCUGCAAAGAAGGGUCUUUCUUCGUCAUGAACAACAGGGCAUCCCUCUCUACCUUGAUCCGAAUUUGGUUGAUUAAGAGAAAAAAAAUUUUGAGCUCCCAAUAGAUAGAAAGAAACAUGGCUGCAUAUAAUUGUGGAGGGAAGGAUUUCUUUUUUUUUUUUUUAGAAAAAAAGGAGACAAAGCCUUAAUUAGCAAGAGCUCUUUUUGUACGAAUGAACAAGUGCAUUUAUGUAUGGUGACUUGGUCACGUUUUUAAGUUUCCUACAUGUAUUGCUUGGAUCCAUUAGUGAUAUUUACAGUUUGUAAUGGAUUGAUUCAUUAAGCAGUGCAGUCAAUUUGUUGUUGGAUGUAUGCUUCAAAAGCUUGGUCUUUCGUCAAAAAAUUAAUUGAAUGGUUCAAGCUAGGUGUUAUGCAAAAAGAUUCAAAUAAAUGGUUCAAGUUAGGUGUUUUUUUUUUUUAUAACAUUAUAAGCAUUGGAUGGAUUUUUGCUUUAAUCUAAAUAGUUUUAGAGUUAGCAGCUUGUUUUGGACACUCUUUAAUACUCGUUUUGGAGAGAAACCAUGCCUUUCUGCCUCUUUGUAUCGAAAUGGACAAGGAAACAGCAAGAUGCAAAGAGCAAAUUUGAUACUUACAAUAGUAUAAUCUAUUUCUCAAUAUCAAAGGAGGGUUUGGGAAUCAAAGGGUGACAUGUGUCGCCCUAAACCCUUUUACUCUCUCUCCACCCAAAACCAAUAACUUGAUAUUUUUAAAAGUAUAGUAGCUAAAUUUUAUAUAUAUCAAAAUUUAAAAUUUUGAUACUUUCAAAUUUUAUAUUUUAUAUUUUAAAAUUUAAAUUUAAUUUAUAAUAUUUAUUUUUAAAAUUUAAAUUUUAAAUUAAUUAAUUAAUUUUAUUAAUAAUUCAUAAUAUAUAAUAUAGUUAAUUAAUUUUAUUAAUAAUACGCAUAAUAAAUUGCGUAAUAAAAUCUAACCUAAUAGAUGCAAUUUAAAUCACGUAAAGUGUCACGCUCCGAGCUCCGCCUAUUUGGUCGGAUUCGGGCACGCCGACAGACCGCCGAACGGACANNNNNNNNNNNNNNNNNNNNNNNNNNNNNNNNNNNNNNNNNNNNNNNNNNNNNNNNNNNNNNNNNNNNNNNNNNNNNNNNNNNNNNNNNNNNNNNNNNNNNNNNNNNNNNNNNNNNNNNNNNNNNNNNNNNNNNNNNNNNNNNNNNNNNNNNNNNNNNNNNNNNNNNNNNNNNNNNNNNNNNNNNNNNNNNNNNNNNNNNNNNNNNNNNNNNNNNNNNNNNNNNNNNNNNNNNNNNNNNNNNNNNNNNNNNNNNNNNNNNNNNNNNNNNNNNNNNNNNNNNNNNNNNNNNNNNNNNNNNNNNNNNNNNNNNNNNNNNNNNNNNNNNNNNNNNNNNNNNNNNNNNNNNNNNNNNNNNNNNNNNNNNNNNNNNNNNNNNNNNNNNNNNNNNNNNNNNNNNNNNNNNNNNNNNNNNNNNNNNNNNNNNNNNNNNNNNNNNNNNNNNNNNNNNNNNNNNNNNNNNNNNNNNNNNNNNNNNNNNNNNNNNNNNNNNNNNNNNNNNNNNNNNNNNNNNNNNNNNNNNNNNNNNNNNNNNNNNNNNNNNNNNNNNNNNNNNNNNNNNNNNNNNNNNNNNNNNNNNNNNNNNNNNNNNNNNNNNNNNNNNNNNNNNNNNNNNNNNNNNNNNNNNNNNNNNNNNNNNNNNNNNNNNNNNNNNNNNNNNNNNNNNNNNNNNNNCUAUAUAAAAAUAUUAAAAAAAUAAAAUUUAUUAUAAAAAUAUUUUUACAUUUGCAGCAUUGCGCGGGUAUUUCACUUGUCUUCUACUAUAUUAAAGGAGGGUUUGAGGAGACCUUGGGGUGACAAAUGUCCCUCGAACCCUUCCCUACUCUCUCUCAUAUAUAUAUAUAUGUAUAUAUAUGUAUAUGUAUAUAUGUGUAUAUAUAUAUAUAUAUGUGUAUAUGUAUAUAUGUGUAUAUGUAUAUAUGUGUAUAUAUAUAUAUAUGUGUAUAUGUAUGUGUAUAUGUGUAUAUAUAUAUAUAUGUAUAUAUAUAUAUAUAUGUGUAUAUGUAUAUAUGUAUAUAUAUGUGUAUAUGUAUAUAUGUAUAUAUAUGUAUAUAUAUGUAUGAAUGAGGGUACUAUGCUAUCGGAAGCACGGAGCCUUCCGUGCUUCCAGCUCGUUUUCGAUGUUGCGAUUUUCGAAUCGUCGAUUGGCUCCGUUAAAAUUGAUCUAGAGUAUUUGAAGUGCCUAGAAAAUAAAUUUUAUUAUUUUUCGAUAUCAUUUGCCUAGUGAUCGAAUGAGCUCAAAAUCAACAAAUUUCAAUGGCCGUAGUGAGCCGUUUGCAAGUUUAACGGUAUAGAAAUAUCCAAAUCACGUGAAAUUUUGAUAGAAAAUUUUUUAUACUAUAUAAAACAAGAUCAAUAUUUUUGAUUUAAAAUUUUAAUGUCAUAUUANCGGCAGGCUGAGUUCAAGCACCGUGAGACAUUCUCGGCCGUCGACGAAAAGGAAAUAGUUGGGAGAUAUGAUGAUAAAGAGAAAAUUGUGAAGCUACUGCUAGAGACGGCCGGCGAUCACGACGUGUCGGUCAUUCCGAUCGUGGGAUUGGGGGGUUUGGGGAAGACGACGCUCGCUCAAAUGGCCUUCAACGACGGACGGGUUACGGGCCAGCAGCGCUUCGAUCUACGGGUGUGGGUCUGCGUGUCUACCGAUUUCCACAUGAAGACGAUUGAUUGCAAAGCCGGUAAUAUCUGCAACCAAAGAGGAGUGUGAUCUUGAUAACUUGGAAUCCGUAGCGAGUUUUCUCCUCAGGAUUUUUAGUCUAAACAGAUUUUUGCUGGUGCUGGACAAUGUAUGGAACGAAGAUCAGGAAAAGUGGGAGAAAUUGAAGGUCUUAUUUAAGGACGGCAAGAAGGGAAGUAAAAUUUUAGUGACCACACGGAGCAAGAAGGUUGCCACGAUAAUGAAAACAGUCGAACCACACCAUGUGAAAGUCUUAUCAGAUGAUGAUUGUUGGACAUUGUUCAAAAGACGGGCAUUUGACGAAGGGGAAGAGAACGACUAUCUGAGCUUGCUCGAAAUCGGAAAGCAGAUAGUUAGGAAGUGCGGCGGUGUGCCUUUAGCAGCAAAUGCUUUAGGAAGUAUGAUGCGCUUUAAGAGCAGGACGGAGGAUGCAUGGUCCGCUAUUAGAGAUAGCGAAAUAUGGAGGUUGGAAGAAGAAGGAACUAUUUUACCAUCAUUGAAAUUGAGCUACAUUCAGAUGCCAUCAGCUUUGAAGCAGUGCUUCGCUUACUGCUCCAUAUUCCCCAAAGACUAUGACAUUGACAAGGAUGACUUAAUCCGGCAAUGGAUUGCUUUAGGCUUCAUUUCAUCGCAUGAAAAAGGGACUUCGAUGGAAGAUAUUGGGAAUGAGUACUUUAACGAUCUAUUAUGGAUGUCUUUCCUUCAACAAGUGUGGGAAAGUUUUAGCAAGGUUACCUGCCGUAUGCAUGAUUUAGUGCAUGACCUCGCACAAUCUGUGGCAAAAGAAGAAGUUGCUGUUAUAGGUGCAGAAGACUAAGCAAGGAUCCCAGAAGGUUGCCGCUAUGCAUCAAUACAGAGUCGUUUCAUGCCACAAGUUUCAAUUACCGUAAUGCGAAGGUUGCGAACUCUUCAAUUUAGGGAAUCUGGUUCACCUAUUAUGAAUUUUUAUAGCGAAGCAAAAUGUUUACGCCUGUUGGAUUUACAUGAUUCCAAAAUUUCUAUGUUGCCAAGCUCAAUCAGUAAGUUGAAGCUCUUAAGAUACCUCAACCUUUCGGAGAACAGUAUACAAGAAUUGCCUAAAUCAAUUACCAGCCUCUGCAACUUGCAAACCUUGAAUCUUUCAGGCUGCCAAAAGAUCCGUACAUUACCCAAAUUUCUAGGAAGGCUUACGAAUUUGCGGAGUUUAGAUUUAAGAGAUUGCAAAUCUCUGACAAUACCAGACUCCAUUAGCAACCUUCAGAAUUUGUAAGCACUAAAUUUGAGUUCGUGCGAAAAGGCGAUAUCACUUGAACCUAUAUGUCACCUCAAAAACCUGCAUUACCUGGCCCUAUCACAUCUAGAUUCUUUGGUGACAUUACCUGAAUCCAUUGGGAGCGUUCAAAACUUGCGUAUUCUGAAUAUUUCUUGGUGCUCUUCUCUACUAUCAUUACCCUCAUCGUUUUGUCAACUCAAAAACCUACAUAACUUAUACCUAUUAUUUCUGACUUCUUUGGUGACAUUACCUGAAUCCAUUGGGAACCUUCAAAACUUGCGUCAUCUGAACCUUAUGUGUUGCUCUUCUCUACUAUCAUUACCCUCAUCGUCAAGUGAUCUUCAGCAUUUAGAGAAACUAGACAUUAGUAAUUGUGAAAAAUUAUGUGAGCUGCCUAAAAUGAUCCAAAAGCUGACCAAACUAAAAGAAUUGUUAAACUCCCAUUGCUCGGAAUUGAAGGGCAUGCCUCGAGGGAUCGGCAAGUUAGUUAGCUUGCAGGAAUUGUCCCUUUUUGUCGUCGGCAAGCAAGACCGCGUCGAACAUUGUGCUAGCAUUUCUGAGCUAGAGCACCUUAAGCUUGUCGGCCGGCUGAAGAUCAAGGGUNNNNNNNNNNNNNNNNNNNNNNNNNNNNNNNNNNNNNNNNNNNNNNNNNNNNNNNNNNNNNNNNNNNNNNNNNNNNNNNNNNNNNNNNNNNNNNNNNNNNAUAUAUUUUUAUUAUUUAAAUUUUAGCAAAAUAAAAAUAUAAAUGCGAGCUUAAUUAUAAAAAGACUCAUUUAUAUGUAAAGUUUCAACAAUUAGAUCAAACUCUAAUGAAUAAAAUUUUAUAAAUUUAUUUUUUAUAUAUAUUUAAUCUAAUCUUUUUUAAUUUAUUGUUCGUUGGCCAGCUUAUGGGCCACCUCGACACGAGCUGAAUUUUUCGGCUCGAUACUUUAACGAGCUAGCUCGCGAACACAAGCCAAUCCCAGUUCGUACGUGUUCGGCUCGUUUACACCCGUACUUGGCAGUAUUUGACAGCUGGAUUAGACACACCUUGUUCUUGAAGUUGACUUGUAUGACAAGGACCGGUGUUUAGAUUCGGAGAGUAAAUUUAAAACAUAAAUUUUUAAUUCGAGGCUAAAUAAUAAUUAUAUCUAAUGUCGAAUUUAUUUAUUUAUUUUUGAGAGAUAGGUAAGAUGCUACCUGCUUCGUUUAUUUCAUUUAGAAAUAAACUUAGUUAGAAAUGUGAAUCAAUUAGGAUUCGAACUUGGGACAUCAGGUACCAACCACCAAACCCUUUGUCGUGCUAGGCACGGUCGGUUAAUGUCGAAUUUAUUACAUUAUCACCUUUCAGAUUUAGACUCUUUUAUGUCAGCCCUUCAAUUAAGCUGGGCAUUCAAUAUGGAAUCUAGAAGUUGACUUGUAGAACACAAAAUUUCUAAGCUAACUUUGGACCUAGAAAUUUUCUACGCGGAUUUUGGGAGUGCUUGCAUUUUGAGACCAUAGUUAGUUAAUUCGGAUUCGGCAAGAGUUCGGUAUGAAUAUAAUACGAAUAAAAUUUGUAUCCUAAUUUUUAAAUCCGUAGAAUAAUACGGCUAAAAAACGGAUUCGCCAAUUAUAUACAGAUACUAUAUGUUCAUCAAUUAAAAAUUCGGGAUAAAAAAUUCGGCUAUUAAAUUAAUUUUUUUUCUCUAGAUUUAUACUAUUAGCAUAAAUACUCAUAAUUCUUAAGAAUAUAAAAAUAAGGAGCUGCAGAAUUAAGCAGAUUUAAGUAAAAAAAAUUAACGACUCAAAUAUUUCAAGUUCUACCACAUGACUGCCUAUCAUGGAUCGAAAGAAUAAAAUCACAUCCAAAAAACAUUAGAAUUAGCCCUCAAUAAUGCAUCAAACAUAACUUAACUCUAAAUAAUUAACCCCACUCCAUUGGUUCUGAGUCUUCAGACAACAUCGAGCAAAUUUCGGGCGAGUGAAUAUUUUUUUUUUUUUUUCCCGUUUUGAGCGCGUGUGCUGCUUGCGGAGGGAGGGUACGGACACCCUCGAUAAUUUCGGGUUCGCGAAUUAUAAACCCUAAAAAACGAGAAUUAUUUUAAUUUUUUCUUAAAAAAAGUACGUAUUCGGUUUCCUUUAUUCGUUAUUCAAAAAAUCUCUUUACAUUUAACCUCUGUUGUUACCAUAUUGAUUCCAUUAGAAAUUUAUUUUUAAUAUCGAACUUGUCCUUUUGCUACCUCCAAUUUCUCUCCUUUUUUGUCUUUUUCUCAUGUAUUUUUUCCUUCAAAUUAAUAUGAUAGAUGAGAAAAAGUAUAUUAAGAGGUUCUAAACCUUCUGUGUCAAUAUGACACCUCGUAAUAUUUAUAGGCUGUACUUGAGUUAUUUCAAUCAAUUAAAUUGAAGGCUUAAUUAAAUUAAUUAUUGAUUCUACUGAAUUUUAUAUUGAGUAUUUUGGUAUUUGCUCUGAAACUAGUUAUUGAGAAUCCGCAACCCACUUUGAUACCGAUUGUUGUAAAUUUAACACUCGUUCUGGUAUGGAUUGUUUGGAUUACGCAAAGAAAGCAUCCAAUCGAAUUUUAACCAUAAACUCAUCUACUCAGCAAAAAUUGAUACAAACACAAAAAAGAAAAAAAUCAAAUAGAAAGCAUAGAUGAAAUAAAUUUCACUAACCAAGAAAAGAAUUAUACCUGACUCCUCUUUUACCCAAAAUAGUUUCAACCCGAGCCCUCUUUCUGAAUCUCCCUCGCUUCUAUCUUGAUUCUAUGAAUUCAGAAGACUACUCUCUCUUUUUCUAAAUCCAUGCUCGAGAUAUAUUGAUCAUCCACAGCCACAGAAGCCGCACACCUCCUCUUACACCUAUACAAUGAUGCACCUAAAACCGUGGACACUUUGGGCCACACACGACAUGCCUUCCGACUGAGACGUACGGCUCAUCAAGAGCACCCACAACAUGGCCGUAAUUGUGCUUAUUGAUGGGAAUCCAGUACUCACCCUGGUACCGGAUCUUGAGAAUCUGCAGCACGCUCCGAUACCGACUGUUGUUGAUUCGGUACCAGAUGUUGCGAUUUUGCAACGGAAGCAUCGAAUCGAAUUUUUACCAUAAAUCCGUCUCCUCAGCAGAAGCUGAUACAAUCAGAAAAGUGAGUAAAAACCAAACAGAAAAAUAUACGGGUAAAAUAAGAUUCACUAAAUAAGAGAAUAUUACAUCUGACUCCUCUUCAAUAAUAGAGUAGCUUCAACCCGAGCCCUCUUUUUGAAUCUCUCCUAUUUUCUCGUCUUCUAUAAACCCACAAAAGAAGACUUCUUUUUUUUUUCUCUCUUACAUGCACCCGUGCACUAGGAGCAUGCAACCGGGCCUAGGCUUCUCCACUAUACGGUCACCACCAUAAAAAGGCUCUCUCUCAUCCGAACAUCAUCUAGACUCACUACAAUUUGCAUACUAUGGCCCAAUAUUUAAAGCGGGCUCCACCCAAAAUAUACCCAAAUCCUAGUAUAAUUAGAAUUCCUACUCCAAUUAAUAUUUAAAUCUAUAUUUUAUUUAUCUCCAAUAUAUUUAAAUAUUUAUCAUAAUCUAAUUAGAUUUAUACUCUAAUUAAUAUUUAAAUCUUAAUUUAUCUCUAAUAGAUUUAAANGUCUACUGACAGCUCAAAGUCGACAAAAGAGUUAUGCGGAUAAACGUCGGCGAGAACUGGAAUUUCAAGUUGGCGAUCAUGUAUUUUUGAAGGUUUCACCGACGAAAGGAGUUAAAAGAUUUGGCAUUCGAGGAAAGUUAAGCCCUCGAUUUAUUGGACCCUACGAGGUGUUGGAGCGGAUAGGCCCCGUAGCAUAUCGGCUUGCUUUGCCGCCGAACCUAUCGGGAGUGCAUAAUGUGUUUCAUGUGUCCACACUUCGGAACUAUGUAUUUGAUCCAACCCACGUACUGGAGAGUAUUCCAGUAGAGUUGCAUGAAGAUUUGAGCUUCGAAGAGCAUCCCGUGAGAAUACUAGCUCGAGAAGUUAAACGGCUUCGAAAUCGCGAGAUACCCUACGUGAAGAUCCUUUGGAGCAAUCACGAGGAACGGGAAGCCACUUGGGAACUGGAGAGUGCAAUGCAAGAGCAUUAUCCCUAUCUAUUCUCAAUGGAGCCUUGAAGUAAGUAUUUACAAGUUUCGCGGACGAAACUUCUUUUUAGGAGGGGUGAAUGUAAUACACUGACUCUAGCAAAUUGCGGAGUCCGAGUGUGUGGAAUGAGUUGUGGAACUAUCCUACGUGUUCUAAAGGACUUAAACAAGUUUUUGGACAAGUUUGAAAGUGAUUGGAUGGCUAAAAACAGGAAAGUGCAUUGAUUGGGCGAAAUCAGCCUUUUCUGCUUGGUGUACCGGUACAGCCAUUAUGGUGUACCGGUACACAAUGGAAAAACGUGGCAGCAGGGCUAUUUUGGUAAUUUCACACUUUGAUCCUAUCUAUUUCAUUCCAGCACGACUCCUGGGGCUCAGUGGAGGUUGCUGGAGACCAGAGAAGCAACUUUGCACCAUUCUCUCUUUCUCUCUCUAGGGUUUUUCUCUCUCUAGAUAAAAGUCGCCGUUUCGCGCCGAUUUCGCGCCGCGCUCGUCGCUCGCUGGUUCGGUGGGCUUGGGGCCAGCUUUUAAAAGGUAAAGGGAGGUGUUUUGACAGUGUUUUUCAUGUCUAUUACUGAGAGUUGCUGAACGAGAACUUUAGAAAAGUAUUUAGUUCAAUUUCUCUCUAGUUUGCGGUUUAUCGUCGGAAUUUGACGUGUUCUUAUUCCGUUGCUUCCAGCAGAGUUGUCUGGGGUUCUUGCAGCUAGAAAGGAGAUAUCUAGCUGUGAUUUAACCACUUUGAUCCAGGGAAAAAUUGCCUUGAGGCUUGAGACAGGUAUUUAGUCAACUAUUAAACUAUUUCGGACCCUUAGGCGACCUAAUCGAAUAAUUGACGCAGUUUGAGGUCGUUCUUUUCGCAGCAGGUUUCCAAGUAUCAUUUAACUAAAUUGAGGACCUGGGGAUCUGGUUUGGAGGGUAUUCUAACUAAGGGUAAGCUAGAACUUCAGUUAGAAAACUGAAAUUGCAAGUUUCCGGCAAUAUUUAUUGGUAGUCAAUGAUUUUGACGCCGUUUUGAUCAUGUUCGCAGCGAAAGGGUAAUUGACCCUUGGAUCAUCUUCGACUGGCAUCGAAGGGCUUUUUGGCAGCUUCUCUUGAGGUAAAACACUAACCCAGAAUAGGGAUUCAAGGGGUUACUUUGUACUAAGUGUAAAUUAGGCCGAAAUCGGACAUUCGGUCGUUAUUUUGACUCGGCUUUGAUGCCUUAUUUUCAGCAGGAGUGUGACUUCGUGGGGCUGAUUUUGGGACGUCUUGUGACUGCUUUGAGCAUAGUACGAGGUGGGUCGGACCUAACCAGAGCAAGUGAAUCCCUAGGUCUACGUAUGUAUUGAUAGAAAUGGUUUAUUGGUGCUAUGGGCGAUCGUUAAAGGCUCCGAACUCGUCAUCACGACGUUAUCAUAGGUGAGAGAGCCGUGUAUGCAUAAAGGAUCAUGCAUUCAGUAUUUUUGUUUUGAUUCAGGUAGAACACACUAGAAUUCAGUUAUUAUAUUUCAUAUGAUAUAAGAACUAUAACAUGAAAGUAUUCCACAUUUAUAUCAAUCAGUUGAAUGUCGUUUGAACAAUGGACGGAACAUUUAAAGUAGAGAACAAGAAUUCCGUUGACUCGAACGUAGAGAAAAUCGACAUGCCGGACUAGUGAGAUGGCCAUACAGGGACAAGAUUAAAUGCUAUGUGAUUAGCUUACCUACCAUGUUUACAAAUCUAGCGGAACUAGCUCUUGUCUAUUGUGAUGAAAUUCCGCGAUGCUAGGAUCGAGGUAAAGAACUUGCAGAUAUGAAAUUGUGAAUAGGAAUUGGAUAUUGGUUGCUUGCACCGUGCUCAAUUCGCAGCACGCUGUGAGGGUAGCUCCUACAAGCCGGCACUCCGGAGUGGCCUAGCGACAGUCUCCCCCGUCGGAUUGGGUGCCGAAGUGGUUGCGGGGAGUGUAUACCACCACGGGACCAUUAGGCGCGGCGCAAGCUGGACUACCUGUAGGUCCCGUAUGAAAGGAAAGUACCUAAAUGAAGAAGAGACAUAAAUGACAGGUUUAUUACGGUAAAGUGUACAGUAUCACUUUUAAAUCGUGCUUAUACCAUGCUAUGUCAUGAUACAGAAGUCGCUAUAUUCUUUUUAGGCAAGAUGGUUCUAUUACCGCCGUAGAAAGCGUAUUACACUGUUGAUAUAGCAGCUAUAUUAUAGGCACAUGCUUAUAAAUCAUCAAUAUGGUUCAUUGCUUUCAUUUAGGACAUCUUGAGCCUAUUGGUGUGAGUCGCCGAGGCUGGCGGCUUACCCACUGGGAACUAGGUAAUAGUUCUCACAGGCCUUGGUGGUGUUGACAGAGCCUAGUUACAGGAGAGGCUAAGGAUCGGGUCAAGGGAGUCCGCCGAGGCUAGGGACUACUAGGAAGCUGCUAGUCGAUCACUCUUGCUACUCGGGCUAACGCCGAGGGUGAGUCCUAUGUAUAGAGAGACCACCGUUGUACCUAUUCUUUUUGGUAUACCCAGAUGUAAAUGGUACUUUUAGGGUUGAGAUCGUGGUGUUACUUCUCCCUUUUGUUGAGAUCUUGGAGUUGUAUGACUCUAUUGAUUUGGAACCUGGAUUUGAUACACCGUGUAUCCGACUUGACCUUGCUGCUGAAUACAGGAUCGAGACUCUCUUGGUUUACUUCUCUAUCCUAACUUGCUAUCUUGUAGAGCAGGCCUUAAUACUGCAGGUUAGCGGGGUCUGUCCAGUUGGCCGAGAGAAUGCUUACCGCGGGGUACCGGGCGUGACGAAUUAUGGACCAGGAGCCUAGGUUGCAGUCUUAGUAAACGUCUAGCAACCUUAGGGCGCGCUGGUGACUAUAAUAGGAAGAUGCCGGCUGGAGAACGAUGCGAGUCGAGGUUGUUGUUAGCUGAGGGUAACUUGAUGGGGGCCUUUAAACUCCAUAGUAGUAGGUGAUCGUGGAUGUGCAAGUACUACUUUGGGCCGAGGUACUUCGCGUCCGGCCGACAACGUGAAUCGGAAGUUAUAGGCGUUACAUUUCCAUUACGUUUCCGCUCGAUUAGCGGUUUAUAUCCUCAAUGAGCGGUUUCAGUUAGAAAUGGUUUAUUGACCUAGUUGUUUUGUGUUGCAGUUCAAGAUGCCGGACUGAUCGCUCUGGGAACGCCGGGCGGCUGAGCGCGGCCGCUGGCGGGAAGAGGUAGAGAACCUUCCCGCACGCGCGGCGUUCGCACGUGAGCUCCAUAGAGUUCAGGAUCAGCUUGCGACGCUGACAGAGUGGUAUCAGCAGCCGCGGCAGCACGUCAGCAGAUGGAGCGCUGCGCGUCGCAGGCAGGACACGGAUGAAGAGGUUAGAGGACUUACAGCGGCAGACAGACCGACAGAGAGAUUGCCAGAUGCGACCCUAUAGCACCCAAGAGAGGGGCACGACAAGUGAGAGCACAAGGUCACCGACGGACCCGACACACCCCCAGGCUGCCGAGGGUAGACGACGCCGACGAGGAGACGAUACCACCAUCAGUACCCUGUAGCAGCAUCAAGGGACUGUGUUACCCGAGUGGGCGGGGUGAGAAGCGGGGAAGCGGAUAUGAUGGAUACGAGCGAAUGAAUCCGUCGCCUGCAAUCCCUCAUGUCUUUGAUGGGAGAAGCAGAUCAUUGGUAGAUGUGAGAAAUGGUAAUGCACAAUGGAGAAUUAUUCUAUGACACCGUUUGUUGAGGAGCAGUAUCCGAGUCUGGUUUGCGACACACCACCUUGAUCGUGAGGCUACAGGGUGGGUGACAUUCGCAGAGGAUCCCCGUGCUGACUUGUCUGCUAUUCACGUGGAACAGAUUCAAGGAACCGUUGGUGACUACUUACUUGCCCCCAAGUGUAAAGAACAAAUGGACAAGGGAUCUGAGAACCUAGACACGGGGAAGAAGUGGCAGCGUUAUGGGAAAGAGUUUCUCUCGAUACUCACCUGUGUUCCUUUUGUAGUCGAGAUAAGGACAAGGCUCGAUAUUAGGUGGGUUGCGACCUGCGCAUCGGUCACAUUGUCGCACGGCCGCAAACAUCUCCACUCUAACCGGGAUGUCGUGAACCGGGCCUUCUGUUGUUGAGAAGGGGGCAGAAAUCAUCGAAGAUCAAGAGAUGUUGUGGAACUCGAAGCAAGGGAGAAGAGAAGCAGCAGCUGGAGAGGCAUGGUCAGCAGUCCUUUCGGAGACGCGCCAAAGUAAUCCGAAGGAACAGAGCCGACAGUCGUGACAGUUCGAGGGUCGAGGUUCUUCAGCACCCGUGGAGCACCCAGAGCCGUCGACCACGCGCUUGUGAUUUCUGUGUGCCACGUAACCGCCCAAUGUGUCGCACAGCGUGGGGGCCGGGGCGUUCUUGUGCGCGCCCAGAGGGCACUUUCGUCAGAGUCCCGAGAUUCUUUGCCAGCACCCUCGUUAGCGGACUACCACCUGCAUCGUCAGCAACGCGAGCCAGGGGACCCGACACGCGUCUUAUCAGUCAGGCCGACCACCAGGGACACGCAGUCGAGAGUCAAGGCAGGGUUCGAGUGCGGGAUGUAUGCCGCCGAGACUGAGGUGGCCGCCACAGCAGCAAGGAGGUGCGAGCAGGUAUAUUACUUAUAAGGCGUGUUCGUGCGCAUUUAUUUGAGUAUGUGCUAUACGCAUUCGUUAUUGAUCGUGCAGUUCGACGGAGUUGCAUAGCAAAAGUAGCACCUACUUUGUUAUUGGGACAUAAAUUGUACCUAGACCAUAACCUAGAGGUUCGGAGUUUUGCCCUCGCUGGCCCAGUUAGGGUAGCGAUGAUUCAUGCCAGUAAUGUCAUCUAGCAUACACAAACUAGUGAGUUGAGUGUAGAUGGGUAUGAGCUGUUGACACAGAUCAUGGCUACUAUAGAUUCAACGACAGAACGGACCUUUAAGAACGCGGUCAACAGGAGUUUGUUUAUAAGCGACGAUGUCAGAGUCAUUGGUCACAAGCCAUUAGUUCCGCGACGCACGACAGAAGUCGGAGGGGAUGUUAGGCCUAUUUGGCACAUUUCUGGAGUGGGUGAAGCCAUCAAGAGUGAUAUAUCCACGUUGUGCGCGCAUUCGGGAGUUUUCCAGCUAAGUUGCCGCAUGCCACGCAUGAUAGGGAAAGUCGAAAUUGUGAUUGAUCUGUCGCCUCGGACACCGCCCAUUGUCUAAGGCGCCUUAUAGAUGGCACCGCGAUUGGAAAGAGCUGAAGGACAGUUACAAGGAUCUUUAGAUAGGAUUAUUCGACCGAUGUGUAUCGCUUGGGGAGCGCCGUUAUGUCAAGGAAGAAAGAUGGAUCUCUUUCGAUGUGGCGUGAUUCGACAAAUCAACAAGGUCCACAUCAAGCAACAAAAUCCAUGGCCGUAGAAUUCGAUGAAUAUUGGACCAGCGGCAGGAUCGAAGGUUAUUCCAAGAUUGAUUUUGGCAAUCUGGUACCAUCAGCGUAAGACAACCUGAAGAUGUUUCGGAAAACUGCUUUUAGAACAGGUAUGGGCAGUAUGAUUUACAGUCAUGCCAUUUGGAUUGACUAAUGCCAGCAGCCUUUAUGGAUUUAAUGAGCGCGUGUCUUAAGGCCUAUUUGAUAAAUCGUGUAGUGUUUAUCGAUGAACAUCUUGAUCUAUUCCGAAGUGACGACGAACACGAAUCAUGAUUGAGAGUGGGUUGGCAAGACUGCCGCAGAAAAAAAGCUGUUUGCAACCAAGAAACCGAAUUUGGCUGCUCGAAGAAGUGGCAUUUCUGGACAUGUAAUUCGGAAACUGGAUAGCUGGGGAUCCACAGAAGAUGAGGCGAUUAAAGAUUGGCCUAGGCACGACAGGUCACAGAGAUCCGGAGUUCCUUGGAUUGGCGGGAUACUACGGAAGAUUGAAAAAAAAGGAUUGGCAAAGAUGUCUACUCCUCUCACAUCACCACACAUAAAGAGAAUAAUUCUAGUGAACGAAGCUUUGAAAGAACUAUCCAAGAGCUGAAAGGAACAUUGCCACCGCCCCGAUUCUAGCACUAAGCUUUACUCGGAGUGGAUAUUGAUUUACACAGCGAUGCGUCGCUGAAUGGGUUAGGGUGUUCUAGUGCAUGAAAUGCAACGUAAUUGCUUAUGCAUCUGCCCAGUUGAAGAUAUGAAAAGAACGACCCUACACAUGAUUAAGUUGCAGUGUGGUUUUGCCUAAAGCUUGCGCCACUACCUUCUACGGGCGAGCGUGGCGAGGUUUACAACGAUCAUAAGAGCUUAAAGUAUCUGUUACUUUCAGAAGGAAUGACAACCUGAGGCAACGAGAUGGGUGUAGUAGCUCAAGAUUAUGAUGACAUUUUGACUAUCAUCCAGGAAAAGCUAAUGUGUAAGCAGAUGCUUAAGGCAGAAAAUCGACGGAAAAUUGGCGAUGUCGAUAACUAUGGCAGCCCCUGUUGAUUAAGGACCAUGGAGCAUUGAAUGUGAAGGUUAGCCCUGAUAGCCUGGAACUUAAUGUCAGGGUGAGGUGAAACCUACCCGAUGAUCGAUCGAAUUAAAGAAAAGGCAAGCUCAAGAAUGAAUCCCUGGCAAUAAGAUUCGAGUAAAGAUCAUGCUGAAUGUGUGAUUCGAGUGGAUGAUUCAGGGACUAUUAAGAUUUAGAUAGGCUUGUGUGCCAGCAAAUCAGAGACAUUAACAAAGAUGUUUUAAAGAGGCACCACCGGGCGCGGAGACGUACCAUACCCUGGAAGUACAGAAAAUGUAUAUAGGAUUCUGACGUUACACUUACCUGGUGGCUAGCACAUGAAAAAGGAAGUGGCGGACAUACGUCUAAGUGUUUAACGUCAGCAGGUUAAAAGCUGAACACGACUUCCUGCGGGAAAUCGUCAGAGCUACCCAGACAGUGUGAAGUGGGAGAUGGAUAGCUAGGAUUCAUCGUGGAUUCCCCCAAGCAGUACAGCGAUGCAAUUUGGUAAUGGUGGAUGCGAUUGACUCACUCUGCCCCACUUAUUCCAAUCCACACACUUGGUCAGGAGAAACUCGCACAAUAAGCUGAUAAAAUGCGCGAUUAACGAUGGAGUAACACAGGCCUCUAUGUUCGGAUCGAGACACCCGAUUCGUUCACAUUCUGGAGAAUUUACAGGAAGGCCAAUGGGACCUCGAUUCGAUUUAAGUAUAGACGCUUGCCACCCCCAAGUGAUGGCAGCCGGAGCGACUAGCCAGACCCUUGAGAUAGUUGCGCGGCGCUGUGUGAUUGAUUAGCAAGGCAGUUGGCCCGAGUUCGUACCGGAGGGCUGAAUGCUUAUAACAACAGUUAUCACGCAAGCUAUUCAGAUGGCCACUUUGAGCCCCUUAGGUAGAAAAGUCGCAGAUCACACUUCAUGGAGUGAAGUCGGUUGAGAGAUGGUUGGCCAGACCGAUUUACAAGAGGCUGAAGCUAAGUGCGACUUGCGCGAGAAGCUACUGACAGCUCACCAAGUCGACAAAAGAUUAUGCGGAUAAAUCGGGAAACGAGGAAUUCAAGUUGCGACAACGUAUCUUUUGAAGGAUUUCACGAACCGAAAGAGGAGUAAAAGAUGUUGGCCAUUCGAGCAAGUUUAAGCCCUCGAUUAUUGGACCUACGAGGUUUGGAGCGGAUAGGCCCCGUAGCAUAUCGGGCCGUGCUUUGGCCGCCGAACCUAUCGGGAGUGCAUAAGUGUCUGGUCCACAUUCGGAACUAUUAUUUGAUCCAACGGCCACGUACUGGAGAGUAUCCAGUAGAGUUGCAGAAGAGUUUGAGCUUAAAGAGCGCAGCCGUGGAGAAUACUAGCUCGAGAAUUAAACGGCUUCGAAAUCGGAGAUACCUACGGAAGAUCCUUGGAGGGCAAUCACAGGAACCGGGAAGCCACAUGGGAACUGGAGAGGCAAGCAAGAGCAUUAUCCAUCUAUCUCAAUGGAGGCUUGAAAGUAAGUAGUUACAAUUUCGGCCGGGCAACUCAAACUGCUUGUUAGGAAGGGUGAAUGUAAUACACUGACCUAGCAAUUGCGGAGUCGGCGAGAUGGGAAUGAGUUGGGAACAUCUAAUGUUCUAAAGACUUAACAAGUUUUGGACGAAGUGUUGAAGUGAUGGAGGCUAAAACAGGAAAGUGCCAUGAUUGGGCGAAAUAGACCUUUCUGCUUGUGACACGCGGUACAAGCCAUUAGGUGUAACCGAUACACAAGGAACAACGCACACGGCUAUUUGCAUUUUCACACUUUUGAUCGUCAUCAUUUCAUUCCAGCACGACUCCUGGGCUCGUGGAGGUUGCUGGAGACCAGAGACGAAACUUGCACCAUUCUCCGUCUUCUCUCUCUAGGGUUUCUCUCUCUAGAGAAAAAGUCGCCAGUUUCGCCCGAUUUCGCGCGCCCUCGUCGCAUCGCUGGUUCGGUGGGCUUGGGCCCAGCUUUAAAAGGUAAAGGCGAGGUGUUUUACAGUGUUUUUCAUGUUUACUGAGAUUGCCUGAAUCGAGACACUUUAGAAAGUAUGUUAGUCAAUUUGCUCUCAGUUUGCGGUUUAUCGUCGAAUUUGACGUGUUCUUAUCUUGUCCAAGAGAGUUGUCCUGGGUUCCGGCAGCUAAAAGGGAGAUAUCUAGCUGUGACUUUAACACAACUUGGAUCCAGGGGAAAAAUUGCCUUGAGGCUUGAGACAGGUAUGUUAGUCACUAUUAAACUAUUUCGGCACCCUUAGGCGACCUAAUCGAAAUACUUGACGCAGUUUGAGUCGUUCUUUCGCAGCAGGUUUCCCCAAGUAUCAUAUUAACUAAAUAUGAGGACCUGGGCGACUGUUGGAGGGUAUUCUAAACUAAGGUUAAGCAGAACUUCAGUUAGAAAACUGAAAUUGGCAAGUUUCCGGCAAUAUUUAUUGGUAGUCAACGAUUUGACGCCGUUUUGAUCAUGUCGCAGCGAGAAGGGUAAUUGACCCUUGGAUCAUCUUCGACUGGCAUCGAAGGGCUUUUGGCAGCUUCUCUUGAGAAAACACAUAACCCAGAAUAGGGAUUCAAGGGUACUUUGUAGCUAAGUGUAAAUUAGGCCGAAAUCGGACAUUCGGUCGUUAUUUCGACUCGGCUUUGAUGCCUUAUUUUCAGCAGAGUGUGACUUCGUGGGCUGAUUUUGGGACGUCUUGUGAUCGUUGGAGCGCUAGUACUGAGUGGGCUCGGACCUAAACCAGAGCAAGUGAAACCCUCAUUUCCUAUAGUAAUUAUAGAAAUGUUAAUUGUGUGUUAUGCGAUUGUUAAUAGGCUCGGGAUACGUACAUCACGACGUUUAGAUCAUAUAGUGAAUGACGUUUAUGCAUAAAAGUACUAUGCAUUCAGUAUUUUGAUGUCAGUGAAGCAACUAGAAUUCAUUUAUUAUGUUUCCUCAUGAUAUAGAGAACAUAUAUACGAUGAAGAUAUUCACAGUUAUAUUCAAUCAGACUUGAAUGUCUCGUUUGAACAAGUGAGGAUACACUUUAAAGUAGAGCAACAAUGACAUUCUCUUGACUGCGAACGUAGAAAGAACUCUGACAUGCUCUGGACUAUGUUGAUAAGUGCCCUCUAACUAGUGAAAAGAUUAUAAUUGCUCUAUGUGAAUUUUAGCUUACCUUACGAUUUUACAAUCUAGUGAUACUAGCUCUUGUUACUAUGGGUAUUGAAAUUCCGAUCAGGAUCGGGAAAACUUUGCAAUGAAAUUAUGAAAUUGUUGGAUAUGUGGAUAUUGGAUAUGUUUGCUUGCCAUCGGCCAUUCGCGACGCUGUGAGGGGUAGCUCCUACAACCGGACUCCUGGAGUUAGCCUAUGCGACAGUUGUCCAGCCCGUGCGGGAUGGUUGGUCCGAAGGGAUGCCGGGGGAGUGUAUACUACCACGGGCCUAUAGGCGCGGCGCAAGCUGCGACUACCUUGGGUAGGUCCCUGGAAUGAAAAUGAGAGGGUACAAAUGAAAAAGACAGUAAGAAUGUUUAUCUUAAAGUGUACAGUAGUCACUUUUAAUAUCGGGCUUAUACUCAAUGUCAGUCAUGAUUCACAGAAGUUGCUAUAUCUCUUUAUGCAAAUGAGUUCAUUACUGUAUGAAAGCUAUUACAUGUUUGAUUACAAUGCUUCAUUACUUAUUAGCAGGCAUGCUUAUAAAUCACUUGCAUAUAUUCGUUAUGCUUUCAUUUAGUACAUCUUGAGCCUACGAUGGUGUAAUCGCGGAGGCUGGCGCGUUACCCACUGGAACUAUGAAUAGUUCCACAGCCUUUUAGUGUUGUUAUCAGAGCCGUUACAGGAGAGGCUAGGAUCGUGGCAAUGGAGUCGCGCCUAGCUUAGGGCUACUAGUGAGCGUGCUAGUCGAUCACCUUGCUACUCGGGUACGCCGAGGGGUGAUUCCUCAAUGUAUAGAGAGACACCGCCGGUUACCUAUUCUUUUGUAUACCCAUAUGUAAUUUACUUUUAGGGAUUGAGAUUAGUGUGUACUUUCUCCUUUUGUUGAGAUCUGGUAGAUGUUGUAUACCUUUGUAUUUGUGACUGAAAUUGAUACUCGUUGGGAUUAUCACUGUACCUUUGGCUGCUGAUUAUCAGGAUAGGACUUCUUGUUUUACUUCCUAUCUACGUGCUCUGUAGACGCUUAAUAUCGGCAGGGUGUAUGGCGGCGGGUCUGUGCACGUUCGGCAUGAUGGUACUCGGCUGGAUCGGGCGUGACAGGGCCGUGAGAACUAUAAUUAAUAGGUUCCAGUGGGGCAAUACUAACCUCAAGCUCAAUGCCACACUGCCCCAAAGAAGAGGUACAGUACAUAUAAUAGCAAUAAUGACUGCGAUAUAAAGGCAUAAUUAAAGAUGCUAAUUAGCUAAACUCAAGAACAACGAUGCUCAUGUGAUGAACAUCUACGAUACGAAAAAAGUAGGUCAUUAACGCUUCAAUGAAUACAUUAGCUAUAAGUUCCGUCAUGGACAACAAGUAGCUUUAUGGCAAAAUGGGAGACUAUCAAGUAUACUACAUGUCUCAAACUAGAGCUAAAAGCAUAAUAAAUGAAUUCAACUACUAAAACCUAUCUAGUAAGGGAUUAACCAUUCGACACAGCGCGGUCGAUUUCAUUCCAAUUAAGGAUAUCAAGGAUAGUCUAGCUUGGUGACCGCCUAAGAGCUGUUGCUGGAGCCCAACAUCCACGCUUGAUGUGUCUGUUCCACUCGACCCCGUAGGCUUCUCAAUACCGCCAGACGAACAUAAGAUCGCGCUAGGCUAACUCCGAAUGCGGCUUGGUAGGAGCGGAUCUCGCACAACCAUCGCUGCGAAUGAGCACAAAUAGCAAGCAGCGAUGCCAAGUCUCAAGUGUCCAAUCCUGCAUGUCUCUAACAUGGUAUGAUAACUAGCAUCCCGAUGAUUAUUAUGAUCCAAAGAGAAGUUCCAACAUUCUUACACGCCUUUACGUGCCCGCUUGGACAUUAACAACAAAUGUUGCAACAUAUACCCAAUCCCUCAAUGGCUCUAACCCACUUAGGUCACACAUGUCCGAGCUCAACUGCCGCUUGUAUGACAUUAGCUCUCAAAUACACAUACAUUCUAGUUCGAUAGCUCUAUAAGUGGCAAUUUGGUCAACUUCAUGUCUCAAAGAAACUAGGUUUAAAUGCAUAAAUCCAAUUCAUUUACACAUGAGCAUGGAACAGUCUCAUAUAGAAUGCUAGAGCACAACUAUAGGCCUUACCAAGUACUCUCAACUACAAGAGUCCAACAAUUUCUCAUCAUAUAUACAUAGGCCUUUAAGCAUUCUAAAAUUCACAAUAAAAUACAUAAACAAGAAUAUGCAUGCUUUCAUUUAACAAUACUUAAUAAGCACAAAUGAGCAAUGGCUGCCAUUGUGUGGCUAGGUCAAAACCGCACCGAACGCGCCGUAGGGCCUCCGUUUCGCCGAACAGAUGUCGCCGAGCUCAAAAACUCUAAAAGUACCUGAGCGACAAGCAACACUGGGAUUACGAUCAAUUCAUAUAAGCUGUCAAAUUUAAACAAAACUUAACAAAAGGGCUCACAACUCACCCAAUGGUGAAAAUCUCUUUCAACCCAAAAGAGAGCUGAAAUCCCUUCUAAUCCAACCAAGGAAGGUUUAAUCCACCAAUUUGUUCACAAAGCCGCUGAUCAAAAGCCCCAAAACGAACCCUAAACUCAUUCUAGCGGUUCCAAGACAAUAAAACCUCAAAUCCAAGGCUCUAGAUGGAGGAGAAAGGGCUACCAACCUCUAAGAAGCUCCAAUCCAAGCUCCAAGGGUGAAGUUCUCCUCUUUGGCAAGCUCCAAGUCCAAGCCUCAUGCACCAAGGGAGAAGAGAGGGUGAGGAAGAUGCUCCAAGUCCACUAGUAGCUCUCAAACUUCUUCUUCUUCAUUCAUUCUUCUCCUUCUCCUUCUCCUUCUUCUUCUUCUUCUUCUCUAUCUAGGGUGUAGAGAGAGUUGAGAGGAGAGAAAUGAGGAGAGGAGAGAGGGGAUGGGUCAUAUAGACCAUCUAUUGUAACAAAAUCCAGCUAGGUCCUCCAAAAAUCCAAAAUUGCAUCAGCCCGGUCUGGGCAAUUUUUGCCCAGAGGGACCGGUCUCUCCCCAGCAGGGACCGGUCUCUCGCUGCGAACCCGAAAAACCAACGCUCGGGAACCGGUCUCUUCCUGUGUGGGACCGGUCUCUCUCUGCGAAGGCGCGCACGAGGACCGGUCUCGCCCGCCAGGGACCGGUUGCCUUAGGGCUGCCGCAACACUGUUCACUGGGGGACCGGUCUCUCCUAUCAGGGACCGGUCCCUGAGAGCAAAAACUCUCAGGACUUGUCCAGAAUUCCAGUUUUCGAACUUUUUAGGUCGGAAAACAUUCUACAACCCUCCACCAAGUGCGGAAAAGCUCGAAAUAUAUCCAAACACUCGAACCUCGCACUUUGCAAAGGCCCAGUGUGUUACAUGUAACCUCCUCCACAAUAUAUGAGUAACCUCCUUCACAAUAAGUGUGAGAAGUUCUCCUUUAGUUGUAUAAGUUUCUCAAUCGGACAUUAAUGAAGUGUGUGAGCUUCCAAUUUCUUUACGAGCAUCCGUGGGCCUUUGAUCCGGAGGACGAGAAAGAAUUGCUAAAGAAGGAGGAUGAUUCCGUUUGACAUAGUAGAUCGCUCAAAUGCGUACAUGAUCAGCUGAAGGACUUUUCUUGCUUUACUUCUUCCGGCCCUUCUUUUUCACUUUUCAAGUUGAAUGUUAAGAGGAAACAGAACAAUAGAAGAACUAGAAAAUUGACCCCCUAACACAUUCAUCCAUUCUUUCACCUCGUUCAAGGAGUCAAUAUAUUGACGCAAUAUGUUUUUUGGAGUAAUGUCUUCGAAAUAGUAACAAUGAAUUUGUAAUGCAUAAAUAGUUUGCUCUCUUUCUUUCUUCCUUUUACGUUUUUCUUUUUGUUUGUCUUCCUAUUUUUACGUAGUCUUGUUACUUGUUACCGUAUUUUUGUAGCUAAGUUUAUAUUCUUAUUGAAUGAAGCGGUAGCAUGCUAUUUUUUUUCUCGAAGAAAAAAAAAUUUGUAGCACAUAAAUUGGGAGUAUUCAACAACAUUUUUCAUUUCAUAUUUGUGGGGGAGUUUUCACUUUUUAUCUUUACUAUAUACGGCCUCUAAACUUUGGGUUUUGAAUAUUGUUAUAGACUAUCGUUAAUUCUGCUAUUUUCUUCGCCAUAAGUGUAAUUAUAUAUGGUCUUUAUGUCUAAGCGCUUUCAUAUUUUGCAUUAGAGAUGGAUUAAGGAACAUGACCCUACAGUGCAGUUUUUCUCCAGCGGGUAUGAUAGGUUGGUCUUCUUAGGGUGUUUGACUACUGGCUUAGAUUGUCCAGUCUUUAAGUAAGUAGAGAACGAUGGUCUAACUAACAUUCCUGUACGAGUGUAUAUAUAUAUAUGCAGUCUAACCUUUUGUUCCCUGUGUUUGCGCUUAGAGAAAUUAAAUUUUGACCAAGGAGAGCAACUUUUUCUUCAAAAUAGGAGAGCCAUACAGGCUCUCGAAAAAUGUUACGAUAUGAUGAAUUGAUUUGUGGGAAAAUUAUAUCGAACUCUUGAACUUUGGUCCAAUUACAAUCACUAGCAAACUUUUAAANCCAACUCUAUUGAAUUGUUAUUCAGUUUUUGAUGAUUUGUUAUUCAGUUUUGAAUGUAACAAACAUAGUCAUCACACCUGUAUAUAUGUACCAUAAACUAUGAAUGAAAAUCAGUGUGGAGAUUUAUCUCUAAUCCUUCUUAACAUGGUAUCAGAGCCAUAUCCACAUCUCUAACCUAUUAAGAGUGCCUAGUAUUGUUUCAUCACACCCAGAUUUCAUUUUCUCUCUACUACAAUAUGAGCUCUUCACCUCAAACUCCCAACACUUCCACUACGACUGAUCUCACUUCCUUGAUAGCCUCCCUUCUAACAUUAACAAAUCUAAUCUCUAUCAAACAUACUGAUAAGAAUUAUUUGCUAUGGAAGAGUCAAUUUCUUCCUUUGCUAAAUGGUUAUCAGCUACUCGGCUAUGUUGAUGGGACUAUGAAAUGUCCUUCAAUUCUUCUACCAUCCUCUACUGAUAGUACUCCAAUAUCCAAUCCAGAUUUUAUUAAAUGGAAGCAGAUCGAUCAAUUGCUAAUCUCGUGGAUCCGAUCAACAAUUUCUGAAGAAAUACUACCACAUGUGGUAGGAUUAACUACAUCCAAGGAAGUUUGGGAUACACUUGCUGAUCAUUUUACCCAGCAAUCCAAAUCUCGAGAAUUUCAUCUUCGCCAUCAAAUUCAAUAUUUGAAGAAAGGUAGUAUGUCUAUGUCUUCCUACAUUAAACAAUUUAAAAGUCUCUGUGAUGAACUUGAAGCAAUCCAACAACCACUGUUUGAUGAUGACAAAGUCUAUUGGAUUCUUCGAGGAUUAGAUCGACAAUAUGCAUCGCUUGUCACUAUGAUCACCUCUCAUGACCCUUAUCCAAAGUUUAAGGAUUUAUGCUGUACUUUUUUGGAUCAAGAAUUAUUUUUAAAGUCCUAUGAUGAAGAUAUAUCAGAGACAAAGGCCACUGCAUAUAAUAUCAUGAAAACUAAUCAUGCACAUGGGCGAGGAUCUACUCGUGGCAGAUCUACAAAUUAUGGGAUGCGAGGACGUCGCUCAAAUAAUCGAGGUCGCGGCAACCAAACACAACAAUUGAGAUCUUCGACUGAUGCAAACAUUCCACGCCCUCAAUGUCAAAUUUGUCAUAAAUAUGGUCAUACUGCACUUAAUUGUUGGCAUCGUUUUGAUGAUUCCUUUCAUGAGCAAAGACAAUCUCCCGAUGCACCACAUCAAGCGCUAGCAGCACUCCAAAUUCAAAAUCCGACAGAUGAUGCAUGGUAUCCAGACACUGGGGCCACUAUUCAUGUCACAAAUUCCGCAUGUAUGCUUCAAUCUUUGCAACUUUAUUAUGGUAAUGAUACUGUUUUUGUUGGGGAUCGUCGACAAUUAAAAAUUACCCACAUUGGCCAUUCUCAACUUCUAACCUCUUCUACACCUUUACACCUCAAAAAUAUUUAUCUAGUACCAUCUAUUAAAAAGAACCGUCUAUCUGUUAGCAAGUUUACUCGCGAAAAUAAUUGUUCUCUUGAGUUCACCCCCUCUGCUUGUUUUGUUAAGGAUCAGGAAAACAAAAUGACUCUGCUACAGGGAUCUCAUCAUAAUGGUCUUUAUUCUCUCAAUUCUCCAAAAGCUAUUUUUCUUUCUACAAAGAGGGCUUCUCCAAAAAUUUGGCAUCAACGACUGGGCCAUCCUUCACAACAAGUGGCAAAUCAUUUAAACAAGAAUGCUGCAAUAAAAUUCUCUAGUAUGUUCGAUUCCAAAUCUUUAUGUGAUAGUUGCUAUUCUAGUAAGCAAACUAAGUUGCCUUUUCCAGUUUUAAAUAAAAGGGCCUUUGUUCCUCUUGAAAUUAUUUCUUCUGAUGUUUGGGGUCCAUCUCCUGUUCCUUCAAUCACUGGCUAUCGAUUUUAUGUAAUUUUCAUUGAUAGCUACAGUAGAUUUGUUUGGUUUUAUCUUAUGCAUAAUAAGUCUGAAGUUUUUUCAUGCUUUCUUAAAUUUCAAAAAAUGGUAGAAAAUCAAUUUAACACCAAAAUUAAAAUUUUGCAAAGUGAUGGUGGUGGCGAGUAUAUUUCUAAAACAUUUGUUACAUACCUUGAAAAUAGCGGAAUUAUUCGCCAACUCUCAUGCCCCCAUACGCCUGAACAAAACGGUGUUUCCGAAAGAAAACAUCGCCAUAUAACUGAAAUGGGUUUGACACUUCUAUAUCAGUCCCAAGCGCCAUCUACUUUAUGGGUUGAUGCCUUUUUAACAAGUGUGUAUCUAAUAAAUCGAUUACCUACACCUUGCUUACAAAACCUAUCCCCUCUUGAAACUCUAUUUUGUUCUUCUCCAAAUUAUCAUCACCUACGUGUUUUUGGAUGUGCUUGCUAUCCUUAUUUACGCAGCUAUUCUUUGAAUAAAUUUACUCCGAGGUCUACUUGUUGUGUUUUCAUAGGAUAUAGUCCUCAUCAUAAAGGUUAUAGAUGCUUAAGUUUAUCCGAUGGACGCAUCUUUAUAUCCCGUCAUGUUCAUUUUGAUGAGUCACGAUUUCCCUAUGCAGAGUUGUCUUCCAAAUCCAUUUCUACAUCACUUGAUUCCAUUCCCAAACAACAGAGGUACUCAUUUCCUAUUUGUCCACCAUCUCUAUUAACUUCUUCUCCACAAAACAUUCAACCAUCCGAUACUAUUCUUGAUUCUAUAAGCCUUCCCCAAUCCAAUCUACCAGAGCCCACAAGUUUAGAUGUUGAAUCUGUCCCUUCUACAAAUCCUGUUGACACCUCCACAAGAACAUGUCAUCCCAUGAUAACAUGCAGCAAAGAUGGUACACGCAAACCAAAGGUUUUUCAUACCUCUCGACACCCAGUGCCCCAAUAUUGCUUGCAAAUUACUAAUGAUGAGCUUCCUUCUGAACCUACAUCAUAUUCUGAAGCCUCUAAAGAUCCUCAAUGGCGCCAUGCUAUGGCAGAAGAAUUCAAUGCUUUACUCAAGAAUCAGACAUGGUCACUUGUUUCUCCACCGUCAAAUUGCAAUAUUAUUAGUUGCAAGUGGGUGUAUAAGGUUAAACAAAAAUCUGAUGGCAAUGUUGAACGCUUCAAAGCUCGUUUGGUUGCUAAAGGAUUUCAUCAACAAGAAGGACUUGAUUACGAUGAUACAUUUAGUCUAGUAGUUAAACCGCAAACUAUUCGUAUCGUCCUUUCGCUUGUACUCUCCAAAGAAUGGCCAAUUAUGCAAUUAGAUGUUAAAAAUGCCUUUUUGCAUGGCACAUUAAAUGAGGAGGUAUAUAUGUUACAACCUCCAGGAUUUGUUGAUCCCUUAUACCCUUCACACGUAUGUCGGUUGCGCAAAGCAAUAUAUGGUCUUAAGCAAGCUCCACGAGCUUGGUUUCUGUAAGGACUGAGAUUUUUACAGUGCAACUAAACUCUCUGUUGAUGAUGUUUAUGUGUGUAAUUUAAUUACAUAAGUACUCAUCAAGUUUCAGGAGAAAAUGAGCUAAAAUGGAGAAGUUACGCGAUUAUUAGUUUUCACUUAAGUGAAUAGUAACUCCGGUUUUUCGGUGAAGCCACGGAGUAGAGUUGGCUUUCUACGCGUAUCGGACUCCCUUCAUAGCGAUCCAAUAGCUCGUUUUGAUCGAUUCAGCUAUUCUGGAACCAAUGGCACUGACGGAUUUCAGAUCUGAUGCACGAUUUUUGAGAAAAAGGGAUUUUAUCGAAAAGAGGAUUUUCGCUCUUUGCUGUUCUUGCGUAAUGAGACUCCUCGUGCUCUACGUUUGUGACCUGGGGUUAGGUGAGAGUUGCUUCUGGUACCUACUGGUGGUAGGGAAUUCAAAUUUGAAUUUGGAUUAAAGGUUUUAGGGUUAUUACAUAGGUCUAUGUGUAAUUUGUGGAUUAGUUGGAGAGCAGUUGGGUUUGGUCGCAAAUCGGCAAGUAAAUCGGAUGAAACGAAAUCGAGUUUCCCAUUGCUCUUCGUCGUGCUGAACCGCGAUGGUGCAUAAUCCGUUCUGGAAAAUCCGAUGAAACGAUUGCGGAUAUUGCUGAAGUUGCUAAGGGGUCGAGAGUGGAAAAUCUGGGAAAAUUUCGCAAAAGUCGUAAUUUUAUGUGCCGGAAUUGCGUGAUUGAUGCGCAGCAUGGGGAGGUCGUAUUUAAAAUACGCUAUGCUGUGAGGGACUUGAUGAGAAAAUAUAUCCUCGGGAGAGCUAUCUUGCAAAUGGCAUGAAUGUAAAUAGUAGUUGGCACUAGCGGUUUCGUAGGAAACCUAGCUUUUGGCCUUCUCCUCAGUCGAUACGCGAGCCCUAGCCGCCAUCCUUCUCCCUUGCCGGCACCCGUGCGCACGCCCCGGCUGUAGCCGCGAGCUGCCGCGCGCCGGAAGCGUCCACCGCGACCUCUCUCUUGCUCGUCUCGGCCACCCUAAGUUCCUCUGUACUAUCACCGAAGUUGCGAAGUGAACUUUCUUCACUCCGAGCUUUCAUCCAUUCCCACUGGCCGAAGACCCAUCUCUGGCAUCUUCCCGCGCCGACUCGCGGCAUCCCGUGCCCUGCCGGAGCCUCUCCGCGAGCCUUCCUGCGGCCAUCUGCGGUCAGCCCAGGCCGAGCUUGGGUGGAACCUCGGUCUAGUGCGGCCAGCCGUCGCUUCCCAUCGGCCCUCUUUUUUUCUUGCGCCACCUUUCCAGUGACACCUCGCAACCUCAUCCGCUUGCCGUCCCGCCGUCUGGCACGCCUGCCUUGGCCGCCGCUGGAACCUUGCCUGCGCCCUGCCCAGAACCCUGUGCGGUAGCCAUGUUGUGUGCUCCGCGUUCGGCUCCCAGCACUCUUGCACUGUUUGGCUUUGCCUAUUUACACCGAGGGGUGCAACCAUCUUCCCUCCGGUCUCUCUCACCCCAUCCGAUCCAUCGCCGCCUCGCCUUCCUCCCGCCGGCCCGCCCCGUUUCCGCCGCCUUUGUCGCCGUUCGGAGAGCUCGACCGCGAGAGUGUAACCGGGCGGUUGGGCUGCGCCGCCUGCGCAGUAGCCUGGCACCUCCUCCCGCCGGCCACAGGUCCCCGCCGAACCCCACCGACGCCGCACCCUUCCCUGGCCGGGACCGCCCGCCUCACUCGGUCGCCUUGCGUUACCAACCCUAGGCCCUCCUCAGGAUCCGGUAAGGCCUGUUUUGAUGUUCUCGAGCACAGUAUUUACCUUUCCGGCCACCUUUGCUGAAUCCAAUUAAUUCCCCGAACACCCAGCUGGGAAGUGAGCACCUGAUGAUCUAAAACGGGUCGUGCUGAACAUCGUGGCUCAUCUCGUCCGACAAACCGGCAUGAUGCCUGGUUUAGACGAGUUAAUCGGGCGCUAAUCUUGCGGCUGUGCUGCGCAUCUCGCAGAGCUUCGGCAUUGUUUUCGGCCGCUCCGCUCCUGUGGCUGAAUUGGUCCGAUAAGGUGAGCACGUUUCCAGAACGCCGUGACCUGUCAGCGGUGUCUCUGUUCGGCUGUUUCAGCUGUCUGUUUGUGCAGACCGGACUAAAAUAGCGCGCGAAAUCUUGCAUGGAAAUAUUCGAUUUCGGGUAUUCGGUACGGCUUUUAUGGCAAACUUCUUGUUCGUCCGCGGCUGCUGUUUGCACAAGAAUGGAUGGCAGUUUUGAGUGACGUCUUGGACUGAUUGUUCCAGGCCCCUUGGACCUUUGGAAGAUCGAAAAGGCAUUCCAGUUGCGUUGUCGGCAAAUAUGCCUGAUCGGACCGUUCGUUCGGAAUCAUUUCCGACGGUGUCUCGGGAUGAUUUAUUGUGUCGCUGAGCCUAGUUGGUGGUCACCUGUUGUCAUGGUUCGGGUUCGAUAAUGACGGUUGAGCGAACUGGGUUUCGGUGUCGAUAAUGACACUUCCGGGGAACUCCGUUCGGAACGAUUAUUUCGACUGAUAAUCGUAUUUGAGAGUGAGUUAAGUGUCUUGCUGCCAUGUCACCUGUAAAUUGUAAUUUAGUGCAGGCUGGUGACUCUGAGUGCGAGUCGGGUGCAGGUUCCUUGGGACAUGUUCGUUGGGUCCCGAAGAGUCUCUCGUGCGGUUUCGGAAUCUCUGGUUGUUUGCGCUAUUGGUUCGGGAAACGCGAUUCCCGAGGGGUCUAUGCAUUUGGAAUUGUGAUUAACUGAUACGGUUGGAGGGUUGUGGAUUUAGUGGAUAUUAGUUGUGGGUUACAUACUAACCCGUGGAGUCCUGUAAGUCGGCGGUUGUCCCAUUCUUCGCAUUAGACAGGCCGCGACUAUCCUUACAGGUGGUACUUCGUCGUAUCCGACGUUGGUAAACAUGUUAGCUAUCUUGUUGGUGCACCGCUCGGUGAUAGAGUUUCUUACCCUUGCUCUUUGUUUAUUUCAAUUGCUUAUUAUUAUAUUGUUGAGUUCUUUGCACCUUACUAUUGUUAUAACAUUACACCACAACGUUUGUGUUGCAUUACUACUCUACUCAAGUUCUUCCAUGCUUAGUAAUCUGUAUGUUGUAGGUAUAGUCUAUUCUGAUAUGUGAUACCAUAAGUUUCUCUUGUGCUUCUAAGCCUUAGCUUAUUCGCAGUACCUCGCGUUUUCAUUAAUUUAUAGUUAGUAUUGCGAGUUCUGUGGAUUAUUCUGUGAUGAUUACGUCUAUUAGGUCGAUUCUUAUGUAUGUUCAGUAUUUGUGACUCAUUCGGUGAGUUCCUCUGACCUUGUUGUCCUGAUUACCGUUGAGUCGAUAAAUAUCCCUGAGGGGCUGGAUUGUCCGUUAGUUGCCGACGAUGAUAUAUAUUUACUCCAUUCCUAUAUUCUUUGUGACACUGAUUCGGUCGAGGGUUUCAUAUCUAUACUUGUGAGCGCUGAGUUGUGGUCGAGUUCGAUAUUUCUAUUACUUUGUGACGCUUGAUGGUCGUAGUUUACAUAUUCGAUGUUGAUUCUGGAGUGGGUCAGUCCUUGUGGUUCCAUGAGCAGAUAUUUGCAUAAUGUUGAAGAGGAUGUUCGAUGUUGUCCCCAUCCUAUUGACGCUGAGUGGUUUCUUUCUUUGUGCUUCCUUUACAGUUGCACGACCUAUUGCGGUCGAGUGGUCCCUUGUGGGCAGGAUUGUCGGCUGGUGCCGACGUUGAUCAUUGUAUGGCAUUUAUUGCAUUGAUCGCGUCCGAUACGUCGGCUAUUUUCAUCNNNNNNNNNNNNNNNNNNNNNNNNNNNNNNNNNNNNNNNNNNNNNNNNNNNNNNNNNNNNNNNNNNNNNNNNNNNNNNNNNNNNNNNNNNNNNNNNNNNNCCCUAAACCCAUUUGUUAUCUCCAAAUGCUAUUGAAAUUGUUUAGAUGACAGACCGUUCCUAGAGUAAGUGGCAAAGGGUUUGGUGGUUGGUAUAUGAGACCCAUGUUCAAAUCCUAGUUGAUUCACAUUUCUAGCUCAUUUUAUUUCUAAAUGAAAUAAACGAAAUAGGUAGCGUACUACCUAUCUCUCAAAAUAGAAAUUGUUUAGGUGACAAAUGUAAUAAAAAAAGAGAUUGAAGAAUCACUCUUGCACAAUUGAAAAGUGAUUUUGACUGAUAAUGUGAAUGAUAAAUCAGUGGAUGGAUUUUGAGAUUUAGCUUUUAUUCUUUUUAUAUAUUAUGCCCACUCAAAAAUGCAGUGUAAAUCUUAUACUCAUAUAUUCAAAGAUUUACAUAAUACUUUUGAGUUUUUAAUAUCAACAAAGAAAAAAUUGAUAAAAUUAGUGAGAAAAUAUUAGCCCUUGGAUGGAAUAGUGCUAUAAAAUAGGAUACAAUAAACUUCUAAUUAGCCCCCUAUGAAAAAAUCUCAGUAAAUCAUAGGAGGGGUUAAUUGAAGUUUAUGCAAAAUAAAAACUCUAGCACCGUGCAAUGAUUUCAUAGUGUGAGGAGUAUAAUCAAACUUCUAGAAUUGAUAAAAUAUUUAGCCUAGAAAUCAAUUUUUUCACGGAAAGAUAAAUUAUCUCAUAAUAAAAUAUAUUAUUCUGCAAAAUAAUGAACAACAACAAUACCUUCUAAAGAUGAGAGAAAAAAGGAAAAAAAAAAAAAAUCAUAUUGAUGUCCAAACGGGAUAGAGAUACCAAGUGCAAAUAGGUCAAAACCAGAGGACCAAAUUGAAGUUUUCACUCUGCUAUAAAAACCCAGCCCGUUUGAAACCCCCCACCCUGCAGCACCUUCUUCUUGUAUUCCCUCCAAAACUUCUCCCUCCCAGAUUCCCUGCUCCAGCGUCCAACCCCCAAAAUCAAUCAAGAANAUCGAGUCGGCUGGCGAUCUACUGCUUAUAAGCAGGCACCGAGAGCUCACCGCAGGGCGCAUCUUGGUCCAUCGUCUGCCACCGUUCGAAGGGGACGGUCCGCUCGUACCGACUCCCCUGGCCAGCAUUGGCGAUCGUGCCUUGUUCUUGGGCACGGGGAAUACCGUCGCAGUCCACGCGCCUGACUUCCCGCUGUCCGUCAGAAGAAACAGCAUCUACUUCACCGACGUAUAUCGCAGGGUGGUAAACAAUCAGUUUGUUUCCGUCGGCUGCGUCUAUGUUUUUGACAUGGAGCAGGGCGUCACGACGAAGGCGUUCGAAGUGGCGGAAACGGACGAGACGAACAUGUGGGUGAAUCUGAGGCCGUGGUGGGUUACGCCGAAUUUGCGCAGGAGAGGUCCAUGAGCACCGAGAGGUUCGAUCUCGUACCGCACUUUCAUUCUCCCUUGGUGCACAUUCUGAGUUUCAAAUACAAUUGCAGUCUCAUUGCGGAUACAAUCGAAGGAUCCGGAUCAUUUAUUUGCCCCCCUUACAUGUUCUUCUCAGCGAAAAGUUGAGAACUAAGGAUGCAAUUGAUCAAGCCUUAAAUCUGGAUAUUAGGAAUUGCUCAAAAUAAAAGCACCGAAUUUCGCAAUUUAAUUUCACUUCGCUUAUUGAAGUUAUUAUGAUCCAGUUUCAUAGUUUGAACACUUUUAACUUUUGAUCGGGCAGUUUUGAAGAAUCUACUCCCUUUCAUAUUUGAAGAGCAGUUCUUGAAUAGUAAAGAUUUUGCUCAAAUAAUCUUUAAUAUUUCAGUAUCAAGUUAUCUCGAAAAUUAAAAUGAGUUGUCCACGAUUUAUUGUGAUAUCAUGAUAAAAGUAGUUGCAUUUCAUGAUCCAGGUUAAUUGAGGAAUGGAAGGAAGAACCGAAAGCGGCAAUUCGACCAUUAUAACCGUCCUUAGUUCCCCGGCUUCCAAGCCAUCUAUACAAAUUUCAAUGUUUUCUGUACAUAGGAAGAUGAUGGCGUGCAUCAUAUAUAGUCCUGCAGGAGUUUGGAACUUCAUCCAUACAUUGUAUCAUAUCUGAUGCAAAAUUUUAGCACCAUUUUGUUUUGAACUUGUGCAUACCAUUUAGGAGCAUCUGCUGAGUGCGCACACAACUAUCAGAAACUGAUGAGACGUGCGAUAAAGAAAUUGUCUUACUGUGUGAAGAACAGCAUGAUGAUCCGUCUGAAGCAUUCUCCUCUGUAAACAGGAAACUGCAUGUUUACAUCUUUUUCUUCUUUUUCUUUUUCUUUUUUCCUUUCUUUGUGGGGUCUUAUAUUGUUAUUAGAUCAAGCAUCAACAAUUGAGUUACUUCCCUCAAAAGAAAAAAAAAAAAAACAAUUGAGUUACUAUACUUAUGUUUUUUACUCUCCAAUUUGAUUCUGCAAUAAAGGCAUAGUGACUUUUGUGACCAGGAUUGAGGAAAGGGUUUAUUAUAAUGAUCCCUAGUUGAAUCCAAUUUCUAUGGCCAUACUCCUUUAUUAAGGACCUAUUAGCCCCGCUAGGUGGGAGGAAUUUUAUACUAUCAUACUUGCACCACGUCAUUAAUAACAAGUCAAUUAUAUUUCUUUUUUUCAAACAAAAGUAUAAUAAAAAUAUUUUUUUAAAUCAUAAUGGGACAUAUACUCUUAAAAGGAGACAUUUGAUUGAUUUGUUACGCCAAGUCACCAAUAUACCUGAUACAUUCUAAAAUUUUUUGCUAGGUAGAGGGUGGAGUUUACUGUUUGAUGCUAAUAAUAGUUUAUUGCGGCAACUCUAGUUCCCGUCCAAAUUCAAAAAUCCUUAACCCAAAGAUAGAAAUUUUCCCAACAAAGUAAGACCCAAGAAGGAGUAUUAUAUCGGUAAAUAAACCACAUAAGUUGAUCAAAAUAUGUUAAACACUGCAUUUAACUUCGUUCCCUUAAUCUCCAAAAUUAGAUAUCAGCAUCUAAUUGCGCAUAGAUCUACUUCCGCAGGAACUACAUAACGAGAUGAUCGCGAUUAAAAAGAAACACGCUCGAAUCGAGUAAUCGAACCAAUCACCUGCACGAACAGCUCGAUCCCCCCUCGCCGCCCCCGGCAUCGUCUUCCUCCCGGCGACGGCGACGGCGAUGGCGGGGUAACGGGGGGCAUAAGGAGAAGGACGACGGCGACGAGGAGGAGGGGGACAAGAUUUUUAGUUUUUAAUUCCCCAAAUCCGAAAUCAAUUUAUUUACUAAAAUCAAACUGAAUCAGUCCAAGUGAGUUGCUUUUUCAGUUUGAUUUUCACGAAACAUGUGGUUUAAAUGGAAAUAUAGACUUAUGUUGCCGCGCAAUUUUGAUUUAAAUAAUUUGAUUAAUUUUUCAAUAUAAAAUUUAGAAUAAUUAUUUACUUAAUAAAUUUAUAUCUGUGUAAUUAAAAAAAUAUUUAAAUUUUUAAAGCUAAAGAGUUAUUAGUUGAUUCAAAUCAAAUAAAUUAAAAGAUUAUAUAGCAAAAUUAAAAUUUUUAAAGAUUAGAUAAUCAGAUUAAAAUAAGUGACAGUUGAGGUAAGUUGUAUAAAUUUUUACUUUUUUAUUCGGAAAAUCUGAAAAAUUAGAAGAGGUAUUUAUUUCAAAAUAUGUUAAAUUUUUUGAUUUAUUGUCUAUUCUUUCUGAUUUGAGUUUCAUGAAAUUUUUGCUAACUAUAUACCCAGUGCUAUGUGCAGUGUGCCUUUUUCUCUUUUCUUUUUUUUUUUUUCAUUCUCCUUCAUUUGCAUUGUGACUGUAUAGUAUCCUACAUUGUAAAUUGAAAUAGAUUCCGGUUACUAAAGAGAAUAAAUAAUAUAAUUAUCUUAUACCAGAACAAACUCUUUACAAAAGAAUUUCACUUUGGCCCCUAAAAUUUAUAAUAUUUUAAUUUUUAAUAUAUCAUAGUUAGAAACUUUUGUGUAAUUUUCAAAAGCUUGAGGGGGCCCAUGACCAUUGUUGGCCUCUCAAUAGCUCUCCCCCGAUUCAGGACUAAGCAAAGCAUCCUAAAAGGACUUUGAUACAAGUAUGCUAGAUUGUUAAACAUAAAAAUAUAACAAAAUCAUUCCGGCUUAAGUUUUUGAAAAAAAUAAUUGUUUCAUAUUAUUUAAUAUGAUAUCAAAUCAAAUAAUUAUGAGUUCGAGUCACACCAGGUUCCUAACUUAAUUGAUUUUUCUCUCAAUUAAUUUAAGUCCGCAUCAAACUUAGACAUAAAGAAGAGUGUUCAAUAUAAAAAUAUAAAACAUCAUUAUCUAUCAGCUUAAAUUUUUAGAGAAAACAGUUAUUUCGCGUUGUUUAACAUAGAUUGAAGCCAAAUGCACAGCUAAACAAGUAGGGUGGGCAAGUCCAUUAAAAAUCUCUAAAUGCUGCAUGUAAGUCCUCUAAAACUUGUAAGUCCAGGAAAGAAGGUGGUUUAGGUAUGUUGGAUGUCGCGACCAUGAACCAAGCCUUUCUAACUAAAUGGUGGUGGAAAUUUCACACGUCACCUCAACUACAGUGGAAUAAGCUUAUCCGAGAAUUGUAUUAUCGUAGAAGAAUACCUCUGAGGGAAGGCAGAUCCUUCAGACCUUUUUCCAGCUGGUGGAAGGGUAUUCUUAGCCUCAACAUUAUCUUCAAAUGGGGAGUGGCGUUUCAACUAGGAAACGGGAAUACCAUCGAUUUUUGGUUGGAUCGGUGGUGCGGCGAGAAAUCGUUGAACCUUUUAUUCCCGGAAGCGUAUCUGAGGUCUGUGGGGGGGGAGAUACUCUAGAGUUAGUGAUUUCUUCACGGGGGAUAAUUGGAACUGGCCCAAGAUCCUGGGAGCAAAUGUGGAACAGUUGCUAGGACUGGUUCCAAACCUAUCGGAGCUUGUAGAAAAGGUCUCUUCUUACUCCGUUGUGGUCAGUCCGGACACGAUCCUAUGGCGGUGGAGUACUGAUGGACACUUUUCGGUCAAAUCAACCUACUUGGCCUUGACGGACGGCGGGACGAGAGAUGCACGUGCCCCUGUUCUAUGGAACCUUAAAAUCCCUCUAAAAGUGAAAGUGUUUUGUUGGUUGAUUCUCAAGAAAAGGAUCCUUACACGUGAUAAGCUUGCUAAGAGAGGGUGGUUAGCCGACCCUACCUGUGUACUAUACGGGUCAGAGGAGGAAACCGUGGACCAUCUAUUUACCAGCUGCGUUUUCUGUAAAUUCAUUAUAGCGAAAUGGGUGGACGAUAUUCAGGCCCAAGACCUCGGGGGGGAAGUCAGCCUCGUGUGGGAUAGGUGGAAGGUCAGGAAGGAUAAACAUAAGAAGCGAUCUCGGCUUGUCGAUCUAGUCGCCUGCUGGUGGAUCAUUUGGAAGAUCAGAAACGACUCAAUCUUUCGUAAUAUUCCCCCGAACCCUGGGAUUGCGGUUCACAGGCUCAAACUUCUUGUGAUGGAUUGGGACCUUCUUCUCGGGCCUUAAACAUCUAUAAGUAAUUGUGUGUGUGUGUAAUUGCGGUUCUUUCUUCUUCUUCUUUUUUUUUUUUUUUUUUUUUUUUUUUUUUUUUUCGAGGCCUGGUUGCCUCACACUUGUAGCUUAAUUCACCUCUCCAAUGAAUGAAGCGGGUAGCAUGCUACCUUUUUCUCAAAAAAAAAAAGUCCUCUAAAACUUGCAAUUUACCAGUAACAAAAAGAGAUGUACCACGUGCACGAGUAUGUAACAGUAAGGAUUGCAGCUGCAGGCGAUUUGAUUAUGAGCAACUACAAACUAUGGCUGGCACACAUUUAUUUAAUUACAUUUUACAUGUUCACUUAUAGAUAGCAUGCUAGAGAGCCAGCUCAGCCACCAUGUGAUCUUUGCUCUCUUUUACAGAGUGCAGGUCUUACGUCUGUUUCCAUUUCAAAAAAAUUAUAUAUAUCUUUUUGGUUGAAAUACAUAAAGUCACCAGCACUAUACUGCCAUAUGAAAUUGCCUCCCCUCAACUUUUUUAUUUUUUCUUUUACAUUUAUUUGUCUUAAUUAGACCCCUAUGUUAAUAACAAGGUUAUUUUAUCUACUGUUUCUGGCGCAAGUGGCAAAGAAUUUAGUGGUUGGUAUCUAAGGUUUCAAAUUUGAAUUCUAAUUGAUUCACAUUUUCAUUCUAAAUAAAAUAAACGAAGCAGUAGAGUAGCAGUCGAGAUGUAUGGCAAUGAUGACAAUAUGAAAAAAUAAAUGAGCUGUUGUCUCUAAUAAUAUAAUGAGAGUGUCGACAGAUACAAAAGAAAGUUAAGUUUUUUCAUUCUGAUUUAUGAUAGCAACGCAGUUUUGAAAAAAGAUUCCAAUGGUCUCUCUAAUUUAUAUAGAUUUGAGAUAAUUAGGUAUAAUAAAAAUUUAUAUAUUUUUCACCGAUGGGAGUCUAACGUAAAAAAAAAAAGAAAAAAGAAAAAAAAUGACAGUACAAAGAGGUGAAAAUUAAGAAAAUAAUUUUUUAUGGCUAUUAAGAAAAUCAAUGCUAAUCAAAAAAGGCAAUUUCGAACUGUGGUGCAGUGCUGAAGCGGUCUCUAUACUUUUUUUUUUCUUUUUUCUGGGGCAAUCAAAAUUUAUACAUAUCAAUUCUUCAAAUAUAAUAGCAUCUUAGAAUAAUAUCGUGGGGUGAAAAUCAUUUUUAUAUUACUCAAUCUAACCAGACUCUAAAGCCGAAGAUUAUAGGAUUUGGAUUGAAAUUUUACUAUCCAUUACCGAAUCAGAUUUAGAUUCAGAUCUGAAAUUUGAAAUUUUUUUGGGUUCAAAUUAAGAUUCACUAUUCUUUUUCCAAUUCAGAUUCAAAAUUAUUCGAAACAAAAACUGAUUUUGACUGCUUUUUUAAUUUCUGAAGUAAUGCCAUUUAAGCAUCUUUCAGAAAUCUCAAACAUCUUCAUUGCGUUUUCUUCAGUUGGAAGAGAAAAUAAUAAUAAUAAUAAUAAUAAUAAUAAUAAGUCCCUCCUUUUCCGCCUCUUCAUUUGAAAAUGGACACGGAAACAACAAAAUCCAAAGAGCAAAUGCGAAACUGAUAAUAUUUUUAUAAUCUGUACAAUAGGAUAAAGAUGAUUGAGGGACUAGCGUGCAAACGGUCAAAGAUUCCCAACGUAGUUACCGGAGCAGCAGCACGAUAAUUGGAGCAAUCACCUACUACCACUACCACUGCAGAGCAUCCCCUUAUUCUCUGCUUCCUUGUAGUUGCUAGGACGUUUGUAUUGACUAUUGAGAAGAAGCACAUAGCUAGCUAGCUGCUUUCGUAAUAGCGAUGGCGGAGGGGAUCGCAUUCGGUUUGGUGAAGGAGGUGCUGGGCAAGCUGGGCUCUGCUCUCGGGGACGAAAUCGACCUGCUGCGGAGCUUCAAGGACGAUGUACAGGAUCUCAAAAGCAACUUUUCGGCGAUCCAAUCGGUGCUUCUCGACGCCGAGGAGCGAAGCAGCGCUGGGAAGGAGAGCCACGCUCUGCGAGACUGGCUGCGCAAACUGAAGGACGCCGCCUACGACGCCGACGACCUGCUGGACGAGAUCCGAACGGAAGCUGAAAAGGUACGUGGAUUUCUGUCCCGCGCUAAUCCGAUGCAUCUGAAGUUUAAGGUCAAGAUGGCACACAGGAUGAAAGAGCUCAGAGAAAAGAUCGGUAAGAUCGCGAAACAGAGGCAUGAUUUUGGUCUUGCCGAAGCUGGCCCUGGUCGGCAGGCUGAGUUCAAGCACCGUGAGACAUUCUCGGUUGUCGACGAAAAGGAAAUAGUUGGGAGAGAUGAUGAUAAAGAGAAAAUUGUGAAGCUACUGCUAGAGACGGCCGGCGAUCACGACGUGUCGGUCAUUCCGAUCGUGGGAUUGGGGGGUUUGGGGAAGACGACGCUCGCUCAAAUGGCCUUCAACGACGGGCGGGUUACGGGUCAGCAGCGCUUUGAUCUACGCGUGUGGGCCUGCGUGUCUACCGAUUUCCACAUGAAGACGAUCGCAAGGUCGGUCAAAUCUGCAACCAAAGAGGAGUGUGAUCUUGACAGCUUGGAAUCCGUCGCGAGUUUUCUCCUCAGGAUCUUUAGCCAGAAGAGAUUCUUGCUGGUGUUGGAUGAUGUGUGGAACGAAGAUAAAGGGAAGUGGAAGGAAUUGAAGGUUGUAUUUAAGGACGGCAGGCAGGGAAGUAAAAUCUUAGUAACCACACGAAGCGAAAAGGUCGCCGCGAUAAUGAAAACAGUCGAACCACACCGUGUGAAAGGCUUAUCAGAUGAUGAUUGUUGGACAUUGUUCAAAAGGCUGGCAUUCGAUGAUGGGGAAGAGAACGACUAUCCGAGUUUGGUCGCAAUCGGAAAGCAGAUAGUAAAGAAGUGCGGCGGCGUGCCUUUAGCAGCGAAUGCUUUAGGAAGUAUGAUGUAUUCAAAGAACAGGACAGAGGAUGCAUGGUCCGCUAUUAGGGAUAACGAAAUUUGGAGUCUGCAAGAAGAGAAAACUAUUUUACCAUCAUUAAAGUUGAGCUACAUUCAGAUGCCGUCGGCUUUGAAGCAGUGCUUUGCUUAUUGCUCCAUAUUCCCCAAAGACUAUGAGAUUGACAAGGAUGACUUGAUCCGGCAAUGGAUUGCUUUAGGCUUCAUUUCAUCGCAUGAAACAUGGACUUCGAUGGAAGAUAUUGGAAAUGAGUACUUUAACGAUCUAUUAUGGAUGUCUUUCCUUCAAGACAUGAGGAAACACUGGGAAUCUAAAAAGGUUACCUGCCGGAUGCAUGAUUUAGUGCACGACCUCGCACAAUCUGUAGCAAGAGAAGAAGUUGCUGUUAUAGUUGGAGAAGAGUCAACAUGGAUCUCGGAAAGCUGCCGCUAUUUCUCGAUAUACAAUCGUUUCACGACACAGAUUCCAACCACAGUAGUGCAAAGGCUGCGAGCUCUUCAAUUUAGGGAAUCUGGUUCAUUUAUUACUUUUUAUAGUGAGGCAAAAUACUUACGUCUGUUGGAUUUACAUGAUUCCAAAAUUUCUAUAUUGCCAAGCUCAGUCGGUAAGUUGAAGCUCUUAAGAUACCUUGACCUUUCGAGGACCAGUAUACAAGAAUUGCCUGAAUCAAUUACCAGCCUCUACAACUUGCAAACCUUGAAUCUUUCAGGCUGCUGCGAGAUCCGUACAUUACCCAAAUUUCUAGGAAGGCUUACGAAUUUGCGGAUUUUAGAUUUAAGUGAUUGGCAAUCUCUGACAAUACCUGACUCCAUUAACAACCUUCAGAAUUUGCACGCACUAAAUUUGAGUUGGUGCAAAAAGGUGAUAUCACUUGAACUUAUAUGUCACCUCAAAAACCUGUAUUACCUAAACCUAUCAGGUCUAAAUUUUAUGGUGACAUUACCUGAAUCCAUUGGGAGCCUUCAAAACUUGCGUAUUCUGAAUCUUUCUAACCACUAUUCUCUACUAUCAUUACCCUCAUCGUUAUGUGAUCUCAAAAACCUGCGUAACUUAAACCUAUCACAUCUAAAUUCUUUGGUGACAUUACCUGAAUCCAUUGGGAGCCUUCAAAACUUGCGUACUCUGAAUCUUUCUGGCUGCAUUUCUCUACUAUCAUUACCCUCAUCAUUAUGU